UCUUCACCGCGUCGUCCCGUCUCCUCGUCACGCGUUAUCACCGCGAGUCCGCGAACCGGAGGGGGGAAAAACAAAAUAAUAAUAACCCGAAACGCACACCGCACCCCCCCGGCCCGCCAUCACGAGGACCGCCGCGAGAACGGUCUCGCCGAAAACGACCGCGUUACGCUAUUUGAUUAGGUUUAUUUUCACCCGGUGUACGGUAACAUUAAAAAAAAAAAAAUAAUAAUAAUAAAAUUAAAAAAAAAACCGACAGUAAUAUUGUUAAUAUUAUAAAUUAAUACGCCCUCGUCGAAAAACGGGGAAAAAAAAAAAAAAAAAAACAACAACAAACGUUUCGAUCGGUUUCGGCGCCACCAGUGACCGCUCCUGUGCUCGCACACAUCAUUUAUACCGCGUACACCUGACCGAUACACUACCCCGGGUUCGGGUUUGUUUUCUUUCCGUCUUCUCCGGGUUUUCCGCUCUAUGAACGAGACAUGAGACGGCUGACCGCUGACACGAACAGUGAGUACACUAUAUGCACAUAAAUAUCGUUUUCCGUAUACAUAUAUAUAUAUUAUUUUUGUCCAUGCCUUACGCCUUUCGUGGUGCUCUCAAAACACCUACGCUUUUACCUGUUGCCGUUGAAGGCUUUUACUGUUUUUUAUUUAUUUUUUUAUCACCGGUUGAUAGAUCGACAGUACGACAGUACUUGUGAAACGUCGGAAAAUACCCAUUCGAACACGCCCAUCUAUCCAAUUAUACACCGGACAGUUUUAAUUGACGCGAAUAGAUAGACGCACCGGUUUUCCGUUAUUAAAUACAUUUUUUCGCAUCAAAUCAGAAUCAAAUUGAAAAUUUUUUUUUUUACAAAUGAAUUUGCGGUUUAGUACCCGUAUCUAGUGAAAACAAAAAAUAAACUAUUUAAAACAAGACGUAUACUUGUCGACAUACAACACUGAUUUUGUUGCAGUAUUUAAUAAAAGUACAUUUUUCCAUUGAUGAAUUGUUGUUUUUUUUUUUUUUAUCAUUAAAAAUAAGUUUAGGUUUUAAUUAAAUGUUUUUCAUCCGAUUUAUAUACAUAUAUUUAUAUUAUUUAUAUUUCAUUGCUCGGUCGAUUGCGGGUUACAAUAAAUUUUAAUCGAAGACUUGAAAACAAUAAUAAUUGUUAUCAUAUCAAAAAUCAUAUUAUUAUUACAGUUUUAUGUGUCGUUGAAAAAAAACCUCUUCACAAGUUGGUCGGUGGUACUAUAGAGUUUUCACUUUUCAUACAUAACGCACUUUGUGAUUUAUAUUCGAAUAGACCGCUUAAUCUCGUGUUGCCACGAGAAAAUAGAUGGGCACAUUUACUAUUAUACGUACAAAAACUACUUGUUAAAAUAUACAAUAUAUCCUAGUUGUUAUAGAUAUCUGUUAGAAUUUCGGUUUGUCUUUCUUUACCAAUUGUAAACCAACGCAACGAAAGGUAACGAAAAACUAUGAAAAUUCUGAUAUGUUUCGGAUUCUUCUGAGUGUUAUCUAAAUGAAAAUAUUGAUAUUUAUCUGAACAUAAAUAAUUUAAAUAUUUAGUGUUUUCAUGUGAAAAUAGAUAAUAUCGAAAAUAUUAUACUACAUCUUUAGAUAAAUUUUACAUAUAUACGUAUCAAUGCUGUUUAUAAUACAAUUAUUAAUAAUCUUUACAGUAAUAUUUGUUUAAUUUCAAAAAAAAAAUGAUCUUAAAAUGUAUCUACUUUUUUUUUUUUUUUUUAAAUUUUAGUUAUUUUUUUUUUUUCAUAAAUAUCUGUGGAUCAAAAAACAAAACCGUCAAUCAUUUAUCAACGGUAUCGUUUUAAACACAAUUUAUAAUACUCUGCAUUCUGCACUGCAUUGAGAUUUUUUUUAUUAUUAUUCUGAGUAAAGCGAGUAAUGUAAUUUUUAAUUGUAAUGUUUUACUAUGAUAUUUAAUUCUUUUUGAGAGUGCAAUUUUUCUACCAGAAAUCUCACUCUAAUCAAAAACAUUAUGAGAACUUUAUUGUGGAAUUAAUUAUUUAGUUGAUGUGUUUGGAUGGUUGGUUUUUUGUUUCCCAAUAAUUUUCUUCAUAAAUAAGUAAAACUGGCAAUUUAAUCAUAUUUGUUAUUCAUUUCUGGGUUAUUUUGGCAACAAGAGAACAAUACGACUAACUUUGCUGUACUCAGAAUCGUUUUUUAUUAGCAAAAAUUAGUAAUUAAAAUUAAUCGAUACAAAUUGCAUUACUCUCAAUACUUUUCCUGCCGAUUUUUCUCUUAGAACAUUGGCACAUCAUUCAAUGAUAUUAACCUUUUUAGUUUUACUACGAAUUUUUUCUUUUUGUAUUUGUGAACAACUUUUCUACAAGAAAUCUCACUCCCAUGUGUCGAGUGUAGCAUAUUUUCUGCUAAGAAAUUUCAUUUAGUUAGUGCAUUGAGGAGUUCAUUUUAUGAUUUUCCAAUGGGUUUUAAUAAUAAUUGAGAGAAGAAGAAACAUAAAAACGGAUAAAUUUAUAGUUUUACGGUUUAAUUAUUUUAAAUUUGUACACAUAUUUCCUACCAAAAAUAUUGCUUCGAUAGAAAAAUAUCAAAAUACUUUUUUUGUUUCAUUUUUCAUUCAGUUGGUGAGUAAAAGUGUUUUGUUGAUUUACUUUGUAUUUUUUUUAAUAAUAAAGGGAAACCGAAAAUAACGUCGAAAGAAGGAAAAAUUACGAAAAUAAUGCUUUGGUUAUUUUCAAUUGUAUUUAUUUUGUUGUAAUUUAGUGAAAAAUAUGCUUGUAGGCUUAACAUUCUGAAAUCAAACUUAUACUUGAUAGCCAUUUUAAUUUUGCAAGUUUUUUACAUCAAUUUUUAUUCAGUAGUUAUUCUGUAGACAAAGUGUUAGAUUAAAUAAAAAUGAUCGAUAAUUUUACAGUUGGUUCAAUAUAAGUCGUAUUUCGUGGUAAAAAAAAUCGUUCGUUCGAAUUCGAAUCAUUUUUCGUUAGCAAUUUUUUAUAGUUGCUUACAUAUAUAAAUUAAAUAACUUUAUGUAUCGUACCUUUCCAUACUCCCAACUAUAACAGUGGUAUACCCGUUUCCUGCAAUCAGCUUUUUUUUUUCUUUUUUUUUCGUGUGUUAUUGUUAAUAUUAAGGUAGAAAUAAAUACACAAUUUAAAUUAAAACAGAUACUAUUAUUUUCUUCAAGGAGAAUACAUGGAACAAAGAAGAACUUUCAAUUAUACAUUAUAAUAGUGGAUAAAUAAUUAAUAAUAUAAUUUCUUUUCGAAUAAAAUAGAGUCCAAUUAAAGAAAUUAGCGAAUCGUGGACCUAUAACGAAACACAACCGGGACGAAAAAAUGAAUGAACAUUUUUUUCCUAAUAUACUAUAUUUAUAAUUAAUUUUUUAAACCGUGUUACUUUUCGUUGUUAACGUUGAAAAAGUUCGUCGGAACAAAUUAAGGAUAAUGUUUUAAUGAAACCCGUUCGUUUCUGUCAUCAGGGUAGAGAGAACGUAUUUUUUUUUGACAGAAAGAGAAAUACAUUUUUAUCAUUUUCGCAGUAAAUUUGGACGGAGAAAAAUCCAUGUCAGAUUUUGUUUAAAACCUCGCAGACUUAUAUAAGCGUAAUUAUUACAUUAAUGUUAUAAGAUUAUUAAUAAACAAAAAAAAAAAAAAAAUACGAUAUAAAAACUACACGGUAAACGAUUUUAAAAUGAUACAUUUUUGUAUAGGUAAUUAUUAUAUAAAUUUGCGAUGUUUAAGUAUUAUUACAAUUUAUUUCCAUUCUCAAUAGAAACAAAUCGUUGUUAUUAAAAUAUUUAUUCGUCUAAUAUCAAUUACUCAUGGUCUGUGAUUAUUUAAUGGGUUUGAAAAAAUACAAAGAUUAUUGUAAAAUUGUAUAAUGUAUAAUAAGGGAUCGGAUUGAAGCUGGAUGGAAAUGUUAAAAAACUAUUGAAAAAUAUACUAAAAAUAGCAAAAGUUGCUAUUAAAAAAAUGACUAUUGUCGCAAUAAUACCAUCAAAAAAAAAAAAUCCCCUAAACAUUUGUUUUAUACAAAAUAAAUACAAACACGAGGUAAUUCCAACUGAUCAAUAAAUAAUUUGUUAUCUAUUGGAGUUUAGGAAAUAUAUCACCAACCGUUAUAGGCGAAGAAAAGCAUUAAAGCGAAUAUCGUGGAGAUUAAAUUGCUUGCGAUGAUAUUUUGAAUUAGGCAUCUAAAUAUAAACUAUUAAUCUGUAACGUACUAUUACAAACAUACAGUCUAAAAAUAAUUUCAAUUAUUGGACAAUUCUAAACUAAUUCUCGAAAAAUUGGAAAGAGUUAAAACUUAAUUCCCCUCUUGAAGUAUCUGUUACAUGAAUUGAGUUAUACACUUAGAAAGCUUUAUCUCACUUUUUAUUCAUAUCCAAAUCCUAGUAAUAAGACUAGACCAAUACGUCAUAUACUUUUUUAGUUUGUCGGUUUUCAGAUUCUUCGUUUCAACGCUAAAACAUUAUUAAAAUUAAAAAUUAAAAUAAUUUUAAAAUAGAUUAUUAAACGAGUAUCUAAAUUAAGAAAAUAAUAUGUAUUUUUCCUUUUUUUUUUUAUUUUUUCAAUGUCAAAAUUUAUUAACACGUUAGGAUGUCUGACGUUUAAAUGAAUUAAUUAAGCAGUGGAUAAGAAUAUUAACUUGAUUACUUGAAUUUGGGAAAGAAGUCUCUAUUAUCUUUUUUUAAUCAUCUAUUCCGGUAUAAUACAAAUAAAAUAUUGCUUAUUAAUCGCCGAAACGGGAUGACUAGGUUUAAGCUGCAGUAAUCGUUAAUGGGUAUCUGGGCCAUGAGGAAGAAUGUGUGAUAUUAAAAGAUAACUUCGGAAACCGUUUGAAGGACGCUUUUAAUGUAAAAUAUUAUAACACCCAAAUGACGAAAUUAAGCAAUUUACUGUUUGCCAUAUACUCGUAUAUAGUGGAACACAAAUAGAAAUAUCAAAUUUAAUAUAAUGAAAUUUGGAACUGACAUAGCACUAACCGAAAAAUGUUUUUUUUUUUCGUUUUUUAGUAGAUAUUGAUUUUACAAUACUUUUUAUUUAUAAUAUAAAUUGACAUUGACCCGAUGUGCUAAAUAAUAAAACGUAGUUAAUAAAACUAUUUAAUUUUGUUAGCACCUAUUCUUCCUUAAAAUUAAAACAAUGUGUUUAAAUAUUUCCGGCUAUCUUGAUUAUAAUAUUAAAUAAUAAUAAAAAAAGUGUACGUUAUGUUUAGUCCAGUUUCGUUUAGAUGAAAAUAAGUCAUAUUUGCUAGAAUAUAACAACUUAGAUGAAUUUAAUUUACACCUAAAAAUAAAACAGAUACAUACAAAUUUACUUAAUUAUCUAUAGGUUAAGAUAAAAUUUCAGCAACUUUUUACCUAAAUUAAUAACAAUGGACCAUUCUAUUAAAAAUUUAAAAAAAAAAAGUAAUAAAACUGUACCAGAUCUGGUAUAUAUCUAGAUUUAUAAAGGUUUUGUGUGAUUGAUGUAAGUUAAUUAAUUAAACGAUAUUUCUUCAGCUACCCAUAAAAAAAUUCUUAAAUCGGAUUUUUUCAUUAGUUGCUUUUUAUAUAACAUUAAUAUCAGAAACCUCCUUUCAAAAUAAAAGAUGAAAAUAUAAUUAUUUAGAUAAAUUUUCUAGAUUAAACACAACAACGAUUACAUCUGAUAUUUGUAUAUAGCAGGUUUUAUACGCACGUGACUCAAUAUACUAUUCAUACGGAAUACCGUUAGUAUCGUUGUCUACAAAAAUAUUAUAUUUUUACAAUAACUAAACUAUAUGAGUAUAGUAAGUAUAGUAAAUACAUGGUUUUUUCGGCUCAUCUAUCACAUUUAUCAUUUUUUUUAAUUUCGUUCUACGAAAACACAUCGCCAGCUUAAAAGUACACUAUAAACCUAAACCGAACGCGAAAAAAUCUUAAAAUCCUUUUGGACAUACACAUAAAAACCAUUUGUUUCAACCCAUUCCAUUUAAUAAAUGGUUCCCUUGUUAGUAGUGCGACCCGACGAAUAUCCGUGGUGUACGUGAUGCUGGACAAUCCCGGCUGAGUAUAUUUAUUGUUAAAGUCGUUCGUGAUAUAAUUCGUUAUAGUGAAUUUUAUUUUCCCCUCGUUAUCGACGCACCGUUGCUGCCAAUAAAACAAUCGAACCACAUUCAAAUCAUACUUGUUUAAAUAAUAUUUGUUUUGUUUUUUUUUAAAAAAAACUUACUGGCUUCAACAUCUAAAGUAGUUGGCCUACAUUUUUUCAAGUAUUUCAUAUUAAAAUUAUUAAUAUUUACAAUAUUGAUUGAGCUAGAGUUUGUUAGUUAGAUUGCAUUUUCAGAAGAACUUUUUGAUUUUUAAAGUUUGCAAGUCUUCAUUGAUAAUUUCUUUGGUGUUGCUCAAGAGACUAAACAUUGUGCAUGUUAGUUUGUAUGUAGGACAUUCCUCGAAUAUGUGUUUAAUUGUGAUGUAUAUUAGACAUAUUGUGUUGCAUAGUGGUGGAUGAUUUUUGCCUUUUAGAAAGAAAUGUAUGGCAAAAAUGUACCAGAUUCUUAUUUUAGUGAUCUUAACAUCAAAUUAGGUCCAGUAAAUAACUCAUUUUAUUACAUAAUUUGGUGUAAAUGUUUUGUAAUGAUGUUUUUUAAUGACAUUUCGGUUGAUAUUUGAGGUAUUGUGGUGAGAUAUUUUGUUAAUAAUAUUAUUAUAUUUAUUUCAACAGUUGUAUUAUAUUAUUUUAUUCUAAGUUAUACAGCAGAAAAAAUUAGUUUUCGAAAGAUGUAUUUGAUUCUUACGAUAUACAUUUUCCAUUUGACGGUACCUUAUUUAAAGAAUUUUCCAAAGCAGUUCCAAAUACUUUUUCGAUAAAUUUAAUACUCCGUUCAGAAUGCACUUUGCUGUAAGCAGUUACGGUCAAAAUCAUGUUAACGGACACAAAAAACAAAAACAAAAAAACCCACGUCAUCAUAAAACUAAUAGGAAAAAAAAACCACAUGCAAUGUCAAAACAUUAAUUAGGUCAGCGCGCACGCCAUAUAUCGGUUAAAAUUGUAUAAUUACAAUAAAUUUAGGUGGAGUUUUGUUCAUGAGCUGUGGAUCUAAAAACAUAAAUGAAUGUAUGUAAAUGAUAAUAUUAUUAUGAUACUAAGUUAUAGAAUAAACAAUGCAAAAUGCACGUGUGCGCGUACACACGGAAUGUGUUGUCGAACAAUAGUGCCACCAAUCAACGAGGGCGUCUGUUCAUGUCUAUUCUUUUUUUUUUUUUUUUUAUUCUUAAAAUAUUGCAGUACAAACCGAAGAAGGAUACCUGCGUGUAUGUACCUGCAGUGCAGGGUAUUAUAAAAAUAAUAUGUGGGCCGAGUUGUUAUAGUAGAUAGAACAGGUAGGUUCAUAUUAUGACAGUCAUGCAUAAUGCAAUAUUAUUAUUGUGCCCGUCACGCGGUUUUCUCCACUGAAACAUUAUUAUUAUAUUUUAUAUAUUUUAACAAAACUCCGCGUUUUUUUAUUUUUUUUUUUUUUUUAUCGUUUUCGCCGCGUAUUUAUUAAAUUAUAUCCCUUGUAUUGAUUCGGAGUAGUUUUACUAUUAUUUAGUUUGACACGAUAAUAAUAUUAGCAAAGUCGGCGAGUAUGUAGCACGAUUAAAUCAUUAUAGAUCAAAUUGUCGCGUGACGAGUACCAGUGAUGAAGUAAUAAAACAUAGAUAACAAACAAUAAUAUAGACAUUUCAUAGUUUUCGAUCUCGAAAUAUGGCAAGUUUAUAGGGCUCAGAGGUUCGUAACCAGUGGUCCAUAGACCCUUAUUAGAGGAUCCGUAUACAGUUACACGAAGAACCAAGAAGUUUUUACGAGAAUUUUUCUUCAAAUAACCUAAAAAUAUAGUCUGAAUUUUGUUUAUAAGUUACAAUCAAAAAAUAUUCACAAAACUAAAUGGAUAUUAAAGAUAAUAAUAUGCAUAUUGUUCUAUCCAAUAUUACUAUAUCGAAUUUCAAAUCCAUAAUAUUGUAAUAAAAACAACAGCAAAUAUCACGCUAAAACUUACAUAAAGUAAAAUGCACUCGUAUGUAACUUAAAACGUUUUUGUUCACAAAAAUAUAUCGAACGUUUUUUAAGUUUUGAUAUUAUCAUUCAAACAGAAUAUUAUGUUUUUUAUGGGAGUCUUUUUUUUUUUUGAUAGAUCAUGUAAACCUAUUGCAAAGUGAUGUUUUACCGAUACAGUUAAUUAAAUGAUAAUAUCUAAAAAUAUUAAUUAAACAAUAUUACAUAGAUGCUUUUAAAAAGUGAUUUGCAGUAAACGGUGAUAUUCCGAAGAGGAAAUGGUUAUAAACCGUUAUUUACUUCCCUGUAGGCUACACCACUGAUUAUGCAAUACAUUUAUAAAUAACUCUAAACUGUCCAUGAAAAUCGAAUAAACUGCCAUGAUAAUACAUAAAUACGAAUAAUAUUGAGAAUAUUAAAACAAUACAUAAAUAAAUUAUUUGUGCUCCAGAUAAAUCAAAUAAAUUUUAAAAUACUCUGUAUAUGUAUAGACCAAUAAAGCGUACCAGUAUUUUAUUUGAAUAUAAUAUUAUUGGAGCUUAAAAUUUUACCGCUUUAACAAAAAUUCCAUCGACAUGAUACAAAAUGACGAUGUAGUUAUUUGUUUUUAGUUUUAUGAUGAUAGUACAAUGAAUCCGAACAAACGGCGUUUCAAACAAUGCAUUUAAACUUAUGGAAAAAUAAUUACGCUGAACACAAAUAAAAUCUACAAACAUAUUUUAUCUUAGAACACGAAAUUAUGUACCUAUGGAAAAAGUAUGAUUAUAGAUUAUUCUCGGUAAUGUUCGAACGUAAUUGUAUAUUAUAAGGAGAAUAAAGUGCAAAAAUUCGAAAUCCACAAACAUAGAUUAUGUUCGGUUGUUUCAUGGCAUUUUCCGGGGGAAUAUUUUAGUUUCUUUUCAAACCAUUGGACAUUUUUAGAGAUAAUCCGCUUCAAACAAUAAAUGGUCGGUUUUGAUUAUAAAGAAAAACAAAAUCAUUUAACAUUAACAUAUCAUUAUAGCAUCGAGUGUUAUAUAUAUAUAUUUUUUUUUUAUUAAAUUUUAUUUCGUAAACGGUUUCUAAUAAUAUCAAACACUUUCUAUGGCUUAAGUAGUAUAAAUAAUGAAAAAACUCUCAGAUUUUAAUAACAUAUAAAAUAAUAUAAUAAGGUAUAUAAGAUAAUUAUAAACAUAUAACAUUACAUUAACACGGCUUAUUGUAUAGGCAAUUGUAGUACAACAGUGAGUAGGAGUAGACAAUAAAUGUCGUAUGAAUGGCGUGUAGGCGAGUACAUAUUAAUACAAUUUUAUUAUUAUAAUAUUGUUUAAAUUGUAAUUCAAAAUAUUAUUAACCGUGCAAUUUCGAUUUGUCUAAACUGACGAACAAACUAAGACUGACAAUAUGAUAUAACAGUCUCAGCCUCUAUUCAAUUUGUCCAAAACGUAACAAAUUUUGUUUUUAUUAUUAUUAUUUAUCGAUAUUAUUUUUAUUAUUAAUCGACAUUAUAUUACCUAUAACGACUGGUGGAGUUUUUAUCAGUAUUGUUUUUUUUUUUAAAUAUUAUUAUAAAGUUGAGAUAUAAUAUUAUACAAAAGUACAGAUGCCGUCUGCAUAAUAUUAUAAUAAGCAAGUGCUGGAAUCUUUAUAGAAGUGAUCACCAAAAUCCGAGCGGAACUUUGUUUCCAAAGCCAUUUAUCACUUUACGCAUAUAUCUACCUAUAAUAUACAAGAGGUUAAAUAAUAUUGGCGGUAAGCCAUCUCCUCGUCUUAAUCUCAAUCUUAAACUCAUCUGUAACACUGUAUAACACUGUAUAUACGUACAACAUUCAUCUUAGACGUACACAAUAUGAUGUACGAGUAUUCGAUCGUACCGAAAUCGCCGACAAAAUAACAUCUACAACAAUCAACUUGUAUUAUUAUUAUUUAUUUUUUUCAUUAAGCUUAACAUAUUAUUAAAUAACAUACUAGCUGUAGAUUUUAUUUAAUGUAUACAUGUAUUACACAUAUUAUUAUUUCUUUAAAUACAAUUAAAAUUAAAAUUAAAUAUUUGGUGUUUAAUGUAAUAAUAAUAAUUAUAAAACAUAUGACGGAUAGUCGAAAAUUAUCGAAACUGAUUAUGUUAGCUAUAAACUGAGCAUUAAAGAACAGUACAAUUGGUAUUAUUUGACGAUUCUGUAAUGAACUCGGAAGUUUAUAGAGAGUCUACAAAAACGGGUGUGUUCCGAAGAAGUCAAUAGAAAAUCAUUAUGAGCAAAAUUUGUCUAGCCUUGAAAUAUAAAAUGUUUAAAACUUAUGUCUACAACUUUUUUUUUAAAAAUAAUUAACUUAUAUUUUGAUUUCUCUGGAUACAUCGUAUAUCCGUCAGGUUUUGUUAUACGAUGAAUAAAACUUCGUCACAUAAUAUUGUACCAUGUGUGAAUUAGUGAAUUUAUGUAAUUAUUUAUUAUAAUCUAUUAAGUCGGUUUUCUUAUUUUUCGCCGUUUAAUAAUCGAAACGCGUUAAUAUAUGGACACACAUUGUAUUAUGAUUCUUUUUUUUUUUUUUGUUUGUUUCUUUAUUAUUCACCAUGCAUCGCGUGCCAUAAAUUAUACUUGUACCACUAUCAAAUUUUUUUUUACCAGUUGAUAAGUGAUCCAUCCUUUAGUAUCAUGGAAGAAAAAAAAGCUGUCCUAGGAUAAUGGGAACACGUGUAGCCACUGAUAUAGGUAGGAAGUUAGAAAGGUAGGAUAUAGAAGAGAAUUUAAUGUAUAUCUGUAGAGAAAGAUAAUCUAUUGUUAAUAAAAAAAACGAUUCUGAGCGGAAUUCAGUUUAUAGUGAUGAUUUGUAACAAUAUGUAUAUCAUAUCAUGGUAAAAUAUUUGAAUAUUCAUUAAAUAUUUAUUUCAAUAAAAUUUGUUUAGUAUUAUACCGAUUUCCAGGUUCCUUAUGUUUUCUCGAUUUUCUCGUGUUUUUUUUUCCUGUUUUUUACAUUUAAUAAAAAACUAUCGGAAAAAUCGAUAAAUCGAAAAAAUUUCCUUUCAGAAAAUAUUCUAGAUCGUAUAUAUCAGAGUGGAAAAAGCGUUGAAGUGGAAAUGUGAAAGUGAAAAGAAUAAAAAUUAAACAUCAUUGUAAAACCAAUACAUUCUUCACUAUACUCAAAAUCUAAAUAUAAAGAGGUGGUUUUGAUAAACAUUCCCAUUUUUAUGGUUCUUUAAAUCAACUAAUUAUUAGUUUUGGUGUAAGAGUAAUUUUUUCUACCAUAUACGUACCUGCUUAUAUGCGUUACAUACAUUUUUGUAUUAUUAAAUAUUGUUUAGUACUCUGUAAACAAGACUCGUUACAAGAACAGAUCUUUUUUAAAAAAAAGAAACUAUUUGACCUAUUGAAUAUAAUAUUAUUAAAAAUCCAUUGACCGAAAUUUAAUUUGAAUCGACUAUUCUGCAGAACAAAUCAAAUCGUGUAUUUGCAGGUUAUGCGUAUAGAAGUCUACAAAAACAAAGUCUAUUGAUAUAUCAAUCGGAUUAGGAUUACUGCGGUCCCGGAUAUUGGUAUCCGACCUACCACAGAAAGUAUACUAUAUAGUACGCCGCGUGCCGUAAGCUCAUUAACCACUAUAGCAGGUAUCUAAAAUCUAAAAAAAAAAAAACCUUUCCAAUCACUCGAAAAUACAAUAAUCUAUCUAUUAUAGUUUUAUUAUAACUGAAAUCUUUUCUUCUUGAAAACUAUUUUAAACGACUUUUAUGGAAUACUAAUGGUUUUCUUUUAUUAAUAAGUGACACGAAUAAAAAAAUACUUAAAUUCAGCUAUAAAGUGAUCGAUUUAUUGUAAAAAAUAAAUUUAAAAAAUAUUAAUAUAUAAUUCAAAAAAAGAUUAUUUUUAUGACAUAUUAAAUAGGUAUUAUCAGACGUAUUUCAAAUGUAUAAAACACAAAAGUAUUGUAAACUUCAAAAAAAAAAAAAAAAAAGAAGUAAUUAUUUUAUCUUAACGAUAUUUAUCCAACGCUUUUUUUCGAUAUUUUAACGGAAUUGGUCGUUGCAUGUAUGCACUUUUAAGUUAUGUUUUAUUUUCUUUUAGAAUCUGAACGCAGCAAGGAAGUUACUAAAAUGUGUUUUUUUCUUCUUACCCUACCUUCUUACCUACAACAGCGGCUUACCCAUCAUGUGAAGUAUGUCCGUCUGUUUGUUAUUUUUUUUUAAAUCGAGGCGGCCGGUUUCAUUGUAAAAAUUCAAUUAUUUUGCAUUCUGUAGUAUGUUACUCAUGGCCUUUGAAAACGUACCAUAUUUAUUUAUACGUAUUUUAUCUAAUCUGCCACUCGUUUGAAUGAAAAAAAUGAUUUUUUUUUUACAAUUAAUACGUAUCUUUCGUACGCUUAUUAUUCCAAUAAUAAAACUUAGCUAAAACACUGUGAAAACCUGUUUUUUUUUUUUUUGUUGUUGUUUAUCAACGGACUUACUAUAAUUACAUUGGCUAUAUGCGCAAUGUACUGAUAUGUCGGUGUCCGAAUAUUACAUUAUUAUUAAAUGAAUCAAAUUUGUAUUAUCUCAUUUUCACAUUAGGAGAUAUGGAUUACGGCCGGUGGUAUUUAAUAUAUUUAAAAAAAUUAUGAGAUGAAAUAAUGAGAUACUCAACAGGAGGUUUUAUCCAAAGUUAAAAAAAAAUCUACAGCAAAUAACGAUAUUUUGGUUUUAUUUUUAUUUUUUUAUAGAGCUUUACCUUGACUUCAAAAGAAAAAAAUCAUAAUUAUUAUAAUAAUAAAGCAUUAUCCAAUUUAUUGAGUUUCAUAUAGAAUCGGUUUUUGAUUGAAAUUAUCUAUCGAUGUUUAGUUGUAUACUAAUACAAACUAAAUUGCGUCCUACAAACGUUAAUAUUGACAUACCAAAUUAUUUAUAAACGAUGGCAUGACAAAAUACGGUUUACUUGAAUAUACAUAUUUAUUGUAUUGGCCAGACUGAAUGGUUUUUUUUUUUUAAAUCUAUUUUCCAUUCUUGGAUUCAUACCUUCUUUUAGACUCGGAGUAAAGCGAGAAAUGUAUUGGUUUUAUAAUGAUGUUAAUUUUUUUACCUAAUGUUUUUCUGGUGAAACAACUUUUCAACCAAAAAUCUUGCUCGAUGUAUCAAGUGCAGUAUCGAUUAUUGGUGCUGAAUUUUUGGAUUUUCUAAGCAAUUUUCAUAAUAAUCCGGAAAAACUUACAAAACGUAGUAGUGUUUUCAUUUUUUUUUUUUUUUUUUUUUAUUUAUUGUGAUUCAGUUAAAAAUUAUCGUAAAAACCUAACAUUUUGAUUGAAAAAGUAUUACAUUUUCAUUUUAUAGGUUUGGUAAUAUUUUAAAAACAUUUUAGCCGUUUUUAAGGUAUUUAAAGGUUUUUAAAUUUAUAUUCAGUAGAUAUUCUGUGGAUAAAAUUACCAAAUAGGAUAACUUGAAAUGAAAAUUUUUACAAGAAGUUCAAUUUAAGUCAUAUUAUUUAGAAAAAAAAAAAAAAAUUAAUUUUGACAAAAAUCGUAAAUAUUACAACCUUUCACAACACAUAUAACUCCGCUCAAAAUGGUUUUUUUGUUAUCAAUGAUUAAUCGUUGUGUAUAGAUAUACAUUAAAAAUUCCCCUCCUUAUUCUACCUGCUCACUUGCAACAGUGGCCCAGCCACCGUACGAUAUAUGUCAGUCUUUUUUCUUUUUUUUUUUUUAAAACGUGUACGAACAUUUUUAAUGUUUUUAACAAACAUGGGUAUCUAUAAUAGCACUGUACGGGCAAAUAAAAAAUUUGCAUUAGCUUCGUUUAAAAAAAAAAUAAGUUAAUUGGCUUAGCGUACAACUAAAAAUUAGCCCUCGCUGUAAAUAGUCAUUUAUUAUACCGUUAAACAUUAUUAUUUACUACAUAAACACAAAUUGUGAACGGAGUAUCGCGAUUAAGGUACCUACACAAUAAAAACACUAAAAUAUUAUUAAACUCGUAGCUUAUAAAUUUUAUCGGAAAAUAAAAAUAAAUACGCCGCAGCUAAACUGCAGUUUAAACACUACGAUUUUGGAAAAUAGAAUAUAAUUAUUAAGCUAUUAAGGGAAUAAUACGAGUGCUAGCUGUAUAUUAGUACGAUUUAUGUUAUCUAAACACUUGAUAAUAUUAUUAUUAUUAUUAUUGCGAUUAUAAUAUUGUACACUUUUGGAAUUCAAUAACAGAUAUUAUUUACGAUAGGACUUAUUAUAACUGUAAAAUAUCGAUUCUUUUUUCCCCUUAUUUUUAAAUUGGCUAUAAUUAUUUGUUGUUUAUAUAAUUACAAGUAACUGAAAUAAUAUGUUUAAUUGGUAGACGAUUCGUUGCAAAAACACAUAUUUCAUGGGUUAAUUGAUAAAAAGUUUAACGUCUUGGUAUACGUUAUAUUGCAACCUUAAUUUAAAUUUACUCUUAGAGUCGGCUGCUAUUUAGAUACAUUUUUUGUCAUUCAUUAAAUUUAUUGGCUACCUAAGUAAGUACGAUAGUAAUAACAUAAUAUACUAUUUGGAAAUAUUUCUAAAAAUCGUAUUAAUAAUACAAUCUAAAAAACAAAAAAAAACACCUAUCUACAUUUAGAAGACUGUAAAUUAUAUUAUUAUAGGUAAGCAAUGGCACGGAUUUCACGAAUAUUAUUAUUGUAUUACCUAUGCUCGAACAAACAUAGAGUGGAAAAAAAAUAAAACGAUUUUUUAUAACUCUGAGACAUAAUAUAUAUUUAUACAUUAUGAAUACAUUUUAUUUCGUAACAAUUGUCGUACUUAUAUUAUAUUUUUUAAUAUACGCAUAUAACUCUAAAAAAUAUUAUUCAAUAAUAUUAUUGUACCAUUAUAACGUCACUAAAACGAUUUGUUCACGGAUUAAGUGUAUAUUUUUAACGGUCUUUUGUGUAUACCUACCCAUGCAGUAGUGUUAUUAAACACCAACGAUUUAACGUAUCUACGAAAAUAAUAAAAAAAAAUUCGUAUAAAUAGUCCGAUGUAGUGAUAUUACCUAAUAAAAUAUCUACAACAUGUUAUUUUUAUACGUUGUGGUUGGUUUUACGUCCGACUUGAAACUGUAUGUUUUCAAGUCUUUCCCCCUGACAGUUCGUUAUAUUGAUAACGAUAAUAUAUCAACGAAAAGCUAAAUCGUUAUUAUUAAAAUAAUAUAAAAUAUUUGUUUACUUAAUAAUUAAUAAAUAUUUACCGAAAAAUUCAGGUUAUAUAAUUAGAAAAUAGCUAUUUUCGUUGAUUUUGUUGGUCGGCUAUAUCACAACUAUUGCGAAAUCGCCGUUUUGAUUUAAGACCUACAUUAGUUCACUCUCCCACUAAAUAAACCGAGAGGAUUCUAGAAACCGAUUACAGCAAAUGGUUUUUCUUAAAACAGUUUAACUAUAAACAGAUAUUUCGGCUUUUUUAAAAUUUACACACUAUUUCAAUGGUUUUUCGUAAUCGUUUUUAUUAAUGAUUCGACCAAUGAGACGGCAAGACGGCAAGACGUGAAAACAGCUAAUUUUUAUGAAAAAAAAAACAUUUAUCGUUUUUUAUUCGGUCGUUUUAUUGCCUUUAAACCUAACAUUAUGAUAUAAUUGGCGGGCCACUAUACAUGUAACUUCAAUCGUACCUGUUUCGUAACUUCAGUAAUAAUAUCAAGGGAAUAAAUUACUUCCGAAAUAAUUUAACGUCUCUUACUAAUAUAAUAGUAGUAGGUAGGAACUCGCGAGUAUUGACUACCGCAUAUCGGGGCAACAUUGACGAACUGUGAAAAUACUAUACCAGUCUCUACACCAUAACGAUUAUUAUUUCGCAGCGUCGCUGACGUCUAGCGUUAUUGCUAUUUCAUCUAAAUACACAUUUAUUUUAUCGGUUUUAUCGCAUAUCCACAUUAAUGAGGGGAAAAAUCUUCUAAGCCGUUACAUGCAUAGAUCAAUAAUUAAAUCACAUAGAUUAAUAUUUUUAAAACAAAAUUAUAAUUUUAUAUUACUCAUCCGAAAACAGAUAUUAGGUCAAAUAUUUAGUCUUUAUGAAUAUGGAUAAUAUGGUGUAAUUUAGUUGCAUCGAUUUGGGGUCAAAUGCAAAUAAAUUUGUCUAUAAUUGUCAGACUCGAACCCUUCAUAAUAUCGAUUAUAAUAUUAUGGACACCGCAUUAAUUCACUGAGAUCCCAUCAUAACAGAAUAAUUAUUGUUGGUAUGUAUGAUAAGGUAACCAUUUAAAACGAUAUUAACUAAGCUAAAGGAUUCUAUUUUGUAUCUGUGGCUCAUUUCAUGUAGGGAAUGAUAAUAUGCGUGCUUUAUCUGGUACUACAAUUUGAGUCCUUAGUUAUACUUACUAUGGACAAUGGAAAAUAUUCAUAUGAUUUUUUUUAUCUAGAUUCAGAUCAGUGAAUAUUUAUCUAUAUAAUUAAACCAUCGUUAUGUGUCUUUAAUACGUGUAUCUUGAUAAUUAAUCUAGCAAUUAUUUCUUCUCUUUUUAAUCAAGUAUUUUAACAUUUCUCAUUAUUUACAAAACUGUUCAUCGAAAGAUAAUCGGUUUUAUUGUGUUAAACUGAUUUUGUCCAGUGCUCUAAUACUACAUAGUAAUUUGCUGAAAUUCUUAGUACCUAAUAUACUAAAAAUCUGCUAUAGAAAACAAUCGAAAUGAAAAAUAACAAGCGAUUGUGUUAAAUAAACAUAAUAUAAACACCGAAACAUUCAUGACUUCACGAUGUUUUAGAUUUAUCUUGUUGAGAUUAUGAUUGUGUGCGAAUAAUAAUAUUGUUUCAUCGUUAAUGAGAGAAAACCUUUUAAUUUACGAUUUUGUGAUUUUUAAUCCUGAAUUUAAAAUGGAACAUAGACUAAAGUAUUAAAAUAAAAUCUCCUCUUGUAUUAUCUCGUGUUCUAUAUUAGGUAUAGAAUAAUGAAAAAUAAAAUAUAUUCCUCCUUACACUAAGAAUUUGAAACAAAACCGUCAAAACCUCCUGCGUCUUCACUACAUAAAUUACUUACUUAAUACGUCAAAUCCUUUUACAAUUGAUACAAAUAAAAGUUACGGACACACGUUGCACCAUGAGUGGGCCAUUGUUGUAGGGUUUGUUAUAAAAGACCGUAAUAUUUUCCGUAAAUUUUCCUAUUUAUUAUGAAAACUUUUGGGAAAAUCAAAAAAUGGCUUACCUAAGCAGAUUUUCUUUUAGAAAAAUUGCUACACUUGAAAAUCAGAACAAAGUUUCUGGUAAAAAAGUUGUUUAGAGAAAAUAAAAAAAUAAAUAUCAUUUAGAAUAUGCAAAAACUUCCUACGUGACAAAAUUAUUUCAAAAAUAUACUGAGCUAUAUACAUAAUAAAUAAUGAUUUUAUCAUUUUUCAAAAUACUUAUCAACACGUUCUGUGUUGAUAAAUAUGAAUUAUAUUUUAACUAAUUGAAGACUCACUGUGCUAUACAAUAUUCAUAGUGGGCUUGUAAUAGAGCCAAUCACGAUAGUUUAUAUAUUAAAUUGAAAUUUUUAAUCGUUUUACACGUACGUCAGAAUAAAAUUUGUAUCUAGGAUAUGAGGAUGUACGUGCAUUUUGAUUAACUAACACUGUGGUCUGUAUAUAUAUAAACCAGGUUUAUUUAAUAUUUAAAGCAUUUAAAAAAAAAGUAAGUUCAGCAGGACAAAAUUAUUUGUAUCUUCCUGUACGACAAUAUAGUUUUAAAAUAAUAACAAACGAUAGACAUCCACGUGAUAAUAAUAUACCAUAUCAGAAUGAUACGUAAUAGUGUCACAUGACAAGAAUUAUUAAGUUUACGACAAAAAUGUUGUUGUCGAAAUUUUAAAAUUUUGACGACGUGGACUGGACCUAUAGUUGCUCAAUCUGAAAGUUUCUAAAAGUCGGGACUUCACUGAAUUGUUUUCACCUAAGUCUUAACAGGACCUAGGAUUUUCGAGUCGACUAUUUUCUAGAACAGUGAGUUGAAUACUUGCCUACGGUUGAAUUGUAAAUUUGUUUAUUUUUUCUUCUGAAAAGUCAGAUUUUUGUGCACAAUGGAAAAUUAUUUUCUUCACAAACGGCGAUAUUAUGUUUUAGGAUAUAGUUUUCCAAAUUAUUAUUCGGUAAAGACCCAUUGCAGUGGAAAUUAGUUAACGCGUUUCGCUCCGAGUGGUAAUAUACUACAACAAAAUACCGCGUGGCACAGUGCACGCGUGUCUGCGGUGUUAUAGUUACACGAUUUUCUUAAUGACGUUUUCGGGGAGAGGAAAAGGGUUUUGCGGGUGGACAAAAGUGGUGGGGAGAGCUUGGGCGGUUUUUGCAGAGAAACCAGCGGCGGUGGCGUGUGUUCCGGUUGUCGAUAAAUAACUAUUAUCCUUUGAGUACGACUCCCCGCCUUCCCCAAAUCGCUUCUCUGUCACUCCUAUCCCCUUGCAUUUACUCUUAUAUUACUCUACAGAGACGGACGGGGAAAUAUCUGGAGAAGGAAAGAGAGAGAGAGAUUUUCGGGCCACCACCUCCUCACAGCCCCCAUGACGCCGACGGAUAUUAGCCGCAAUUUCCUGAAAGCACUCUCUAAUGGAUAUUGCCACGCGUUUUCCUCCCGUAUAAGCCUUUUCGCUCCGUAACAAUUAGGAUUCGGCAUUUCAAUCUCUUCGCGACCGCAUUGUCCAGCAAUUUGUUUGGUUUCUAUUCGAACGCCCCUCCAACACACUCCCAUUGACUAGCCUUUCCACUGCUACCACCCAAAACGCUUCUAAACUUUUCACGACGCGUGUUUAGGCUCAUGGUAACUUGUUAUUGUAUUUCCGCACUAUUUAAGAUCUUCAAUUUACUCCGUAUAAUAAAUAACAUAAUAAUUAUUGUCUUCAUACAUGUACAAUUAAUAAUAUUGUAACUAAGAGGGGAAAACAAAUCGAAGACGAUAUAUUACUAUAGACGUAGUCUAUUCGGCUUCCGUUUUACAAAAACUGAAUUCCCACACGGCUCCGGUUUUUUACAACUUAAUAUCACAAAUACACAUUAUAUGUGCUAUAUCCGUAUCUGGUUUAAUUGUGUAAAAAAAAUUGAUGAAAUUCCAUUAACUAGAUGAAAUUUGUUUAACAACACCUAUAUAUGCAUGUAGUGUUUGAAACGUAAAAUCCAAACUACAAUAAUUUCUAUAAAUUCGAUAGAACUCGUUAUCGUUAAAAGUAAGAUAUUACACGAAUGUUUUCUACAUCAAAUCUGUAUUUAUUUUGUUGCGAGAAAUGUACGCAUUGUACCGAUAACCGGAGCCGUUUGCGAAUUACCUCGUGCAACCUUUUUCGACGGAAGCCGUUUGUGAAAAAACAAACAAUAGAUGGGAGCCGUUAGGGAGUCGACUAUUAUUAUAUAAUUAUAAUUGCAAACCAAUGAACCCGGAUGUGCUGAACUCCUGAUCCUGCAUGUCGAUCGGAAAUCCAAAUAACGAUGCCCAAUUUUAGUAGAAUAAAAAUGACACAGAGAUGAUCUAAAAACGUUUUUGUUUAACCAAUACUGUAAUUCAUAUUGUCAAAAUCGGUACUAAUAAUUCGGGGCUUACGAAACCGUCAUUCUCGCAUGGUUUUCGAUUAAUUCGGUAACGAUAUUAACAUAAAAUAAAAAGUCAACUAUCAGCCCUACUCCAAGAAUAUUUCUGCACAUUUCAGCUUAUAAUAUAGGAUCAGCUAUGAUAUAAUUAUUGAUUGAUAUAUAUAUACAUAUAACUAUUUGGAUUCAGCUAUCUUUAUUCUACACUUUCACUUGAAUCGAUUCCUCACAUCGUCCACGCAUAUACCUGCCAUCCUGAUAUUCCAAUCAUAUCUUUUCUGGUCUCCUCUUCUUCUCCUUUGUCCUACGUCUGUUCUCAUUACAAUUCCUACUACUUCUGAUUUCUCUCUUCUCAUGAUAUACUCAAACCAUCUCUGUCUAUUUUAUUAUACUUUGUCUACUAUCGAAGACAAACCUAGGCUACGUCUAAUGUACUUAUUCAUUAUUCUAUCUUCUCAUCUCAUCCCAGUCAUCCAUUUAAGCAUUCUCAUUUUUGCGUGUUGCAACGACAUUCAAAUACAAUACAAGUAGAAUUAUUCCAUAAAAUAAAGUUUGUAACAUUUAAUUUAUUAUUUUUAUCCAAAUUUAAAUUAAAUUUGUAUUAUUUUUGUUUUUAUUACGUAAAAAUGAUUCAGCACAAUUAUUGGUGUAUAUUUUUUUUAGACCGGUGCACUAAACGUUUAUAAUACAACAGUGUUUUAUUAUAGUUAUAAUGACUAGAGCUAUGUACUAUGAUUCUUUUAUUUAAUGCUUGUAAAUUUAAAAAAUAAUACAAAUUUACAUUGUUCACAAAAUCUAAGACGGCCGAUAUCAAUUUAUUUUUAUUAAAAUAAUAGUUUUACAAAUUUCGACUAAUGAUAAGCCGUUAGAUUUUUAAAAUUGUUCAUAGUUAACAAAAAUCAUUUACAAAAUUCUCUCAUGGAAAAUUAUCUGAAAAUAUACUGUCAUUAGUGGUAAUAAGUAAUAAUAACAACUAGGUAUUUAAAUCGUUAUAAAAUUUACAAAUUUUUGGAAAUUUAAUGAAUUAUUAGUCAACUUUUGUACACACAAACUUGUUUCGAAAUAAAUUUAUAACAGUAUGGAAAUCUUCAAAUUAGUAAAAAAAAUUACAAAAAUCCAAAAAGUCAUUUGCAAGGUUUUUCAUUAUUAUGGAAAACAAAUGGACAUUAUAUGUUUAUUUUACGUUAAUAGUCGACGAAUGAAAAUUAAAUUUUGAUCGAUAUAUAUAUUUGUAUGUAUACUAUUUAUUUAAAUUAUUUUUACGAAUCAACACUCGACUUUUUCAAAAGCUUAAAAAACUAUUUUCAUUAUAAUCCCCGGUAUAGUGAUAAUUCAAGAUUAGAAACACAUUUUUUUAUAAUUAUUAUUAUUUAAUUGACUACAUAUCGAAAAAGUUCUGAAAAAUAAAUUCUUCAAAAAUUAUGUCUUCGAUUAUAACUGUGGCUAAUAAUAUUUAUUUAUUUAUGUUUUGUACUUUUAUGAUUUUAUUCAAAGUCUUACAACUUUAAAAAAAAGUAAAUAUUUGAAUGAAUUUCCUACGCAAUAUGUCAUAUAUUACUGUAUUUACUUUUGAUGACAGAUAAAUCUUGAUUUUAGUAUUCACAGUUUGGAUACAAUUAUGAGAAAUAUAUAAUAAAAACCGAAAAAUCAUUUACGCUUACAUUCUUGGAAUUCUCAAAACCCCAUAAAAUAAUUAUACUUCAAAAUGUUAUACAAAACUUUAAAACGAAAUUCUGAUUUCAGAAUUCAGAAUCUGGAUUUACAAUGAAUUUCGGAUUCACGAAAUGCGACACUUCCGAAAUAUAUUCAUUAUUUCAAUUUGUAUAUGUCAUUGGAAAUUAUUUGUUAAAUAUUCCUAAUUGCAAGUAUUAAAUAAAAAUAACUUUAAAAAAUGUAUAACAUAUGGCAUCGAAACAGUGUAACAUGAAGUUUAAAUUUAUUAAAACAAAAAAUAAUAAAUAACAUGAAUAGAUUGUGCACGUAAAGUUUUUUAAGAUUAAUAUUAUUCAUUGAUAAUUUGGGAAACGGUAUAGGUACAUUAGUUAUUUAGUUUCCGUUUAAAAUUAUAUUUUCGAAAGAACACAGUCGAAUAAAAUUGUAUACAUUUAUAAAUCCGUUUACCCGGAAAAUUGGUUGAUUGAAUAAAAAGUUGAUAAAAUAAUUUAUAUAAAUCCGUAAUAUAUGAAUGUUAAUCAAAUAACGGCAACGAUAAUAUAAUUUUCGAAGUGCAUUUUUUUCCCCUACACUAAAUUUAUCGUGUUAAUUUAAUAAUAAUUAACGAUUAAUAGUUUGUUAUUAAUAAAUAUGUUAACAUUUUAUCAUAAUACAAUGAUGACGAUUGAAGUUAAUAAUUCCAAAAUUGUUCGACAUUUUUAAAAGUUUUUCGAACCCAUAUGUUAGGCCCAUUGCACAUUUUUUUUUGAAAAUAUUGAAAAAUAAACCUUUUCCCCUCUCUCUCCUUCGAAAAUGUCUUUUGAAAACCACCGAUCACCGUAUGGCUGUGUAACGUGAGUCAAACGCAACCGAAUAUUAUCAUCUAUUAUUGCAUAGAUUUAUUUUCGCAAAUAUUAAUUUAUUUCAAUUUAUCACUCGUAUAUAUAUAAAAAGCUAACAACAAUUAUAGAUAUAUUACUAUUUAUUUAUCAUAUGUAUUGUAUUCUGCGGAGCGAGUUUGCAAAUUUGUCCUCGAGAUUAUUUUGUUUGUCGAACAGUAUUUUUUAAACAUAAAUCUUGUUCGAUGAAAAUUAUUUAUACAUUUAUUUUAAAUUUAAUCUAAUUAGUGGGAGUUCGAUGCCAACCUUUCACAUGUUUUGGAGUGGUUAAUUGUAUUGUAUUAUUGAAGUUUAUUAGUUUCUCAAGCUCUCCGCGGAAUCGCGGUCAUCGUUAUACUGCAAACUGUAAUAAUAAUAUCAUAUUAAUUUGUUGGCGAAAAUAACUAUAAUAGUAUAAUCGUAAUUGUUUUUCGGAACAGGAAAAUAAAAACGAUUUAACAAUAAUUAAAAAAAAAACCUUAUUAUCAAUUAUUGGUCAAAUAUAUCGAGUAGUUGCAUAAAUUAAAUCCUAAUACAAAUAUAUUUCAACGAAUUGCAAUUGAUUAAAAUUGAAAAAAUAUAUAAUUACACUGAACUAAAUAAAUAAAUAAAAUUGCUAUAUUCGAUUGGUUCGUUAAAAAAAAAAAAAACCUGAAUUAAUUAAAUACCAUCUCGAACACUAUUUGUAAUGUUAUGCAAUAUCUUUUGACAUCAUUGAUGGAUAUGCUCACCCAAGUCCGAUUAAGGUGGGAGGGGUGCAUGACCCCAGGGGUUCACUGAGUCAUCAUUCAUGCAUAUGUAAUUUCCGUUAAAAAUUGUUUAGUAUAGAAAUGUACUUACCAUGUUUAGAAAGAAGGCCUAUUUUUUAGGUUCACCGGACACUUAGUCAUUUAAUCCAGCCAUGUGCUUACCUAGUGGGUAUAUUAGAUCAUCGUAUAAUAUUCCAUUUUAAAUAUUCUGAUUGGUUGCUAUUCAAUUUUAAAACUAAGUGCGUUUUUUUGUUAUUAUUGUGCGCUCAAAAAACGCUAUACGUAGAUCCGUAAACAUUUGACAACUUUAAAAUAUUAUGAAAUCGAACGUGAACUGUCGGUAUAACUGAAACGUCCAAAGGUUUUUUUUCUAAAGCCAGUAGUGCAUUUAUAUUUUUAUUAUUUACCCAACCAUACUACUAUAAGUGGUGUAUUUUUAUUUAAAAUUGAAAUUUCACGAAAUCGGAAUUGUUCAAAUACAAUAUCUUAAUUUUGGAGCUUUUUUUAAACUGAAAAUUGAACACCUAGAAAAUAUUUAAAACAAAUCCAUACACACUUUAAUAAGUUAAACAAUCUAUUUUACAAAUGUGUCAUAGUCUCUUAAAGUAUUAUCAUCGUAUAUUAAAAUAAACACGUAGAUACGAAUUGAAAAAUACCCAAAUAAUCAACUCCCUAAUAUUAAAAAGUAUAUUGAUCUAUUAAUAGUGUUAUUACAACUACACGUUAUAAUUAAUGCGGAGUAGGUCUAUGUCAAUCUCAUCUUCAUAUAAAUUACUGGUUUUCGUUUUACUUAUUUUUAUAAAUUAUAUUCAAUAUCCAUGUGCAAAGUAUUUUAGAUGACCGCCCAUUCAAUGCCAGUUCCAUUUGCACUAUUUGGUAAGAUACAUGGGUGCCACUGUAUCAUAUAGGCAUUUUGGAGAGGACUUUUUCUUCUAAUUGUCCGGUUUUUAAUGCACGGAUAUACUAAUAAACGGUUUUUUUUUCUUAAUUAGGGUAAUUAUUAAAAAAAACCUACCAUAAACUAUUUUUUUUUUUCAAACUAUUAUCGAAUUACACUGGACAUUUUACCUUUUUCAACUCGUUUUAUACCUUUUAAGCUUUUAUGUUGUAUGAUAAACUUACGGGUCUAUCUUCUUUUUUUUUUGUGGUCUCACAGUCGAAAUAAUGUUAUAUCGAUUUUUUUAUCAAUACAAAUUUAAAUAUAUUUCAAUCUACGCUCGACAUGCGUUAUAUUAUAUACGUAUAAUACCACCAAUAUAAUAUAUAAAGAUAUUGAAUUUUAUUUUCAUAAUGCUUUUUGUUUUACAUAUAUUUUUCUUACAAAAUAUACGUCAUGUCACAUUUAUUUAUUUCAAUUUCCCAAAUAAUUUAUCUACCUUUGCAUUACAAUAUCAUCUUUUCAAUGUUAUUAUACACAUGUGUAUGUGUUAUAUCUACCAUGUCGUCAUUGACGGUUUUCAAUGUACAUAGGAGAGCGGGGGAGGUGCAAUUUAAUACAACUCGCAAAAUACGUUCGAUCCAAAAAUUAUUAUCUUGUUCUCCCAUAUUAUAAUAAUAUAAUAUAUUAUUUGUAGAAUAUUGUUACGUGUGUGCGAUCGAAUACAUAAUACCUGCCGUACGACAUACUCGAAAAUCGUAAAAUAUCGUGAUUUGUGACCUAACUCAAUAUUGUAUGAUUCGUGUGUAAUAAGUAUCGUACCCGCGACAUAUUAUUAUUAUUUUUUAUUUACCACGAACGAAAAUAAAUUCGAAAAAAAAAAACACGUCAAUGUAUAAUACAACAGAUAUAAAAUAAACUCAAUACGUAUCCCUCGAAUAUCAUGAAGUAUAGCUAUUUAACCGGUAGAGUUUUUAUUUUUAUAUAGUUCAUAAAUAUGAUAUUUACCUCUUGCGUAAGAUUUUUUACUGAAAUAUACAAAUAAUAUUAUAUAAAAACGGAUUCGGAUGUACAGUAUACGAUAUACAUAUAUUUUUUAUAGUGUCAAUUUUUUUUUUUAAUAGCGUUUUUACGCAAACGUUUUUGUUGCUAUGUAUACAUAGGUGAUUCAAUAAUAUGACGCCAAGAGAAUUCCAAACGGUUAGGUUAGAUAUUUAUAACCAGCUGAAAUGAAUUAUAACGAUAUUUUUUUUCUAAAUAAUUGGAUACAUCUAAUAUUAUGCAGAGGUUAAGCGAUUGAAUGCAAACAAUUAACUCGAUUAAGUUAAAUCAACGAAUAGGCCUUCUUCUGAUAACAGCCCAACCAAACCUUAAUUGAACUGAUAAAUAAAUUUAAGGUUAAAAUAUAAAACAAUUUCACUUCAUUAAGUUAAAUAUCAGAGUUAGUUGAUUUUAUUUUUUUCGAAAAUGCCAACAUCCAACAUAAAGUAAUAUAAUUACUUAUAAAAAAAAAUUAAUAAAUAUAAUAUAAUAUAUGUAAAAAUAUAAACUAAAUAUAACUGUACAAUAAAUUUUAAUACGUAAUUGCUAUACGUAAAUCAAAAUACUGAAAACAUUUAAAAUUGAACUUCAAUUUUGAAAAAAAACCAUCCAUCUUUAGCUCGUUAACUUGACUGGAUUUUUAUGAAAAUUAACUUUGACAAAUUGAAUGUAUAAAAUGAACACUUAAACUGCUUACCUAAUUAAGUUAAAUAAUUGAAGUAAAAAAUAAUUAACAAGACAAAUUAAAAGAUUUGAAAAUAAAUUACAAUUUUAACUAGUUAUAAUUGUCCAUCAAUGAUAUUACGCACUCGAAUGACCGUUGUUUGUUUUCUAUAACACGUCAUAAUAUCUGCAGUCGGUUGUACGCAGGUUGACGAGAAAAAUAUUACGUUUAAGAAAAAUAACAAUAUUAUGUUUCAACUCCUCGAUGUGUUAUUUUGAUGGAAAAACAAACGAAAAAAAAAAUUGGCAAGAUAACAAGUUUGAUGAGCAACGUUUCGGCCGGCCGAGAAUAAAAGGCGAAAAUAAUAAUGUGUUGUUGCAGAAAUUGAUGGUGAAAGUUUUCCAGUUACCGUCGUCACUGGCCGACGACUUUUUUUCUUCUUAUUUUCAGAAUGCCUGUAUAUAACCGCACACCGAACACCGACUUUAUAUUAUUAUUAUACAGAAACACCGUAUAAAUGAUCUUUCGGUAUAUUGUUUCAGUUCUUUUUUUUUUAUCAUUAUUUUCUAAUAACACAAUAUACAAGACGCACAGAAACUUCCCCGUGCCUGUUCACCAAUAAUGCGUCUUCGAAUUCGCAAAACUACCAUUCGACUAUAUCUUCGUAUCAGGUCCCACCCACAUUUCUCUCUGCAGUUAGCUCACCUACACUACGCCAGAAAAAUCCGUAUUCUCGGACCUAUCGUUGUAAUACGUCCACUCGGAUCCGGCCGUUUUGGGAUCAGAUGUUUAACGAACAGCGAGUGAGUGAAUGAGAGAGAGAAAGAGAGUGAGAAAGAGAAAGAGAGAGAUAGAGAGAGAGAGAGAGAGAGAGAGAUAAAUGCUCAUCGAAUUGGAAAUCCGACUAACCACUGCAGCUCACUGACGACGGUGAAGGGCAAAGAAAUAUUAUUUUGUCGAAAGACUAUCCUCUCACGACCCUGCAGAACCAACGCAUUUAAUAUUGUAAUGUAUAUUUUAUAUAUAUAUAACGCCUCUAGCGUAAAAGGAAAUAGUUCUGGUGAAUGUUUGUCAUUCCUUUUUUCUUUUUUUUUUUUUCACGAACCCAUAAAACGAGGUAUAAAUAAUCGCGUCGAGUAAAAAAAAAAAAAAACCCCAUCCGGCAGUGGAAAAUAUACUUGCGGAAAUUGAAAAAAAAAAUAUUGUUCGAUGGAAGCGUUUAUAUUCUUGUAAUCGGUAUUAUUAAUUAAAAAUAAUCGUACGUAUACGAGGUGAAAUAAAAUCAAACCAAUAAACGAUAAUACGAACGAAAUUCUAUUCAAAACAUAAUUUCCACCCCGUCGCGCACCGAAGGCGACAAUUUGUUCACCAUUAUUAUUAUUAUUAUUAUUAUUAAAUAUUUUUUUUUAUUAUUAAAAUGCACUUUCGUGCGUGUAUGUUCACUUAAGCGAAAUAUACCGUAGUUUUAUUUAUUUUGUUGCGACACGAGGAUUUUAAAGUAUGGUCUUUUAUUUUCUACGAUUUUUUGAAGUUUUUGCAAAUGUGAAUAUCACAGUGUUUAAUGAAAUAUUACCCAGAUAGCAUAUCCGUAAUGAUAAUAGUAUGUUAACAUCAAUUUUUCAUCAAAAAAAUGAUAUUAUUAAACAAAUAUUGAUAGUACAUUAAAUAAAUAUUUUGUAAAACAAUAAUGUGAACAUAUUAUUAAUAUAAUAUCAUGAAUGAAAUAUUUAUAGAAUAUUCUGAAUAUAUUAUUAUUAUACUAUUAUAAACGAAUUUUCGAAAUUAUAUUUCGAAUACAUUAAUAAUAUGGCAUCGAUGAUGAAAUAAUAAAAUACAAUUUUGAAUAUAUGAUCGUAAUAUUGUUAAAAUCUAAAUAAUUAUAUUAGAAUUUAAAAAUUAUUCUAUAUUUCUAUGUGAUAUUCUACCAUAGACAUGAUAAAAAUAAUAAUAUAUAAUAAUAUAAAUAUAUAUUGUCUACGUUGGAACCUAGCGAUUUAUUAUCAGGUUCGUUCCAAUAUAUGCCCACAGCUGUAUAUAAAAUCUACAUAAUAAUAGCAAUAUUAGCGUUUUCCGAGUAUAGGCUCAAACGUUACUAACGACCGAUUGAUUGUGCGUCUCAGAAAUCGCCAAAUUGGAACAAUUUGUUAAUAUAAACAAAUAUUACGAUUAAGGCGGUCCAAAUGACUGGCGUACUAGGUCAGUGUAGGUCAAUAUUGGCACUUGGCAAAUAUUGGGCAGGUCGUUGGUCAUAUCUACCACAUAACUGGUAUAGUUUUAUUGAAUGAUAUAAGAUUUUUCUAAAUUUUAAUCACUACAAAAUGGACAGUGCCGAUGAAAAUUUUGUAUUAUCUGCAGAAUGUGUCGCUAGAUUUGAGCAUAUUUAAAAUAAUAAAAAAAACCAAAGAGAGGAUGGUGAAUGGUUUAUUUAAAUAAAAGUCGCCGUGGGUAAGUUUCAAUGUGUAUACAUUUAAUAAAUACGUAGUUCAUAAAAAAUAUGGAUGUUAAAUUUAAAUAUAUGACUAUUGAUUAUUGUUAAUGUUUAUUAAAAUCCAAAAAUGUACAUAUAUUUAUGAACAAAACAUAAUCCUUAUCAAAUCUUCGAUUAACCCUUUUUUUAAAUAUUUAAAAUAUUCUUUAUUAAAUUAGCAAAAUUUUAAAGCCUAGUAGUCUACCAGACACUUGCCAAGUCGUGUGUGAACUGUUGACAAUGUACAUCAUUGACUUGUGCACCAUUUACCGACAAUCGAUGGAAAACGGCCAGCAAUCAAAAUUUGUACCAACUCAACUUCCCACACGACAAGUUACUGGGUCACCAAGUACGCUAGUCGUGUGAGACCGCCUUUAAAUGUACGCUAAGACCACUACGGUUUGACCGAGAUUUACUCAUCAUCUCCAUCCUCGAUACAUCAAAUAACAUUAACCAAAAACGUAUAACUUGUAAUCUAGUUGGCAGUUGAAUUAAAUUUGCAUUAUUAUUAUAUUUGAUGAUUACAUUAUAUUAUACAGUAUAAUAAUCAAUUCUUUUAUUUGGGCGGAGGGGCACUUAUCAUUUUUAUACAAGUUAUGACCAUAUUUUGUUGAACGAUAAAAUACACCAAAAUAACCAACAAACAAAAAAUGGGGGCACGUCUCCCACCACUCCCUCUAUCUUCCCCCUGGCCAGGUGUGCACUAUUCAAAGGAGGUUAAAGUCUCUGUUCCCAAAGAGUUCAUCAUUUCGAGAUGUCACUAUAUAAAUACCUGUAUUAUAAUAUUUUAAAAUUUACUUACAUAUAAUUAUAAAAUCAACUUCUUAAUAAUUAGGUAGAUGCAAUACCCGACUGGUAGCAAGUUACAAAAUUCCGUUUUUGCAUUUUUUCUUAUUAACUAAAGACUUUUAGAAAAAUAUUAAUUUUAAUAAAAUAUAUUUUUGCUAUCUGGGUAGUCAGGGCACAAGACAACGAUUUUCUUAACAAUGAAUUAAUAUAAUGCAAUCAUAAUAUCAUAUUAUAAGUAUUCGGUAGUAUCAAUCAAUGAAUCAUGGUAAUAUAUGUCGAUAAACAAUAAUGUUAUGAUUGAAAAAAAAUUAUUUGAAUUUUCAGAAAAUCGUAGAAAAUAAGAAACUAAAUUUUAACAAAAGUUUCAACCGUCAACAAUUUUCUAAACGUCUAUUUUACGAAAUGGCUGUUUUGAAUUUUUUUUAAAAAAAAUCAUAGUAAAAUUUAAAAUUUGUUAUUUAUUUUGAUUCUCUCUCCCACUAAAAAAAAAAAAAAUGUUCGUAUGUAUAUAACUAUGGCGCAGAGGCAUACUUAUUAUUUAAAAAAAAUAUAUAUAUAUCAACAAUAUUGAAUAGAACAUAAGUUAUUGCAUUUGUCGAAUUCUCGUAGGACGCCCUGUAUGUAAAACUAUUGUUAAAACUACUAUCACUGCAUCAUGCAAGCAAAUUACAUUUUAUAGGUAUUUCGCGAGAAUAAUGAUUUUCCUGUCAUUUUGCACUUUUACAAAAGUUUCUAUAUUGGAAUUCAUUUUACUGAUGGCAUACCUGGGUAUUAUCAUUGGGAAAUAAUGUAAUAAGCACGGGUAAAUCGUAUAGAAUCGUCUUGGCUGUUAUAGGUGUGUAACCCAAAAAUUAUAAUUUAAAAACCGAAUCCAAAAGAGCAAAUCAAUAAAUCGUGCUUUUACACUGGUAACCCGGCUGAAAUAUAUUAUAUUGUAAUUUCAAAACAAAAUUACACAAAAAAUACUUAUUUAUGUUUUUUCCGUCAAUCUAACAAGUGUGGGAAGUAAAACCCAUAUCCACUCUUCCCAAAGCUCUUUUCCACUGCACUUUGCUAUCGUGUCAUUUACCGGCAUCGCUCUAUUGUGUCUUGGUGUGGUCCAGGCUUGAAAUCAUAUUACAACGUUAUUGUUGAAAAAAAAAUAUAUAUAUGUGUUCAUUAUAUUAAAUCGGUUUUCUCUGGUCACUUUGUAAUGUAAUUAUAUUACAACCAAUUGAACCGUUCCGUACGGUAGUCGCCAGACACGUAUAUACUAUUAAUUACUAAUUGGCUCAUAUUGAAAUAAUUACAAGACAAACUACGCUACGGGCUGCAGGAAAAUACGGUAUAAUAGUGUUCUAUAACGUGUAUCGAUUUAUUUACUAACCGGCUGCAGCAGAGUGUUCGUACGUUUAUAUUUUACCGCCGAUGAAACUUUAUAGCUGCGUUCCUCGAUUUUUUUUUUUUCAACUCUCGCCCAACAGCAAAAAACCGACUCAACGCGGUAAAAAAAAAAAAAGAAAAAAAAAACACUACCACGCCGCGUACUAUUCAACCUCUGAACAAUAUCAUUUGAGAGAUAAAUGACAUUUUCUCGUAUACGGGUGCAGCAAAUUGCAGCAAUGGCCGUGCACACGGGGAAUAUAUCACUAAACAAAUCAUCGAGAGCUCGAUAUAUAAUAAUAUAUAUAUAUAUAUAUGUAUAUAUACUAUACAGCGUGGACAAGUUCUAUCCGAAGUCAUUUAUUCUGCGGGUGAAGAAUGUCUCGCGACACGAUGACGCAACGCCGCCAGUCUGUAACGCUAUUUCUCGGGGGAACGGGGGGGGGAGGGGGUUAUGCGAAGAUAUCUGUCAGAGGAUUGAUGAGAGAGAGAGAAAUUGUAAUUCGUGCUCUCUUAUCUUGUGGAAACGUUUACUGUUGUUUUUUUUUUUUUUUUUAUUUCCUUAUCCAUCUCACUUCUUCUCCGCAUACAAUAAUAAUUCUAUUAGUACCGUGUAUCCAUAAAAUGGGUAAGUAUAUUAUAUUUUUAUUCGCAUAUCGAUGGUGUUUUUGAUCAUAUACUUAUUCGAUCGGAUGGCUCUAGAUUUGAAUUUCGUUUUCGGAAGGUGAUGGGGGUACUAAAAUACCCACUUACGGAUGAAUUUCAAAUGUUUAACCAUUAACUACGGUGCGCGCGUGCCCAAUUAAAAUAAGAAUUUUUUUUUAAAACAACACCUAUUUUAACAGGAUUUCUACCUUGUGUUAUUCGUGAUUUUCGAGUUGCUUCAAACGGGUUCUGUUUUUAAUCCAUUUCAACGAAAUAUACGCCCAUGUACCGCCAGGGAGUUGGUCCUCGGAGACAAGGAAGAAAACCCUUUUAUGGAGUAAAGGAAAUGCCUUUAAAGCCCAUUUAAAAUAUAUGGGGUAAUGCAAAAGAAAUCUUCACGAAUAUAUAUAGUUAUACGUACGGGCGUUGAUAAGGUGAACGUAUACAUUUUGAAAUCGACUUUUCUAAAUACUAAUGAAAUAAUAAUUAUAAUGCAGCCGGUACCUGCCGAAAAAAGGUUUUAAAUCCGUUUGUGCAUUCCGCGGGUUAUUAUACAUCAAAAACUUUAUUCCGUUGUAACCUUUAUAGUUGUUACAUUGUUUUUUCUCCCUUUCCGCCUUUUCGUAAUUUAGGACAGAUAUUACGUUAUGUUGUUAUCUUUUAUAAUUAAUUUUCCUAUACAAAAAUUUAAGAAAACUUCUACUUUCUAAGAAGAUAUUAUUAUAAUAUUAUAUUAGCGAAGAAAAUAUGCCCGGGAAAUUAUUUACUGCAGGAUACGUUCGUCGAGCACAACACGGAAUUUAUAUCCAAAUAUAAAUAAUGAAAUACAAUUCGUAGCAAUAUAAUAAAUUCCUCGGCAAUUAUUUAUGUUAUAAAUGCUAAAAAAUAAGCGUAGGUAAUCAAAUAUUAAAAUUUGUUCGUUUUAGUUUUAAGCUCUAUAGCGAAACCGACAAAACUAUCAUCGCACUUGCGUUAUGCGUAUAAAAAAAAAAAAAAAAGCGCUGAAAGACUUCACAGUAUAGUAUCAUAAUACUCAUUAAAGCUAUACCGAACAAUUUUCAUAACAACAUAAUAUUAUUAGUAUUUCCAUAAUGAAUGAAUCUUUCGUAAGACAUAUGCACUAAUUUACGGUUUACACAUAUAAUACGUGUAAAAUUUGCAUACAACAUGAAUUUGCGCUACUCCGGUACUCUGAUUUAUAUAGGUUUAUUUUCUCACGAUUUUAGGAUUAUUUCCUCGAAAACUCUUCUAAUUAUAUGGAGUGUCCUAUAGUGUUAUCUUUAUGCUAAUAAUUCUGUCUAUAUCAUUUUUUUUUUUUUUUUUUUUUAGUGAUUAAGAGGUGAAAAUAAAAAUUGAAUCAGGUAAAAAAAAAAUUAAUAUGGACAGAAUUAUUAACAUAAUGAUAACACUGUAAAACAUUCUGUACAUUAUCAUACCUAUUAUGAUCGUUUUCAUGUAUUUUUCACCGUCCGAAGACACAAUUCACGUUACUUUCGAAACACUACGUUGCGAAAAAGUCUUUAAUGACAAAACUGCAGUAAACUACAAUUGUAAUAUAUUGACAAUAUUAUUUAACUCGAAACUCGUGCUAGCCGUGCCCAGAAUAUAUAAUAAAAUAAAAUAGGAAAAUAACUUAUCAAGAAUCUUUUUAUAUUGAAUAAUAUUUGUAAAUAGUUCAGAAAUUGUAUCACACAUCUAGGAAAAUAGUUGGUGGUUUGUAGACGCGUAUUAUGAUUUUCUCCGGAAAAAGUAUGUCAUUUGUUUGCUCAAACAAUUCUUUCAAAAAAAUGAUUUUAUCAACGAAUAAACACUAUGAACCGCUGCUAUGGACAAUACGAUAAUAUUUUGGAUUUAAACUUUUAGGGUUUUUACGCGUAAAACAUAUAAUAUUUUACCUCUAGUGUAAUUCAUGUUGAAACGCACGCCAACUGACGUUAUUAUCUGCACGUUUUAUUACCGUGUGCGUUUUCAUUUUUUUUUUUUUUUAUGGCCAGCGAAUAUAAUAUUCGUAUUAUCACUAUGUACACUGCAGUUUUAGAUGCCAGAAAAGAGGUCUCAGGAAAUUACGCAGGCAUCGAGCACUCCAACCCGUUCGAUAUAGCAAACUCUAUAACAAUUAUAAUAUGGUACUGUCUACAUAGAUUGAUAAUAUUAUCCACGAUAUUUCAAUUUGUUUUUCCUCAACCCAUAAUCAUUCGGUUUAGUAUUAAUUUUAAACGUGUUUUUGUACCGUUUCUCGACAAUAUUUAAAUUUUGAUUUUUUGAGUUCCUUCAUCAGUAAUAUAAUUCACUAGUAAUAAUACAGUAUUUAGGUACACAAUAAUAUUGUUUCCAAUUUUAUUUACAAUCGCAUUUAACAUUUGAAGUCCGGAUCUAACCGUUUAUAAUAGGUUUCAGUAGGUACACGGUAAUAAUAAAAAGUUAAAAGUUUAAAUUAUAGCGUUCGGAAAUUCGAUCGAAACUAGAUUGCUAGCUUAACCUAACCUAUCUAGAGGUCUCCAUUAAAAUCGUAAAUAAAAAAUGUGUACUCUCAUAUAUUUAAUACACAUGAAUUCACUACACGUGUUUAAGAGUUUUAGAAUUGUGCUUGUGUACACGUAGAGAAAAUAAGUGAAAAAUAACAUGAAAUACGUGAAUAUAAUAUGUGUAAACUGUAUACAAAUUUUUCUUAAAAACGGUUAUACAGAUUUAUACAAGGUCUGACCAAUAAGUAAUGAGACUGUUUUUUUUGCCACGCUUGUAGUAAUACUGCGAAUUUGAAACUUCGUUCGGUUAAUCUCUCAUCCCUCUUCUAUCGAUACAUGUGCUCGCGAUUAUCGUACAAUAAUUAGUUUUCCAGUUGUGUUAUGUUUUCGACAACGUGUUUGUAAAGCGUGUCACAAAUAUGGAACAACGUAAUAUAAAUUUUGCGUUAAACUCGGCGAUUCCGUUAUGGAAACGUACGAUAAAUUGGUGAAAGUGUUCGGUGAUGAAGUCCUGAGUCGUGCUCAGGUGUUUCGAUGGCAUACAAAUUUUAAAAAUGGUCGUGAAAGCGUCGGGGAUGAACCGCGAAGUGGGAGACCGGUUGAAGCUCGAACUGACAACAAUGUUCAGCGUGUGCGCACUCUCGUGCAUCAAGAUCGGCGUUUAACCGUUCGAAUGUUGGCUGAUGAACUUAAUUUGAAACGAGAAACCGUCAGAAAAAUUUUAACUGAUGAUUUGUCCAUGAAAAAGCUGUGUGCAAAGAUGGUACCUUCAUCAUGACAAUGCUCCAUGCCAUCGUGCCUUCAGUGUGUCUUGAUUUUUGACCUCUAAGAACAUUGCAGUGUUGCCACAAGCGCCCUAUUCGCCGGAUAUGUCACCCUGCGACUUCUUUUUGUUCCCUCAAAUAAAAUUGGCCGUGAAAGGAACGCAUUUUGAGUCCAUAACUGACAUCCAGAACGCCGUGACGAGGGUACUUCAGGACAUUCCGGUCGAAGCCUUCCUGAAAUGUUAUGAGAGCUGGAAAAAACGUUGGAACCAGUGUAUAGGGGUGAGAGAGGAGUACUUUGAAGGGGAUCACAUCGAUGUAUCUUAAUAUUUAAAUAUACGUAUUUUAUUGAAUUAGUCUCAUUACUUAUUGGUUAGACCUCGUAUGUUAAUUUCACGUGAAUACGGAAUAUCGUGUACAUAUGAAAUGAUGAAACUCUUCUCGAAUUCACGUAAAAUCUAUAAUAUCUAUUUUUAAAACCAUGGAUCAUUUUAAAUCAACAUUUUCAGAAUAAUUAUUUUCUAGGCAAUGGAAAAUUAUACGGUUUUGGUUGAACGUAAACAAUAACGUGUAUUCAUAACGCAACACUGAGUAACAAAAUUGAAACAUAAUAAUGAUCACGUGGUGUACGCGAAAACAAACAAAUAUAGAUAAGGUAAAAAAAAUCCAUACAUUUUCACGCAUAUCAAAAUGAUUAAAACAAAUUCCGAAUUGUUAUACGUUAGAUUAGUUAAUUAUAUUAUAAGACGAGCUUUAUGAUCCGGUAUACAUUUUGUAUUUUAGAUUCUGAGUGGAACGACUAAUAUAUUAAUUUUACAAUUUUUUUUUUUUAUUUUUUAUUAUUUUUUUUUUUAACUGAACAUUUUUUAUAUCAGAAAUCAUACUCAGAUUAUCAAGUAUAGCAAAUUUUCUGAAGGGAUAUAUUCUCUUGGUGGUACUUUAAAGAGGUAUUAAGAGAGUUUCAAAAUUCUCCCAAUAACAUUCGAGAUAAUGAGGAAAAUCUCGGUCUUUAGGUUAAAAAAGAUUGAAAGAUUAAAAAUAAAGUUGUCAAUGGCAGCCGUUUUUAUUUAUUUUUGUUAUUGUUUUAAUCUUUUUAAACAAUCAUUGUUGUCAUGGAAACGCACAUUGUUUUAAUCAUUUUAUCAUAAUAUGAUAUAAUAUAUAUAUAUAUAUAUAUAUAUAUAUAUAUGUUGUUGAAAAAGCAAUACUAUAGUCUGAACUCAGCUCAGAAUCAUUUUUUUCGUUAGCAAUGUUUUAUCGUUGCUUAUAAAUAAAUAUUAAAUUCCCGUCUUUAUACCACUUUCCUAACUUCUCCCCUACAAAAAUGGAUACAUCUAUGUGCGAAAUAUGUCCGUACUUUUUUUUUUUUUAAUAAUGACUAAAAGUGUGACGAGUUUUUACCGAAAAAGAAUGUUGAAAAUAACUGCAUAUAAUAUAUUAUUUCGAUCGAAUUAAAUGUGUAAGAAGUUUUCUGAAGCCUGAUAAUAAUUUACCAAUCGAUUUCGUUGUUAUCAAUGUCAUUUUAUCAAUCAGCGGACCGGUUUUCGGCGUGUAGAUUAACUUAUUGCAUCCUUAACCGAAGCUGAACAAAUCCGUACGGAUUAUAACGAGAUAAUAACAGCGGCGCAGACACCAACGAUUACCGCGAUUGCUCGUAAAACACGCGUUAUCACUGGUUUCCGUAUUAGGUACCUAUACAAAAUAAUAUGAUUACCGCGUGCACACGACCAUAAAAUAUUACACUGCGUAUCGGAGACGGCCAAACAUUUUUCGGCCGAGUAGGUUAUUUUUUCUUCAUAAACGUAUUUAUAUAGUAUAUAACCUGCGGCAUAUAGCCGGGCACAUAUUUUAAGUACCGUGGGGCUUACCGAUAGCGACAAAAUAAAACUGUAAAAACGGUAUGACGUAAUAAAAUACAAUAAUUUUGUAUUGUGGAACUGCUGCAGUGUGUAUUACAUUACAAGUUUUUUACGUCGUAAGUUCUCUAAUAGAUCAUCACUUAAAAUAAUCAUUGAAUGAAAGUAUAGGAAGUCAAAAGUAGGAAGUGAUCAGGAAUUGAAGUGGGAAAUUAUAUUUUACAAAAAUUGAGGGAAUCUACCUGAGAAUUUAAACUUAAACCAAUCAAAUUUUCAGUAAACCCAACGUGAAAAUAAUUCUUCCAAAAUGUUAUUGUUCUACACACAUUUGUUCGUAAAAAAAUUACACAAAUAACGUUUUAAAAUAUAAUUCACCCUCUUCCUCUCCGAAAAAUAUAUUAUCCUGCACAUACAUAUGUUCAGAAAAAUAAAGUAAAAUGGAGUCUGAUUAUAUUUAUUCCAAUAGGUGUUAAAGAAUUUAUUUUAAAUAAAAUUAAUAAUUCGAGUUUUCAAUAUUUCGUUAAAACUACCAAUGUGACAACAUCUAAAGCAUCCCCCCGGAUGUCCGGACGUCAAAAACUAAAACUGAAAAACAUGAAUAAUUUUACCCUCAAACAAGAAAGGGGAUUUUUUCUCCACAUCUCCCGUACUAUAGCCGCUGGAAAUGAAGCGAAUCAACUCAGCCGUCCUAUUUAUUCUUGCCACCCGUCGUCCUCCUAGACAUAAAUUUCCCGAAUUGUUAAUAAUUCUUAACACUUUAUUGUUUUAAUUAUGUCAAAUGUUAUCAAAUAUUUUUUAAUUUAAUAAAAAAAAACACGGGAAAUUCAAAAUAGUAUUUAGAUAUUGCACAUUAUCAUAUACCAUUAUUGUGUGCCACUUGAACUCUCCAAACAAUACACUUACUUUGCAAAAUAAUAUGGAUUUACGUCUAUGAAAAUUAUAGAGAUGUGUAUUUUAAUAUACUGCAGUUAACGUUUAGAAAUAAGAUAUAUUCUCGACAGAAUAAUAGACAGAAAAAAAAUGUAUAUAACUAUUACCUAGUAUAAAAGACGUUUAAUGCGUUACAGAAUCUCUUUCCCCGGGUGUUCAUUCUGUUGUAUAUUAUAUACUUUUUUUUUUUUUUAUGAUACCUCCAUAUUUAACUUCAUACGCCGAAGAUAAAUAUUUGCCUGUAAACGCAGUCGAUCUAUCGAACAAAUAAUUUAUUAUUUAUGAGCUUUUAAAGUUUAGAUAAGGCGCGAGUUGGAGAGGCUGGCAAAUAAUAAUUUUAUAAUAUCGGUGAAAUUCUACUUCGCUACUCAAAACUUAAUAUAAAAUGUUUAUAAAUAAUGAGGAACUGUAUUCGACUUAACGUUUAAAUAUUUAUGAGGAAUGUAAGAUUUUUUUCUUUUUUUUUUGGGGGGGGGAGCAGUAAGAAAUAGUUAUAAUAUAACUAGGUACUCGUUUAAAAUAAUUGCAUAAUUAAACAUAAAAUUCUUGUGAGUCUUUAUAAGACCAAAAAAAAUUGUAACCUAAAACCAAUAUAUAUAUGUUUAUUAAUACAGUGCAGGUUAAAGUAGGGGGGCCCUUUUUUUAUUUAUGAUCAAAUUAACCAUCGUCUUUAGAGUUAAAUUCUUUGAUUUCAUUUAUUAUUGUUUUGUAAUUUUUGUUUUUAUUUGUUGUAAUCAUUGUCGUCACUAUGGUAUUUUUAAAGACUCGAAUUGGUUUUAUUAAGAUUCUAAUUCUAAUUAUAUUAUAUUGAAUUAUUUAAUAUCGGGUUACAUAAUCAGACUCCAUUUUAUUAUUUUUUUUUAUGAGUAUAGACAUUUAUAUAGGAUAAUAUUUUAUUUUUAUUAUUCUUUUUUUUUUGAGAGGAAGAGCGACGCAGUUUCUUUUUAAAUCUAACUAGCGUAACAUUUGUGUGAACAAUUGUUAUGUGUGAGAGAAAAACAUGUUAAAAGUCUUGUAUCCUUGAUUGAUUUCCUAAAUGUCUAGUUGGCUUUAAUUAGUUCUUGGGGAACUCACCUCGAUUUCUGGUAAAAUUAUGUUUUAAAUAUUUUCAACUUUAACCGGUCAAGUAUUUAAAUUUAAAAUGUUAUCUAAUAUCCGAUUAUGUAGCGAUAUAAUAUUAUCACAAAAUAUAUACGAGUGUUUUCGAAUCGUGAUUAGUAAAGCUGUGUUUUUUUUUUUUUAAUUUUUUAUUUGUUAACGCACGUUUACAUUCUAACAUUAUAUCAAUUAAACCAUCGUUGUCGAAAUGCGGACAUUUUGAAGAAAAACAUAACGGUUGGCCAGAGUCGCUUCUUGCGGUAACUUAUAUUAUUAUUACUAUUACUGCGCUUGUUCGUGAUUAAUCCGUGUACGCACCCCGACAUUGCUGACUGACCAAAGAACGCUUUUUGGGCGUUCCCGUUUGGCUAGGACAAUAAUAAUAAUAAUACACGCAUUACGAUUGUCAACGGUUUGUGUCGUGUCGUAUAAAUGCACUACAAUAAACGCAUAAAAUAACUUAUGAGCCACUUAAAUAGAAAAACGCGACGGCGUCAUACCACUGCGGCUGGGCAGAGAAAACAAAAUACCCGUUUAAACAGUUUUAGUACGUAUAUGGUAUACAGUUACUUUCAAUUAGUUACUAUUAGUUACAAUUAGUUACAGUUACUUACAAUUUAAGUCGAUCGAUAAAUCAAAUUUCCGAAACGUUUAAAUUCGUAAAGAAAAAUAUUUUAGUAUAUAGAUACGUAUGUUGAGAUUUUUGUUUUUGUGACAUCUUGAAAAUCCAAUAACAAUGAAUCAACAAACGGAUUUAUAAUAGUUGUUACCAGAGCAGGGUCACGUAUACGAACUAAAAACUUUUCAAUAUGUACAUGCAGAUAUAUGUACUCAAAAUAACAAAAUUCGCUUUGUGGAAAAAAAAGUUUUGAAAAUAUCACGUUAAUAAAUUAUAAAAUCCCUAAUAAUCUAUUUUAGUAAAACAAUAAUAUUUUACUUAUCGCAUAAUGCAUAACCUAUGUUAUCAGCCUGCCAAUAUUUUUGAAAACCUUGAAUAAUUGUUUUGUGGCUUUUCUUUAAUUUAAAAAUAUACGAAAUCAUAAAAUGUUUCCAAUAGUUUAGAAAUCCUUAACUGUUCCCUAAAAAUCUAAAACUUCAUAAUAUGCAAAAUACAUUUUUACAUAGAAUCGUUAUAGGUUAAGAACUUAUGAAACACAUUUUGGUACGUAAACUACCUAUAUUUUUACUAGGUAACUAAUAAGUAUAAUAAUUAAUAUUUAUAAGUGCGUUAAUGUAUAUAGUUACUGCAUACACAGAUAUACAUUAGUUUUUCUUAUGGACCUAUACAAAUAUCGAAAAUAUUAUGUUUUUACGAUUCCUUUGUUUUUAUGUAGGCAUUAUUUUAAAUUUUAAUUUUUGAUAGCAAUCCUAAUAAUUAUGGCAUUUCGCGUGCUAUUUUUUUAUUUUUGAAUUGUAUAAUAAUGUUCAAAAUUGUGACCCGGAAAAACACGUUAUGAUUUAUUUUGUACGGUUACAUAUUGAUACAAUUUUCAAUUUAAGUUUAUAAAAACGUGAUCAUCUGAACAUAGCUCAGAAAAGUUUUUUUUUUAUAACAGUGGACUAGUCAUGAGCUGCAAUAUCCUGUACGAGGACGAAAACGGUAUACUAUACACCUGCAAUCACGUGAUUUUUGUUUUAUACUUUCUGGUGUUUUAUUCGUAAUAAUAUAUUUGUUUUCGAUAUUGUAUACAAUUUUUUGAAUUUUUCAAUAUAACCAUUCUUGUAAUUUACCGAGUCAAUAACCAAAAAUCAAUCGAUCAAAAUCCAUAGUUUUGUUACGGGCGUCGCCUCACUCCUUGAUAAUAUAUCAUAUUAUAUGGUAUAAAGUAUGGGAUUCACAGCAGUACAACAAUAGGUAAUUUACCGCGCUGCAAUGCGAACAGCUAUGGUAAGAAUUGUAGAUUUGAAUUUUCGGAAUAUUAAUAUAACACGGACAUCAAUAGCCGAUUAAACACCUAUGCGCGUGUUUAACAAGACCCGGAUAUUAGGGGCCAAAUGCGUGAGGUUAUCGUCCGAUUAUUCAACAACAUGCUAUUGUCGAAAAGUGAGGACUAAGUAUAUUUGGCAGGGGGGUCCAGGGUGCAUAUAUAUGUGUAUACCAGCCGCCAAAAACACUUUUUCAAAUGAGUCUCACCACUAUCAUCUGCAAGCACCUUCACGCCAGAUAGAUUUGUAAAUUUAAUUUAAAAGUGUUUGAAUAUUUUUACAAUAAAUUAUACUUUUACAAAAUCACCGAGUUUAAAAUCUCUGACUUGGUCAUGAGAAUACUUGAACUCGAGUUUAAAAAUACGCCCGCAACAGUUUAACAGAAUACUCGUAUGAUACGUAUUAGUAUCUACAUGAUAAUGUUUUCCAUCUGAUUGUACUCGUAUACAGUUUAUCCACAAUUACCUGCUAUCGCCAGUGCAGUUGAUAACGUUAAUUGCAUAAUAUGACGGUUUAGUGUAAUAUUAUCAACACGAAUAUUAAAAAAGUGACUAUCAAUUUUUACAAUUGAUUUUGUAUUGUGCAUGUGAACUGUACUUUGGUUUAACAACUAUUAACUUAAUCAUCGUUAACUUAUCAAAUUAACGAUACAUUGAGAUAAUACGAAAAUAUUGUGUUUACGAUAGCCAUAUCACUGAGCGAAUUUAGAGUACACAAGUGAAAUAGUCAGAUGGAAAACGAUAUUUUUUUUUUCAUAAGAUCUGUCCAUUCUAUGAUGUACACUGAGUCAAAAGUCACGUUCUCUUCUGUGUCUUUUAUAUCAAGACCCAUAACUCGUGAACAAUAACAUACACCCAGUGGAAUCCUAUUGGUCGUUUUAUCAAUACUUAUUUUGGCCGUUGGACAGUUCUAAAUUUUCUAAUUGAUAACACGUGUUUUAAUUUUACCAAUGUGACCAACCCUGAAAAACGAAAAUAUAAAAUCAUAUUCCAUCAGUUGUAUAGUAGGUAUUUAGUAUAAACAUUUAUAAUUUUAGUAAAUCAAGUGUAUCACGUCCAAUAAUAUCCUUAUUCUAUGACCACAUACACAAUUAUUAAUAUAUAUUAUAUAAUAUUAUUAAUCGUAGUCAAAUUCAUAAAUUAAAUUAUAGUGUAGAAACACUAUAAACUAGACAUAAUUAUAAAUGCAACUCAAUAAUAUCAAAUACUGUAUUAAUACAUUCUACAAUCUACACUCUACAGUAUGUCAGUAUUUGAUUAUUACAGAUUUAAUAAAAAUUAAAAACUAACUACAAUUUGCAAAAAGAUAAGAACCUAACUAAAGAAAACGUUGUUGAUUUUAAGAUAUGAUAUUUCUCCUGGCGCGUUUUUGAUAAAAUCGCUGUUGGCUACAGAGAUAAAGGUUAUAUAGCAUUUAUUUCUUAUCACACGUUGAAGUAUUUGGAAGAAAUGACCCCUAUCCUUAAUUAUUUUAUUAUUAACUUAGUAUCAGCCAUAUAAAUAUGUCUGCAAUUUUUAUUUCACAUCCCGAUGUAUACGAUUAUAUGGGCAUAGUAAUAUGUUAUCUGUGAUGUUGCAUCGGUCUGUACCAUAAUUAUUAUCAUGCAAACCAUGUCAUAUAACAAUAAUAAUGAUAACGAUAAUGAUAAUAUUAUUGCACUGUUACACUUUCAUGCUGGACUGGAGCGAUAGGAUAGGCUUAUAUAUAAUAUUAUACACACGACAAUGAGAUCUUUUGUGAUGCACAGCAAACGGAUCGCCUGUUCGUGAAACGACUUGGUAUUUGUUUUGCAGCAUGUUCCUACGCCAGCUGCCUUUGACCCCGUUUUGAAAAAGGAACGUGCGUUUGACAGGGACCAUCAGUUAAUACGUAAAAGUCGUUCUCCCACCCACCCCUCUGCACUCGGGGCAUUUCGUCCCCGUGGUCCUGAAAAUAAAUAUCAUAUUUUUUUCAUCCCGAACGGUCAUAUACUGGUAGUGAAUAACAUAUAGGUGACAAAAGUAUAAAUAUACAUAACGACACGGCAGUUUUCCCGUAUAAUAUAUGUAUCGCAGAACUAUAUUAUCAUAAUAAAAUGCAAUAGAAAAAUUAACUUGGGUUGAAUGGCCUUACCUCACCCCGAAAUUGGCUCAAGAAAAUUAAGUCUCUCUCGAUGUUUUCGUUUGUAACUGAAAACGAGGUUUUUUUUUUUGAGAAAUAGUAUACAAAUUCGAAAAAUACGGUUUCUUCUAGAAAAAGACAACGACUUAUUAUCUGGGAAUCGAUAUCAAUACGUGAUAAUAUAACAUGCUAUACAUUUCAAUCAGGAAGUAUAAAUUGGACAAAUCGGUGGUUUUUGAUUUUUUAUUAUUCAUCAAAACUAUCUCAAAACUAUAGAUACCGUCUCGAUAUAUGUACUGAGAACACUUUCUGGACAUUGGUAAAUGUGUAGGAUAAAAGGGUACGCCGCAUUCACAAAAGAAAUGUUCAAACGACCAUUCAUUUUUUUUUUUUUUAUUUGUCCUCUUACGUACAUUAUAAUACAUAAAUGGAAAACCCAAUUUUUAUUCCAGUUAAAAAUGUGACGGGUCGUUUCAGUGUCCAGAAAAUUAUGCGAAUCAAUAAAUAGAAAAAAAACGGAAAACAAUUUUCAAUUUUAAUCAGACAUAAUAUUAUAUUUAAAUAUGGGUUAUAUUCCAUUAUAUGUCACACAAUAAGUACAAACUUUCAAUAACCGAAAAUUAAGCAAAAUAUACUAUUUAUAACGGGCCCAACGUAGAAGAAUGAUAAAGUAGAAGGAGCAUGAAAUAAUUGUACUCAAAUUUGAAUAUUUACUCAGUAAUACUACUGUAUUACAACUGUUCAGUAAUAAUUAAUAUUUCAAAAAAAAAAAAAAUUCCAAUUGAGUUAAAAACAUGCAAAUAAUACAAGUCCAUUUGUUAACGUUCGAAAAUAUUUAAAAUCCAGCAUUCAAUUCAUAUUAAUAUUCCAAGUCUAAAAUAAUUAAAUUAAAAAAAACAUUACAAGUUCAAAUAUUUGAUUCAUAGAACAGAGUGUUACGAAGGUAUUCGUUCUUGAUCGUGGUGGACUCGUGCUCACGUCGUACCCCCACAAGCCAUUUUCCACUGCUAUCCAUAUUUUCUGAUCCACGGAGAUUUUCCGUACCCGGAAUUAAAUCCAGCGGUAAAUCCAUUGACUAUCAACAAUUCUAUACGCAUUAUUAUAACGAAAUAUUUAUUCCUACCACAGUUUGUUUGUAACACAAAGACCCUUUACUGUUUUCUGUUACGACAGUUUUGUAAUAAAAUUAGAACGUCGACCUCUAACAAUAUCGGAGUGUGGCAGGGUACGAAAGUGUCCUUUGCAGCUGCAAGAUAUUAUUAUGAUACAGUAUUUUAGCUGGGCUACUUUAUUCGGGUCCAUCUAUUUUGGAUGUUUUGGGUCCACACGCUACAACGAGAACCAUGUGAGCACAUAACAUAUAACGUGUGAAAAAGUGUUUAAAAAAAAAAAAAAAGGUGGUAUGUAGAUGCCAACCAUUGAAAAUAUAAUGGUUCAAUAAAACUGCCAUUAAUUGAAAAAUGCAAAUUAUUUAGUAUAUGGAAUCAAAGUUUUACUAAGUUUACAGAAAACAGCUUCACUAACGAAAAAAAAAAAAACCUUUACUAAGGAUGAUGUGCCACUGUUGUUUACAGGAAAUUGAGAAAUUUUGGUAUACGUGUUUGCCGUAAUGUUUACGAUUUGAGUCAAAAUUUGAUUUUAAAACGCUUAUAAAACGCACUUGGAAAAUCAAAAAAUGAUCGCUGACCAGAUUCUAAUUUUAUGUAAAAAGGAUAUCUUAUAAUUUUUUUAUAGAAGUAAGAUUUUUGGUAAAAAUUUAGUUUUUUGCACACACACAUUAUAUUAAAACAAAUACAUUCUUUGCUACGUUCAGAAAAUAAAAUUGAAACGAUUUUUCAUAGAACAUUUACGAUAUUUAUAAAAAUGUUUUCAAACCAUUAGACGGCAGAUACAUUGGAUUUGGGCGAAUUUGUUUUAUUUUUACGGCACAUUUGAACUUUGCGUGUGGUCACUGGUCAUAUUUUAAUACGAUUAUUGUUUUUAUUUCGUAUCUCGAUAAACCCUUAUAAUAUAAUUUAUAACUGUCUAACAAAUCAUUUAACAUGAAAACGUCUUUUAUAGAUAUUGAAUCUUACAACAACCAAGGAAAAAUGAUUAUGUCAGUUUUUAUUUUAAAACUUGAAAUAUCCUCAGGUCCACCAGACCAUGAUUUUAGUACAUAUCAAUCAACAAAGAUGGAUAUUCAAGGUGAUAAAUUAAAUUGUAUACGGUUAUUUCGAUUUUUAGAAAACCAUAUUGAUUUCAUCUAGUAAAAUAAUGUUUAAAAAAAUUCAUUAACAAGCAAUCUACUACCCACGCCCGUGGACCAUGAAUUUUAAUUUGUAUUCGUAGAAUUUUCAUGGAGUAAAAACGUUUUACAAAAACGCGUAUUGCAGAAAGUACAAAACGUUUUUAAACACGAAAAAGGUACACAGAAAAAAAUGAAAACGUUUUCAUGUACAAUAAACAAUAUUUUCCUAUACGUAUUUGAUUUUCUCUCUUAUUUUUUUUUUUUUUUAAAUGUACGAAACAAAGAGCUUUAAAAUUUUACACGGCUAUUAUUUUUUUUUCACUAUUAUUUUCGGGGGUUAACCAACUAGUUUUCAAAUAGUAACCUAUAAUAAAAUGUUUAUAAAAAAACAGAUUAUUAGCCUAAAUACAUUUUUAUAUAAAAAAUUUUAACUUUCGUCGAUUCGUUGAUAAUCAACUUUUAAGCAGGGGAGAGUAGCGGAUCACUAUUCAAACGCCGUCAGUUGUGUCACUGCCACCGCUACAUAAAUAAUGAUCCACUACUCUCCUCCCACUACACAAACUUAAAAAUGAAAUAUACCGUCAACGGGUUGACGGAAAUAAAAAAUAUCAUAAUCAAAAUGGACCUAUUAAAUCUAAUGCAUUGUCUGUUCAUAGAAUUUUUGAUUGUUGGUUUUCAUUUGAACAUUAAAAGUAGGUACACCCCCAAAAAUAAGGGUAACAAAUAAUAAUGGUAAUAUAAAAUUUUAGAGGUUGUUGGUUCUUAAAUUAUUAAAAAAAAAAAAGACAGCGAAAGUAAAUGCUUUCCAAGAUAUUGCUGUGAUCAUAUUAUCUCCGUAGGAUAUUCUAUAAAUACUUACCUGUUUUCUAAAUAAAUAUUUUAACGGCCAAACAUUAAAUUGUAGUUAAACCGCGAUGUAUCAAAAGUAGUUUUGUUUUUUUUAAAACAUAAUAAUACAUACAUAUCAAAUAAAGACACGUUUUUCGAAUAGUGUGUCUAGGUAGGUGCGCACCUAUUCAUUCCACCAUAAAAAUAAUAUUUGUUUUAUUUCAAGAUUCGAAUAAACGAAACGCGCGAAACUAAACACAAAAACUUGCCUGAACGAAAUUAAAUUAGGUAGGUACCUAUCCUGUUAUUUAAUUAAACUUUUACGUGUAUUAUUACUUCUAUAGUUAUAACACAAAACUUUAUUAUUAUUAAAUUUUUUUUUUUUUUUGUGCGUGUGUAUAAGCCCCUUGAUAAUAUACAGUAUGUUUCUUUUAUCACGGAAUACCGAUAUUCUCGGAUGAUUUUAAGUGAAAUUAAUUUCUGUUUUUAUUUUUAUAUCGAAUAAUUUAAGCUUUAUUUUAAGGCGAUUGGUGACAGUUCCCGUGUAACAAUUUGUGGACAUUGAUGUAUAUUAAAUAUCCAAAUCAUAUAAAAUUGUUGAUAUUUAAAAUUCUAUAUUCAGAGAAAAACGUUGAAAUAAUCAAAAACUUAUAUUAAAAUAUGAAUACCAUUCAGGUAUAUUUGGAAUAUCUUGUCUUAAAUAUAUAACAAUAGAUAUUUUUACAAUAGCCACGGUAAAACAUUUGUUGGAUACUUGAUAGUUAUCAUAGUCAUAAUAUAAGAUUAUUUAUAUUGGUAAUUCAAAUAUUAAUAAUAUAUUUGAUGAACAUUGAAUUUGUAGUAUCUAAAACGCAUUCCGAUUAGUAAUAUUUAUAAGUUUUAAUAAAUUAAAUUUCAACUUUAUAUUUAGCUAUAAAUAUAAAUAUAUAUAAUUAUGUGUACUAUAUUACAGUAUAUUCCAGUAUGUCCAGUUCAUCUGAGCGUUCGGCGACUAUUUUAUUCCGCCGGUAUAGCGUGAUUAAGACUAUAUAAUAUAAAGGUUGUAGAAAUAAUAUUUCAGAAGAAAAGAGAAGAAUAAUAACGGGUUUACACUGAGAUGUCUGUUUAGCAAACUUUUAAUAGCGGCCUUAUAUAUUAUCUUAUCUUAUCACUCCUCGUAUAGCGUCAUGCAGCUCUUGUUUCGUUCUUGUUUCUCAGAUAAGUGAAAAAAAAAAAAAAGUGAAAAAUUUAUUGACUCACGACCGUUAACAUUUGUCUUAUAAUAGUUAUAACACGUAUUAUUUUCUAUUUCCGAUCGAAUAAAAUGAUAAGACAGGACGUCCUCGGCGAGUAUCCGCACGUUUUCUUCGGUUAACGCUCGCAAAACGCCCGCUUUAUUUAAUCGUCGCGCGAUACCGCUUUUAUUUCGGCAGUUUACGCGUAAAAAAUCUAAUAUUUGUCCUUUCGGAACGCGACUUAUAUACCCGUAAAACGUUCGAUUUCUUCAACAAACGCUGCGGGUCGAUAAAUUGGAAUAAAUAGUUUCGGCGUGUAGAGAGCCCCAGGUUCGGUUCACGGCGGCGCCACCUCCGUACGCUUCGUAAGAAUAUCACGGCCGCCCGCGCUGUCAGGAUUUUUUUUUUUUUUUGUGAUUUUUUUUCGGAUUAUAUUUAUUAUAACUGUUAUAAUUAUUAUAUUAAAUGUUUUUAUAUUUAUUUUUUGCGUAUUUUUCCCUUUUUUAUUUCGCGAAAACCCUCCUUUCGCAUUAUUAUAAUAACAUUUAUUGCGGUUUCGGAUCGCUUUUCCGAAACGAAUACACGCACCUAAAUGUCCAAAAAUCAACUCGGCUUUCCAACGAACAGUGUCUCGAUUGUGUUUACAAGCAUUAAACGCCGUCGAUCUACUUAUUGUUUUUACGGAAAAUAUUCACAUUUGAAUAGUGUUAAAACAAAGCUUAAACAACGUCAUAAUAUAAUUAUUAAAUAAUUGAAAAAAUAAAACACAGAUAAGUAACAAAAACACUUACAAACCCCUGAGAAAAUCGCUGGAUCAUAAUAUAUAGAUCACCCUGUAUAAUAUAUAUUUCGGAACUGAAGCAUUUAUGUGUAAUGAUGUGGUUAAUUAUUUAUUCAAUGAAACGAAAAUAAUUCACAGCGGCAGCAGUGACGCGGUGGCAGCUAUAUAGAAUCGUAUUUAAUUAAGAGCUUAUUAGUGUGCAUUUGAAAAUUACCAACUUAAAACAAUGGCCUGCCAUUUUCGGUGUUUCAUGCGUAUAUAGAAUCGGAGAAACCGUCAUCGUCGAGGCCCCGGAAAAUAUAAUAUUUAAAUUAUUAUUAUUUUUGUUUUAUUUGUUUAAGUUUUUGUUUUUGUUUUUGUUUUUUUUUUUGUACACUGUAUUAAUAGUAAUAAUAGUUAUAAAAUGUACACUAUUAUUGUUUUUCUGGUCUUUAAUAUAACGUUUGGACUGGGCUCGACCCUCCACUGUCAAAACUCAAAUCCUUUGAGUCUCGAUUUUUAUUCCCAUCGUGUUCAUAUGAAUUUGCGGUAGUAUUAAAUAAUCAAUUUCAAUGAAUUAUAAUAGGCGUGAUAGUAGUAUGUGACCAAUUAUAUGAACUUUGCAUUUUUUUAUAAUUUGCUAAAGUUGUCUUUUUAGUUUUUUACGAAGUACUUCGACCAAAAACGUCUACAUUUGUUAUUAUAGUGGUACUCCACAAAACCUCGAGUAGGUAUCUUGCAGUAACACCGUAUUUCAUAUACUUGCUGAUGUAUAAAUAAAUUAGCAUUACUUAAUUAUUGUUAAAUACUAACAUUAUGUAAAGUUAUUUAUUUUUUAUAUUCGAUUACAGAAUAUAAUAUUAUUUUGAAGAGGUUAUUUGUUGAAUUCUAUAGACUUUGACUAUGGUUAUUGUGUUGUUAUUUUUAUAUUAACGAUCGUAAACAAAUUUUUUUUUUUCUGAAAAAGUAAGAGGAACUAAAAUAACUUGAUAAUGAUAUCUAAUUAAAAUGUACGUAUAUUUGUAUAUUUUAUUUUUAAAUUUGUAAACAAUAUUAAACGUCGUUCGAGAUUAUCAGAUUGUUAUUAGUAUAGAAUACUAUACUAAUAUAUAUUUGUGUAUUUAUUUAUUUUUUAUUAUUAAUACAGGCAGAGCCCAGUACAGAAUGAAAUAAUAAAAAAGAUACAAUUGAUAAAAUAUUUCAAUAUUAAUUUAAUUAGGUAGCAUUGAUUGCGUAAUGUAGAGUGAUGGUUGGAAAUAGAAUACUAUUUGACUAGACGCAUUAAACGGUCAAGAUGAUAAUUGCAUCAAUAAUUUGUAGUACGUUUAAGUGGGGGAGCGAGUAGAGCGCUGAGGAACUCGGAAAUUAAUACAAGAGAGGAGGGAAGGUGCAUUAAAUUAAGCUUAGCCAUGGAACGUAGGUUUGCAUCAAUAUGUCUAUCGGCUAGGUUAGACAAGCUUACGCCAUGAGAACAGGGAAGUUGUAGUGAAUGGGGUGGGGAAUACUCAAAGAAAAACCAACGAAGAACAGAAAACGUCUUUGAACUCUCUCUAAAGUAGAUGAGUGGGUAACAGUAUAUGACUCCCAAAGAACGGAACCAUACUUGAGUAUGGGAACGAACAUUAGUGCAGUACAGUGUCUUGAGAGAAGAAUAAAGUAAUAAUAUUACUAGUAAUAUUAUUAAUAUUAUAAAUGUGAACAUUUAUAAUUCGUGAUUCAAUCACGUGUCAAAACGACUGAUAAAAUUUGACACAAAGAUAAAAUAUGUUCUGGGUGAUAUCAAAUAUGAUACUUACUAUCCCAAUAUUUAUAUUUUCACAUUUUUUUUUUUUUUCAAUCAAAGUCGUGCGAGACAACUAGUAUAUUUUAAAUUCCGAAGUAGAAAAAAAAUGUAUCUAAAAACAUAAUACAUAAUAUGGGAAAUUUAAUGUACUUAUUGUUAUACAUAUAAGUGAAUUGUAUGUACACCUAAUUCUCUAUAACCGUCAGAAAAUUUUAAAGUUACAAAAUCGAAAUCUUUGAACUUAAUAUAUAAUACAGUAAUUUAUAAUACAUUUACGAUAUAAUCAAGUGUACCAAUUAACUAUUGUAGAAUUUAAAAAAAAAAAAGAUGGACAAACUUUGCACAAUGGGUAGGCCACUGUUGUAGUGUGUAAGUUGAGAAUGUAGAAUAUAGUGAGAAGCUCAAUUAAUAUCUGUACACAACCAUUGCUAACGAAAAACGAUUCGGAGUGAAGUUCCUUUUAUUCAUGUAUGUACAUUUUCCCGUUUUGCUUACGUUUUUUCUCGGUUUUUCUAACCAUUAUGCAAACUGCUUAGAAAAUCAAAAAAUAACCUUUUUAAAAAACCACCCAGAUAAAAUUUUCUUUGAAUAAAAAAAACCCUCCAUUUGAAAUCGGUGAAAAAUUUCUUGUAGAAAAGUUGUUCGCAGAUUAAAAAAAUAAUAAUAAACAUCAUUGUAAAACUAAUAUUUCUCUCAACGUUCCGGACCUAAAAAUAAUAAUUGUAGUAUUUUGUUUGUUUUUUUUUUUUCCUUAAUAUGUAUUAAGUUAUAUCAACAGUGUUGUGUUUUGUCUAGAUCGAUAAUAAAUAUACGGGUAUAUUACUUUUAUCAUUUAUCACAUCCGGAUAAACGGGAGAAAUAAGUUUACCGAGCCAAAUAAUUAAAUUGCCCAGAUAAAUUGUUUAGCUAAAUAAAUUUUACAUACGAAUCGAAUCAAUAUAUUCGUUAGAAAUAACAAGUAAUGAAAUAUUCAGUUUUAAUUGAUAUAUUAUAACGGUUAUUAUCAACCGAACAAUUUUGUUUAAAAAUCCAGAUGCACACCGUAAUAUUCGUUAUGCUUUUAGCAUUUUUAUGACAAGUAAUGAAACAUUUAUUUUUAUUAUUAUUUUUUUUUAUAGAAAAUAUGUUGCUAAUUUGUUUUAUAUCAACUGUAUCUAGAUAAUUAAACCAUUUUUUUUGUAUAACCACAUCGUCAUCCUAUCGAUAUUUUAAAAUAUGUCUUUAAAAAACACUGUACCCAUUGAAUAUUACAGUACUCCAAUAUCGAUGGAACCAUUAAAGUUAUAUGCGUUCAUUAUUUGUGUAUUUUAAAACUGAUUUCGCUGAGAACAACGAAUACUAUACGGUAAAUUAUAAGGUAUUUAACGAUUAAAAUAUUUUUAUGAAAUAGGCAACCGAAAUGAAAGUAAAGUAUAAUACAACUCGACACUUUGAAAUUUAAUCGCACACAAUGGUACAUAAGGUAACUGUUCCUAAAGAACAACGACGACGCUAAACAAACACUUCAAGUAUCGUUUUUAGUUGUCAAAAUAAGAAGGUGUUAUGUUAAGCAUUGUAAAAUAUUUUACAUUUUAUAUACUUUUAUAUAAACCCGUCUUCGAAAUUCGAUUUCAUUUCGUGUCGUUUUGUUUUGUUUUUGUUUUAUAUACAUAAAAGACAAAGCGAAUCCACCCGUGAGCAGCUACAGAGCUCCGGAUCACUAGAGUCAAAUACUCUUCCAUUUAUUUCGUAUAUAGAAAUUUUCUUUACCGAAAUAUACAUAACCGAAUACACUAUAAUAAUAAUACAAUAAUGCUACAAUUAAAUUGUGAAAUUUAACCAUACAAAUAGUAGAGGCGGGUGUUGAAAUUUAAAUCCACCGAUGACACAUACUUGCCGUACAUACAUGAAAUUCCAUCCGUCUGGUUUCAUUUGGAUUGUCUGUAGGUGUAUUAUUAGUCUAUUAUCAAUGUUAAAGUUAAGCAUAUUGUCUACGUUUGUAUGUUGAGUUAGGUUAUGUUUUUUCGAUAUUUUAAUUUUCAGGCAAAACACCAUAACUUUGAAAUUGUAAUAUUUCCUACUACCAGGCAUGGCGUUUAGGGAGGGCCACAGGGCCCAUGCCUUCCCCCUAGAAAUAAAAUAAUCUAUAAGGUUAUAAAUAAUCAUUUCUUUCAGAAAUCUGUAUAGAGUUCAGAGUGUUAAUGAAUUAUAAUCACGACCUCUGCAAAUAGUUGUGCAAUCACAUUAAUCGGCCACAUUGACUGACUGACAUCUGGUCAUAUUUUAGUUAAAAUUAUUUAUUUUUUGGACCAAAAGGAUAUUGCUCCCUCCCCCCUAGAAAACGAACCAAAUCCACCACUGCACACUACUCGUGCAAUACUAUUUGAAAAUUCAACGAAAAAAUAAAGAUCUUUUAAAUCAGUUCUUUCGUGGUAUCCACGAUAUUCCACAGGGGAAAUAUUAUAUUAUUAUUAAAUAAAAUGAUCACCACUAAAUUAAUACCGAAGUGGAAAUCUCCGAUAGAUAUAUUCUAUAAUAUAUACUGUUAUAUGAGUACACUAUAAUAUAAUCCGAAACAAUUAUUAACAGCUGCUCGGUUCAUAUUUGUCUCCGUAUAAAUAGUCAAGCAGCAUUAUUAUAUAAUAGAUAAUAAUAAUAAUUGAAACACGUAUUCAUCUAUCUCAUUAUUUAAUUGAAUUCGUGCAAAUUUUGGUGAAUAAUAUAUGACGGAAAAGCAAAUAUUAAUACGUUUAAGUCGUAAUAUUUUGAUUAUAACAUCUUAAAAUUCACAAUGAAUCCAUUCUCGUAUGAGAUGUAUAACAUGGAAUACAAUUUUGCGAUGGUCACUGACAAAAAUGUUGAGAACCCGUUUAGAAAUAGGUACAUACAUUCAUAUUCAUAAAGGACAUAAUAAAAUAUUUAAGGGGAUUUGUAAAGGCGAUUUUUACAUAUUUAUCGAAUUGAAAAUAAUAUUUAAAUUCGCUUGCAUAUUAAUUAUUUAAAUAUGAUGCCGGGUCCUUAUCAUCACAAGUAUUCGUUAUGUAAUUGUGAAAUUCGAAUAAAAAACUGUUCACAAAAAUAAAAUAUUAUAUUACGUAUCCUUCAAAGUGAUUUCAGUGUGAUUUUGACUCAAAAUUAAAAUUAAAUAUACUCCUAUACUUCUGAUGUGGACGAAGAAUUUUCUCUUAAAAAAAAAAAAAAAAAAUAGAUAAUUUGAAAAAGUGUAAAAUUAAAUUAAGCCGCAUUUGUUUGAAGCUCGAAAGAAAAAAAUGUGACAAAAUUAAGAUAUUUUAAUUGUUAAAAUGUUUCAAUAUAGUAAUUUUUAUACAGAUACCGAUAUUGUUAGUAAAACGCAGUUUUUUGAGUACACGUGGUGUUAUAAAUUAUUAUGUGCAUACAAUUUAUACGGUAUACUACGAAUAUUAAUUGCAUCGGUAAGUUCAUAAUUUUUUCAAAUUAUUUGAAAGUGUAACCAUGCAGGAAUAAGUACAAACAUAUAAAUACGUAAUCAUAUCAUAUAUUAACGGUAUUACAGUCUGUGAAUACCAUUUUUUCAAUAUGAGAGGAGCAGCUUUUAGUAUUGGAUGAGUUUUUAACACUGGCUGAUCUAUGGAAAUUUGGCAUAUAUGAUACAAUUAUCACUAUAAUUGUAUAAAUAUUAUAUUGAGCGUUUUAUAUAAUAUGAUAUUCGGUAUAUUUUUUGAACGUUUACCGUUACGGUUAAAUCUCACUAAGUCCAUCGAGGCCAUCCCAAUGUACUUUUAUCUCGCGCGGGCAUUGUACGAUGAGGUCGCGUGCAUUUAAAUGCUGUGUAUUAAAACGGUGUAAUUUACGAGACGCGAAAAACGUAUUGUGCAUAAAAUAGACAUAAUAACAUCGUAUCCUCCCCUCUUUUACAAUGUCCCAUCGUUUUUAAUUUAACCGUAUUAUUAUAAUAUAGUGUAUAUGGCCACUCUAAAUAGACCCUUUUUUUUUCGCAGACCGGACACUUUCAGCCACCCCGAAAAUCGAUUACCACUUCUUCCGUUCUUCCGUAUAUAUUCCGACGAGCAAGGAUGUCAACAAAUUAGUGAUAAUAUAAUAGCAUAUUGUUGACGAAUUAUAUCAUUGAAUAACGGUUUCGAUAAUUAUCCCACCGGUUACUAUAUAGCAGCUAAUAUUUCCUUUAUUUAAUCUGUUAAAACAUUAUAGGUGUUUUCGUCUGGUUACCUACGAAAGGAAAUCUAGACGAAUACUGAUAUCAUGUGUUUUUAAAUUGUCAUUUCUAUCGUUUAUUUCACAAUGACCAACUAUAAUGUCAUGUAUGAAUUGUAUUAUAAACCUUGUACGUCUGUGGUUCCAGGAAAAAAAGACAUAAAUUAAUUUUUAGAUUUUUUUUUUUUAUUAUUAUUAUUUUGUCUUGUAUAAUUCGUUUUCCUUUGUUAUUUUUUUUUUCAAUUUUCAAAAUUUAGUUUCUUUUAUUGUGAACUUUACAAAAACAGACUUAAGUCCUUCUUUUCUAGGACCGAAGAUGUAUAGGUAAACUGUAGACGGUUUUAAUUCAACAAUUUGAUUAUGAAAAAUAAAAUAAAUGGUAAAAUAAAAACGGAAACGUUUUUCAAAUGAUUAGACAAUUAUAAUAAUAUUAAAAAUGUUUUGGGAGCCAAAUAAACGUUUAUAUUUUAUAUUUAUAUGCCACGCAAUAAACUGUUUCAUCAUUGUUAAAAGAAAUUCGAUUAUACAAGAGGGGGAAGAAAGGAAACCCUUUGUAAUUAUCGAAAAAGAUAAGAAAAAAACUGUUGCUUUGACCAUCGUCUGUUUGUCCUAACACGUAUUCCUCAGACUACUAACGCGCACGAACGGUUCUGAAUUUCUUUUCUUCACUGGUUUUAACUGCUUUUACGCUUUAAUUUCGUUACAAAUAAAAAAAUCUAUGUAUAUAAUACGCACCACAUUUCUAGAAAUUCACUUUUUUAUUAUUUAGACGAGACAAAGGCUAAAUUAAUUAAAACGGGUUUCGCUGACACAAACUAAUUACUAAAAAAAAAAAAAAAAUGUAUAAAAAUAAUAAUUAGAAAAAUAAUGCACUAUUUAUUUUGUAUGUACAAAAAUAUUAUAUAACCUACUAAAAUAAAUGUUAAUGUUUUAUAGUCACCUGUUAUACGCAAGUAUAUUUUUUUCUUUUUUUUUUUUUUAGUAUACAUCUUUGAUGUGAAAACAAAUUUAAAUUUAAUUAAAUUCUUUAUAGUUUAUUAUAUUUUAUUAUGUAUAAAAAACUAAACAUCAAUAGUAAUUAAUCCAAAGGUUGGAAAUUUAGGCAUUUGCAUAUUCGUUUGAAAAGUGCAUAUUGUAAUUUUAUACUGACUUGACAUGAAUUCGUUUCAUAAUACCAACAUUUCCAAUAUUACAAUUUUUGUCACAAAAUUUUAAUAUAUUUUACAUUUUGGACAAAUUCGUAUAGAUUUAGAUUUAAAAAUAUAAGAAUUGUUUACUUUGUUGAUUUUUGUUCGUAUACCUUUUUGGAUUCCGAACGAAGCGAAACAUAUUUAUAUUAUAUUUGUAUAAUGAUUUUUCUUGUAAUUUUUUUAAUAAAUAGGAAAAAAAUGGUAAAUGUUGGAUUAGUUUUGGUUGAUUUGUAGAUCACGCUUAAUAUUUUUAAUAUUUGUUAAUCUUUGUCAAUUUUCAAAAAUAGAUUAUUUUCUGAAAAAAAUUAUGCCUAGUUUGUGGUUAAGAAAGUCGUUGAUUGGUUUCCAGUAUAGUUUUCCUAAUAACUAUGAAAAACCUGGACAAAACGUAGGAAAUACGGCAAAGUGUACGGCAUUUAGAUAAUUUGUUGUUAUUCGGUUAAAAAUUAAUGUAGAGAUCUGGUUCACAAAUGUUUAUAAAUUAAUUAUAUUGGCUUUUUGUAUAAGUUGUAAUAUUUACAAAACAUUCUAUCUAUUUUUACGAAAAUCAUAAAAAUUUCACCAUUUCAAAAUAUUACGUCUCAACAAACUUCACUCCAAAUCUUUUUGUAACAAGUUUUAAUCUUUUGCGUACAGAUAUAAAUUAACUCCACGUAUCCUAACUUUCCAACUUCCACCUAAAACAACAGCUGCACCCGUUGCUAGUAUUUUUUUUUUAAACCUAUAAUAUUUAUAAUAUAGAUGAUAAGUAUUUUGUACAUCAUUAUUAUGUGGUGAAAUAAUUAAUAUUGUGCGACGCAACAAUAAUAUAUAGUUUGAUGUGAAGAAAGUCGCGAGGUCACCUGGAUAUACCUACAUCCACGGUAUAUAUAGGUACUGUACAUUAUUGAUGAACAAAGUUUUACAGUUUUGUCACAAAUUCGCGUGAAAUUAAUUAAAAAUGUACACACAAGACUCAGGCUUUCCAGAAAGUAUGGUGACGACCGUGCCAACAACAACAAUAUUAAUAUUAUUAUAUAACAACUGUUAAAUCAAUUUAAUUGGGAAAUUAUAACGUUUAUAUAAUAUCGUAUUGACUGUCGGUUAUCAUAUAAUAGAGUAAAUAAAUAAAUGUGGGAUUAUUACUAGCAUCGCAAAACACGUUUCGAAUUCUUGUAAUAGUUAAUUACGAAAAUAGUAUAUUAACUUCCUUGAGUUAAUUUAAACGCACUAAACUUAAGUUAAGUUUAACUUAUUGGAAUAAGUUUAAAAAAUGUCACUAAGGGGAUACAUUAAAGAAGUCGUUAUUUGAUUUUCCCAAGAGUUUUCCCAGCAAACGUGAAAAACCGGGAUAAAACAUGGGAAAACCGGGAAAAACAUAGGAAAACUGGGAAAAUCGGUACAACAUUAAACAAAUAUUAUUGAAUAAAAUGUAUAGAGUCUAUUUUAUUAUUUUAUUAUAAUAUGGUUAUAUAUAUUGUUGACAAAGCAUCACUAUCAACUAAACUCCGCUCAAAAUCGUUUUUUCGUAAGCAAUAGUUUAUCGUUACUUACAUACAAUAUGCAUUCAAUUUUCUAUAACAGUGGCUGCACCCGUCCCCAUAGUUCUAGGACAUAUUUUUUUUUUUUGAAAUAAAAUAUGUGUCAUACUAAACAUAAAAAUUAAGUACCUAUACGAAAUGUAGUAUAUUUUCAUAAUAAAAAUUGUAUUAAUGGUACUUAGUAUGUUUAAUUUACUCUAGAUGAUUGGUCUAUUUAUGUGUGAAAAACGAAUUACUUUCAACUACCUUAACUGAUCGACACGAACAUUUGGAGUAAAGUGUUUUAUGUACACGUCAUAACCGAUCGAAGACAUUUGAAAUCUCUCAGAUAGAAUAAGUUUUGUAUCCGGGACAGACUACUACAACUCUCAGUGAAAAUAAUCUAAAAAAAUUUUUUUUCUUUCUUUUAAACUCGACUCAGAUUUCGGUAUGACAUUUUCUCGUUCUUUUCCUCCUCAAAAAUCAACACCAUCUUGUACCACGAGGUGUAGAACAGUAAAAAUAUAAUACAUUUAAUAAUAUACUUCUCUUCUAGUGUAGUAUGUAAGUGACAAUUUUCACGGUUCACUAUAAUAUUGUAAUAUACCAGUACGAAAUCGGCUGUUGCUAUAUACAAUGUACCUAACUGCGCUUCAGCUUCUCUAUUCUACAGAUUCCAUCCCCUCCAUAUCCUCUUGGUGGCACGUACCGCAGAUUAAAUGCCCAGGAGCAAUGACUAUAUAGAUAACGCUCCAGUAUCUAUAUUAUUAUUAUAUAGGUAUCGCAACGAGAUUACCGAGUAUCAAUAACAAUUUCGGUUUUUUUUUCAAUCGUCCUCCCAUACGUUGACGCCCACGCAUCGUAGUCAUGUCUUGGGAUUUACCAUCGUCCAAAAAUUGUAUUUUCAACACGAUAAUAAAUUUUUAUGUUUUGUAGAAAAAUAGAAAGAAAAAAAAAUCCAUAAAAUACAUUUUACACAUUUUUGGCGGGUCACAGUUUUGUUUUAAGUUAACUUGCACGAGUAACACGAAUAUUGUUUUUGUUUAAAAAUUAAAAGCUGUUUUGAGUGGACCUUAUCGAAUUUAAAUAACAAUUGUAACAUCCAUGUGGUUGUAGUGUAUUAAUUUUUUUUCCAUUUUCAACAUAAUGAAUGUAUAAUUGGUAAAUUUAUAAAAGGGCCUUUUCAAAGUAUACUUAUAAACUAACUCUUUCUAUACACAUUCAACGGAACUUUUUACGGAUUUGGUUUACUGUCCCAAAAAGUGUUUUCCGUGAUGAAAAAAAACCCCAUCUAUGUCAAUGAUUUUGUAUAGAAUAGGUAGACAUGAUAACUUAAAUUCAAAGUUUACAAGAUUUAACAAACCAGUACAGAGUAACACAAAAAAUUAUUAGAUUAAUAAUCAUAUGUGUUUUUUUUUAAUCUCGGAAAAUAAUUAUUCGGUUAAUAAAAAUACUCUGAUAUUUUUAUAAUAGAACUUUUUUUUUAUGAGCUUUUGAAUUUAUUGAUUUUCGUUAACUUGCUAUCAUUCGCCGUUCAAAAUUGGUAUUAAUUUACAAUGAUUCAUCGUUGUAUACUGCAGUGUAUAAACUAAAUAACCCUAUAUAUUAUAUCCUAUACCUUCUCGUUUGCCCACCCACAACAGUAGCUUACCAAUGGUUAGGUUGUAAAUACAUCUACAACAGAUGGUGCGUAUAACGCAAAGUAUCUUCAGCUGUUUUGUAUUAUACAUAAUAGUAAAAAAAUAACUCAGUUAUACUUAUGAUGAAGAUAAUAUGUUACUCGUUUGUAUACCUAUCUAAACACACAAAAAAUAGGUUAAAUUAAAUUUUGGACACCACAGUGGGUAUGUAAAGAGGUUUAUAAAAGUUUUCAAAUUCAAUCUAACCUGUAUAAUUUUUCUGUUAUCACAUGCGAUAUUAAUUCAAAUAAAUAAAUAAUAAUAAUAAAAAAUUAAACCAUUAAAAAGAUUUUCCCAGAGGGGUAUUUCAUCUGGUCACCAACCGUGAAACGCGGGUGCUAUAUAAUAGGGUUUCGACUCUUUUUUAUAGUUUAUAAUAUACUUACAUUUUUUUUAAACCAUCCAAACACGAUAGCAUAGUGAAAAAACUUAAACGAACAUAAUAAUAAAACAACGCUGCUGCGCGUUGUAUUAAAAAAUUGCCGUCCGCCUACUAUCAUUUGCAUAAAUUAAAACAAAACAAAUGGGUUGUAAAUAAAUUGUCUUGAUACUCUACUUGCAGGUUGUAGCUUAUUUCGAUUUUAUAUAACGAAUCAUACGUCAUAAUAAUAUUACGUAUUGUAAUUAAUAUAAUAACUAAUACUAAUACUAUUAUAGAUGAAGGUAAGACCAGGAAUGUUUUAGACCAUGUUUUAAAAACGCGAGAGAGAACAAUGUGGUGUAUCAUGGUAGAAAGAAAACAAGGAUUGAGUUGAUUUCUAAGCACGGAUUUCUAUGAAAAAACUUGUUUUUAAUGAAUGUAUGCACAACCAAUAGAAUAAAAUAUAGAUUAUAUAUUUUCUUUAAUAAUAUUUGUUAAAUGUUUUGCCGAUUUCCCCAGGUUUCCUACGUUUUUCUCGGUUUUCCUAUGUUUUUCCCAGUUUUUCAUAUUUGCUAAUAAAACUCCAGAGAAAAUCUAAAAACGACCUUUUUAAAGUACCUCCCCAGUGAAGUUUUCUUUCAGACCAUUCUACCAUUAAAUGUUGGAGCAAAAUUGCUGGUAGAGAAGUUGUCUACAGAAAAAAAAAUCAUAUGAUACAAAUAUAUUGCGUAUAUUUUCUCGUUUUUUUUUUUCGGUCUUUUACAUCUGUUGAGAAAACUCUGGGGAAAUUCGGGGCAAGUCCUCUGGUAGAAAAUUUGUCUGCAGAAAAAGAAAUUAAUAAACUUCUUUGUAAAACUAUAAGCUUCUUCGUUCUACUCAGAAUUUAAAAUUCAGUUUAUUAUUAUAUUUUAAUAAUGUUAUUGAUUUUGUUAAUUAUUUUUUAUUUAAUUUAUUUUGCAUAUAAGUGCACAUUUUGAUGUUAAGAGAAUAUAUUGAAUAUUGAUACAAAAAUAUAUUUUCAUCUUUUAAUAAUAUUUUUAGAGAAUAUUACAAGCAUAUAAUAUUCUGCAACUUAAAAGAAUAUAAGCAUCAUAUUUUGGCUAUUUUUAGAGAAUAUAAAUCCGCGCUCUACUCAAGACAAAAAUGAAAAUUCACAUUCGAAAAACGUUUAGACGGCAUAAUUGUGUUACUGAUUCAAAGAGUUCCGUUUAAAAUGAAACAGCUAUACGUUUUGAUAAUCUUUAAUAAACCCACAAGCAGUGUUCUUACUUCGACUUCAUGGUUUUAACAUCAUUCUUGUAGCCUAGCUAGGGUAACUACUGAAUUACUGAUAAAUAUAAUAAACUCUCCAUAGUUAUUAACGCAAAUAACAUAAUUAUUUCGACUAAACAAUUAUUUUAGUAAUAUAGGGAUAUUAAAUCGUUUUAGGUAAAUUAUUAUUAUUUUAAGUAAGUACCGGAAUAUAAUAGGGUGAAUCACAUUAGUAAUUGCCGUCGCGGUGGCGGCGAAUACCGAGGUGGUUUUAAUAAUUUAUUUAGGUUAACCGUGACGAUUGCGGUACAAUAUAAUAACGAUGAUAUUAUUUUGAAAACAGUUCUAAUCGGCGUGAUAAGUAAACGUCGACGUGAAUUCGAUCAUUGUAUUGUAUUAUUAUUGUUUUACGUAGAACUAUUUCGAUUUCGUAAAUACGAAUACAAAAGUAUAUGGAUAAAGGUAAAUAAUGUCAAAGAUCUAAAUUUUAUUUGAAUCGUUAAUUGAUUUUUUUAGAGGAACCGACACGUCUCACGUUUGCACGUGAAAUUAAAUUAGAAUACACAGCAAGUUUAAGUAAAAUAAUUAAAGUAAAAAAAAAAUCGUUUAAAAAUAAAAUGCAAAAUGUUCUCUUAUGAUAAAUAAAGUUCUUAGGAACUUUAAAAUUGAGAUUGGAAAAGUUUUAUUAAAUAUAGGUUGUUACCACGGUAUUUAUUUAGAUUUGUCUAAAAAAAAAAAAUUAAAUUAAAUUAAUAAUAAAUAUAAAUAAUUAGAAACUAUAUCAUACUAUUUAUGUUUCAGAUCUAUUCGAUAAUUUCUUAUGAUUUUUUUUGUUUCUUAAUAACUCGUCCUGUAGUAUACGAAUAUAAUUUUAUGUUCAAUUUUUCAUACCAAAUAGCUAACACUAGAAACCUUUAUAGGAAGUUGUAGAGUGGAGUCGUCACAUAUCUCUACUCAGUGGCGUCUCUAGACCCUUUUUUAGAAAGGGGCAAACUUCAUACAUUAUAUGUGUACAUCAACACACUAAUUACUAGAAAGUUUACCUGGUUUUACUCGGAAAUGUUUUAGGGAAAAGUAGAGUUGCUUAUUAAUAUAGUCACAGUAUUUAAAAUAUUUGUAUGCAUUUAAAUAUAAAUUAAUAAUAUAAGUUAAAUGACUAUUCGCUACGUCAUCAAAAUUGUAUACUCCAACGAAGCUAUACUUUUUUUUUUGUUUUGUAAAAUUAACCCAUAUAAUUAAUAUAUUAAUAUACGCCCGUAUAUUGUUCCAAAAACUCGUAGGGAAUAUGUCCGGUCUCCUGCUGGUUGAUUGUCUCGGAUAUACAAAUGCGUGGGAUUUAGAUCAAAGAUAGUUUAAAAUAACUAACUAAUCGAGUAAAUUUUAAACUCGGUAAUCAUACUGAUAAACCCAGAGGGAAUUAUAUAAACGAACCCCUAAAAUAUUUUUUAAUGCAGUGAACUCUGCGAUAAAUACGUGAUAAUAUGAAAAAUAUAUAUUUAAUAUAAAUCGCAAUUUUUUCUAGAUCAUCACAUAGUCCAUUGUAUAGUUAGACUAGACAAUAAGAGAGAGGCCAACUCGAAGGUUGUUUUUCUAUUGGUUGACACUUUAUCAGUCACCGAGCCGCCAUUUUUAAUGAACAAUUAUUAAUUUUUACACACGAUCAAUGUGGAUUUAUUUAUUUUAUACACGUUUUAAAUGAAUACGUUACUUUAAUAUGUAUUCCUGCUAAUUAGUUUAGAAAUUCUUUGAUUGUUCAAUAUUAUUAAGUUAACAAAACUGAACAGAUGCUAAAUUUUCAUUUGUUUUUCAUCCACCUGUCCGUUAAAUUAUUUUCAAUUUUGAGAAAAAGUUUUGCUUGAUUUAAAUUCGUAAGUAUAAUUAAAAAUAAUAUGUAUAGUGUUUAAAUAUUUUGGAUAGAUGGGGGGUGUUAAACUAUUUGUUCUGAUGAAAUUUAGAUUAUAUCUUAAGACAAUAAGUCCUCAGUAAAAGAAAAAAAUUUUUAUUAUUUAAAUACACCUAUUGUACCUUUCCCCGAAUACACUAAUGGAAUCCCCUAUCAAUAUAAAUAGUUUAAUAAUUGAACUAGUGAACUAUAGAUACUAUGAAAGGUAAAAUACAAAUAAUUAAGUAUACAAACAAAAAGACAAAUCAAAUAACUAUAUUCCAUGUAACAUUAAUUGUAUAUUAUUUGGAUUUAGGUGGUCAUUUUUUCGCACUUAACACGACGGUUAUAUUCUGCUGAGAUGGUCACACAUGUAUUUAUCUAUACAACCAUAGUAACUAUAAAAGUGACACCUUUUUUUAACUGUUAUCUGAAAACUAAAAAGGAACAUUGAAACGAGUCCGCGCACCAAUUCAAUGGUAUAACUUUGUUUAUCCUAGUUACAAAAACGUUUACUGCUGCGUUGACGAGGCACGCUGAAUGGCGUCUGUCAGUUAACAGUUCAGUUUGGGGCCAGUUAUUAUCAAAAUGAGAAGAUUGAUUGAUAUCAAAACUAUAGUGGUUUAUUAGGGCUUAAGGUCAGAUUAGGAAGUACCAAACGUCCAAUAUGAUUUCAACCUCUCAUCGGACCCUACCAUAAUGUUAGGCAGUUAUUGUUUUUCAAUACAUCUAUAUAGUUUUAAUUUAUACGUUAACAUUUGAAUAUUUGAUCAACUCAAAUAAUGUUACCUAUGGUACGCAUAUUUUUGAUAGGUAUAUUUUGGUAAUACCAUAUUAAAUUGACACGCGGAAAGGCAGCAUUAUAUAGUGCGCACGGAAACGAUUAUAAUACGGAAGAUUGCUUCGGGGAUCUUGUUCGAGGAGAAUGAAACCGUAUUAUAGUCAUAAAUGAUUUUACCAUAAUAAUAAUAUAUAACGAUGUACUCUAACCAGGCAGACACGAACAUGAUUUUGCGAGGAUUAGGCCGAAAUCUUACUUGAUAACAAUAUACUCGUACAUUUGGUUAUACAGUCAAAGUCGCUCGGCGCGUGUUUUUUAAAUUUUGCUUUCAUCUCGAAAUUAUAAUAUUUAGAUUGGAAUUAUCGCUUUUUUUUUUUUAAAUGCGUGCAGCAUAAUAUUACAAAAACAAAAAAAAAAACUCGCGUUUGAUUAAAUUAUUAUUAAAAACGUCCAAUGCAUAUAAUUAUUAUGAUCGUGAAUGUACAGAGUCAGUGCCAGCCCUAAAGGGGUGAGCAAGCAAUGAGCCUCACACUUGUGUGGAGCCCACCAAUUUUUUUUAUUUCCAAUAUCAUUUUAUAAAUAAAUAACCAUAAUAAUAUUGCCCCAAUAGUAAGCAACUUUCGACCCUAUGCCAUGUGGCCAUGUGGUUUUCAUAAGACACGGGUUGUUAUCGACGAAAAUCAAAAUGGUACCAAUUAUAUAUAUUGCCGAGUUGCGUAAACGACCAAUAACUAGUUAUCCAACCGAUUUGAUCGGUUUGAUAAAGUGUUUGGCUGUUGCAAAAACGACUUUUAUCAAUUCGAUAAGUUAUUAGAGGCCCGAUUUUGGUUCGAUAAGUAAUAAAAACAGUACCAUAACUAUGUAUUGAACUGAUAAUACGCUUACAUAUUUAUUCCCACCACCCGGUAGUCACUACUUGCUUACUUGUUGGUUAUUGACUUAAUUUAUCCUGUGGUUAUACAUUUUAUUUAUCUUUUUUUAUUUUUUAUUUAUUCAAUAAUGUAUAUUUAAUUCUAAAUACAUAAUUUCAAAAGGAUCAUAAUAAAUAACGAUCAUUUAUUGAAUAUACCACACUACGACGACCGGGCUAAGUUAUCAAAUAAUUAUAUUUACGUUGAAAAUUUUAUGCAACAGUACUGUAUUAUAUUAUAGAACCGAUACAGAUAUUUAUACAAUAAUUUAUUGACCCGAUAGCAAACCUUAUCGAGUUUUUUUUAUCGAUCGUUUAUGCAACUCGGCAAUAGUUGAAAAGAUAGGGUAUAGACGGGAAAUUAAUGUAUAUCUGUAAGCAACGAUAAACCAUUACGAACGAAAAAACGAUUCUGAACAGAGUUCAGUUGAUAGUGUCAAUUUGUCAACAAUAUAUAUAUAUAUAUAUAUAUAUAUAUAUCAUAUAAAAAUAAAAUGAUUAUAACAAUUAGAGUUGCCAUAACAACAAUGUGCGUUUUCAUGACAAUAAUGAUUGUUUAAAAAAGAUUAAAUCAAAAUAAUAAAAACUUAAUAAUAACAAAAAAUAAAUAAAAACGGCUACCAAUGACAACCCUAUUUUUAAUUUUUCAAACUUUUUUAACCUAAAAAACUAGGUAUUUCUUAUUAUUUCGAAUAUUAAUGAGAAUUACAAAAAAUGACCUCUUUAAAGUAUCACUCAGAGAACAUUUCCUUUUAAGAAAUAUGCUAUACUUGAUAAUCGGCGUAAGCUUUCUAGUAUAUAAAUUGUUCACAUAAAAAAAAAAAAACGUCAUUGUAAAACUAAUACAUUCCUCGCUUCGCUCAGAAUCUAAAAAAGCGAUUUCUGAAAAGUCAAUAUUUUCCGAGGUCACUAGUGUUUACGUUAUAUCGAUCACUUUAUAUAGAUGAAUAAAAGGGUUAAUGUUUUUUUUUUUUCCAUCGUGUAAAUAAUUUAAAUAAAAUAGAUCAAUUUCGAUAUCCUGCCACAAUAGUGGCAUUGCCCUGUAAUAUUUUAUAUAAUCAAAAAAUAGAUUAAAUAUAAAUCAUAUUCGUAAUUACAUUGUUUUCUUGACGGUGAAAUACGUACUAUAGGUAUUCGAAUUAUUUACUGUUUUUUUUAUUUCAACCCGUGACAUAGGUUUACUAAUUUUAAAACAAAACAAUUCCAACGUCUUCAAUUGUAUUUAUAACUGAGGAAAAUCGUAUAAAUUGAAGAUGUUUUAUUUUCGAAGUCAAGCCUGUCGCCGUCAUCGUCAGUGGAGAAUAUUUAAUUACUAUGACAACGACAACGACGUGAAAUUGGAAACAAACGAAAUAACCUUAUGAACUUGUUUGAGUUCGGCUGAAAUAAACUCGUAACACCGCCACACCGCACUCGUCGUCGAAUGAAAUUAAAUUACAGGGUUUUGGUUCAUUUAAAUGUUAUUCCGGAUUCUCUUUUGGAGCGGUGCUGUGGUAUAAUGGUGGCAGUUCUCGAGAGUUUUAUAGGCGUGUCUUUGCAACGUAUAUAGUGAUCUCGAUGUGAUAUUAAAUUGUCAGGUUUACGUCGUCUUAUUAUAAAUAAUUUAUUUAAAGAAUGAAUUAAAUAAAAAAUUUAAAAAAAAACAAACAAACACGGUGAGGUAAUAAUAUUUGAAUUGGGGUGGCGUAAAAUAAUUCGUUUAUAGAAAAUAAAAUAAAUAGCGGUGAGCGGUAGAACUCUGUCACUAAUGUCUAAUUUCCACAGCCGACUUCCAUUAUUAGUUGUUUUAUAAUUAAUCUGAAAUAGUUAUGUUUGCCAGAUUUGUAUUAUAUUUAAGUCUGUAUUGGUAUUUAAAAUCUCGUAUUUCUUGUGUAAUGUAAAAUGUGUGCACACAAAAGGUUUGAAAAGGUGUUUGAAAAUUGAAACCACUAAAAGACACAUCUUUGAUGCCAUAUAAUCAAAAAAAUAUAAAUAUCAUUCCUUUGACUUUAUAUAGGGGGCCUAUAGGUGUGAGAAAACUUAAAAAUAUCACACCACCCUAACAACAUAAUGAAAUUCACACUGAAAUCAUACCAAAAUGUUACCACUUAAAUCCACACUGAAUCGACUCUAGUUCCCAAGUUUGAGUGUCAAAAAGCAGGAAGAAAAAAAUGUACAUAUAUAAUAGACAAUGUAACAUUAUUUAUAUUUACGGAAAAAACUUCAAAAAAAAAAAAAAGGCUUUGAAAUCAACGCAAGGGUCAUAAAAAUAAAAACUUUAGGUACGGUGAAAUUAUAGUAUCGUGUUUACUGUUUUUAAAUUAAAACAUGAUUUGUUAUCGGUUUCAUAGUUUAUAUGAAUUAUGAUAUAUUAUUUAUGCCUUAUUUUAGGAUGUUAAGUUAGGUUAGGUUCACUAAUAUGAACACAUAUAGUGUUCAAAAUAAGAAACACCCAAUCAUCUAACAUUCUCUUAACAAAAUCUUUUAGGCCAUCUGUUUACUAUAAUAAUUUCAUGUAUUUAUAAUAUUUUUGUUAUUUAGCCAUUAAAAUUUUGAAUUAUUUAUAAUAUUUAUUUCCUUCAUUUCCAUUGAUAUAGUGCAGUGUUUUCCAAAUUGAUGGGCGUCAUCAUGAAAUAAAAUUUGUAUUUAUUAAAUUAUUUUUAUUCUAAAAUAUAAGGAAGGUUAGUAAAGGCUUUUAUAAACAUUUAUAAACAUUUAUUUGCUCAUUAACCCUUAUACGAAUAAUAUCUUAUAGGAACCUUUUUGUUGUCGAUUUUUUUUUUGCUCAUCAUGUUGUAAAAAGGGAGACAAGAUUUUUGAAAAUCUAAAAAGAGAGCGUAGAAUAAAUGAGAUUGGGAACCACUAAUAUAGUGAGACUAACGGAACAGAUUUAUAAAACAACUGCAGAAUAGCCGAAUAUACGAGUAAAUCUUAAGUUUGAAAUCCAUAAGGGAGUAAAAUUGUAUUGAUUAACCUAUCAAAUACUUGUUCAACUGUCUUGUAUUAUGCGAAAAUGUAUGUGACGAUACGGAAACUACUUGAAAUUAUACGCAAAUUUGUUCCUAGAACCUCAUAUUAUUCAUGGAGUAAACAAAUAUUUCCUGGGUUAAUCGAUAUGGUAUAAUAGAACAAUGUAAGUACUACUAAUUUUAUACUUUUUACGGUAAAUCUAUUAUACAAUCGAUUAUAUCUAAAAAUUUUAAAUUUAAUAUCCGCAGUGUUUUCAAUGUAAAUUAUUUAUUUUCCUUGGGUAUUAUUGACCAAACAUCCGUAAUAUUGUACACACAAACAAAAUAUAAUUAAUUACCUAAAAGAUCUGGAACUGCUGAUAGGUGUGCCACUGUUGUAGAUAGGAAGUUAGGAGGCAUAGAGUCAUAUCAUUUAUAUAUGUACACAACAAUAAAUCAUUGUUAACGAAAUCCGAUUCUUAGUGAAGUUCAGUUAAACGUGUUGCGAAAUGUCAUGACUAUUACGAUCAAAAUAUCAAAUGCGUAUAAAUAACUGAAAAAUUACCAGAAAGUUUCAACAUUUUACAUCUUGAAAAGGCUGCAUAAGUAUUUUGUGAACAUUUCGGAUCUUUGCGAUUAUUUUUAACCAAAUCCCAACACAUAAUAACAAUAAAGAAGACAAUGAUAUUUUUUCCCGAUUUUUAUGAAAACGGCCGAGUAAAUCAAACAACGCCCUUAACGCAAUGACUGUGCGAUAUUUAAUAAAACCAAUACAAUUCUCGCCACUCUUAGAAUCUAUCGUUAACGGAUAGCCUAAAUUUCGGUACAUUAUAAUAGUAUACAAGUACAACGCCAGUUCGAAUAAGUGCCACGCCAAAGAUAUACCGGCUUAAUGUAUGUAUUAUUGUGAGUAGUUUAUCGAAACGGUAAAAAAAACGUAUUAGUGGUUUAUACGGUACGCGGGUGUCUAUACGCAGUCUAAUAUAAUAACACAGUAAUCCGGCCACGCUGGUAUGGCGGUUUUAAAUAAUAACAAGAGAAUAGAGUCAGCGGCGCACGCGGAAUAUUCGUUUCGUCGGUGGAACGCGCGACUGAUACACGUUAUUAGCCGACGGUGCUGUUGAUGCCGCCACUACGCCGUGUACUUAACGCGAUCCCGGGAUAAUGUCGGACAGAACACAUUAUAUACAGGUACCCACUACCUGUACGCCGAAAAUACGUACGCGCGUAUAAUGCGCACCGGUUAUACAAUAUAUACGUAAUAAUGUACGUCUACCCGUUCUCCGGGGUAUAUAAUAUACAUAUAUAUAUAUUAUUUUUUUUUUUUAAUGUAAGUAUAUUUAAGUCGCCGUACAGGGUAUUCUUUUUUUUUUGUCCCGAUAUCGAAAAACCCGUUCAAAACGGAUUUCGGAAAUCUGUAGCUGCAGCAGCAGUACCGUGCAGUGUAUAGUGGAAUAAGCAAAAGUUCCAUUUCUCCGCAACAAUGGGCUAAACGCCGGUAUUUUUUUCUUCCUCCCGCGGACGAAAAUAUAUUCGCGUUUUUAUUUUUCUACGACGGCGACGACGACGACGACGACGGAAAAAUAUGGGUUUUUAAAAUAGAAAUACGACGUAUCGGUAUAUUUUUUUUUUCUUUUGCCGCAAUAAGCGGCUUACCGGUAAUCGAAAGCGGUCGAUUUUCACCGUUCUACUUUUUAUACUGGACACUAUACGAAAACCAAUACUAUAUCGUUAAAAGCACACGUGACCGCCACCACGAAAAGGCCUACACCUAUUACCGUGAUUUAAAUACGUAAAACCGUGUCGUAGUUUUUCGGUUGCCUGGUUUAAAAUCCCUCGGUAGGUAUACCGGUCAGAUUUAGAUAAGAGCUCGUGGAAUUUCCUCUAGAAAUGUCGGAGAUGUUCAAUUUUAAGUUCAUAUUAUAUCAUAUGACGCGUGCCUAGGCCAAAAAAAACGAAGAUAUGUUUUAAAUUUUUAUAUUUUCGAAAGUAAUUUAAUAUGGUAUACAAACUCCUCUAAAAUUGUCGUUUAAAUCAAGUAACGAAUGAUAUUCGGAUAUAUAAUAAUUAUUCAUUGAUUUAUUAUUUAGAUAUACUAAGCCAACCUCCUUCAUAAUAGUGGUUAUUGGAUAUAGUUUUCGUUUAAACGAGAUAUUGUAAUACAAAUUUUCAGAUAUUAUUUAUGUAUCAUAAACGAUAUAGAUUUACGUACGAAUAUAUCGAAUUUUGGACUAAAAGUAAAGACGUUUGGUUUUAAACAUGUCUAGUCAUUGACACUGAAAAAAGGUCAAGUGGAAGACAUGGCUUCCCAAUCGCUCCUUCCCUUCGUAAAUACGCUACUAACCCAAUGGUCAUUAUGGCUAUGAUUUUAUUUCGAAUCGUCUUCAACUAUUUAUAUAAGUCUUAGGAUAUAUUAUUUACUUGAACGCGCCAUCGUCGGUGGCCAUUAAAAACCCCUUCUUGCAGUAGUAGCCGUUUAAACUCUAAUAAUAAUUAUUAUUAUUAUUUCGACCCAAAUGAGUUUCACUAAUAUUGUAUAUUAUAAAGUACCUACAUAGUCGGUUGCGCGCGGGUUUAUAAUGCCUGAAAUUAAAUCGUGUGCAACCCCUCUCCACGAUACACCCACUAAAUUUUGGUCAAUAUCUAACUACGUCGUCGACGACAAGAAACUCGGGAACAAUAUUUUGGUACGGGAAAAUAUUAUUAUAUUGGAGGAAAACCGAGUCACCUAUAAAUCCUUAUACCGCUCUCACCGCGCUCCCGCAUUAACUGGCCAGAUCACGGUGGUAUGCAAAACCGUAAUCGUCUCGUUUAGGUAUUAUUAUUUUAGUUUAUUAUAUAGUGUUUAUAUAAGAUAAGUAUCAGGUUUUAAGUACACUGUACCGAUAUUAUAUUCGUUCAAUUAUAUAGUCCCUGUUUUACAAACAAUUACGCUUUGUAGACGCCUAGAAACUCAUAAAAGCUGUGCAAAUAUUUUACGAUACAAUAUAUUGCUGAGAUUCGCUAGAUAAUUUUAUUUUAGAUUCUGUACGAAUCAAGCAAUUAAUUGAUUUUAUUAGGUAUUUUUUGACAUUUUUUUAAGAUAAAUCCUGUUCCAAUUAAAAACCGUAUGGAAAAUAUUAGCCUUUUCGGUAACCUUGGCAAUUACAUUUUUAAAAUCGUUUUUCAUCAGCAAAAAUCUACCGUCGCCUUUAAAUAUGAAUAAAAUUGCUCUGUACAUUUUCUCCCUGACAACUUCUCUCCUAAAAAAGUAGUAAACACAUCUGCCAUCAGUAUCGGCCAUUUUUUUUUUAAAUUUACAUUGUAAAUGUAAACCAACCCAUGUUUUUUCCAGAAAACGUUGAUUAUUUUAUAUUUAGUUCUGGAGCCAAAUUCAUGCAGUCUAGAAACUGCGUCCUAGAAACCUACGUAACUUCACUAACAUUUUUUUGUAUUUAUAUUCGAUUUUAAUUUCGUUUGUUAAUAAUAAAGAUUUAAACAAGAACAAAAUAAUUAAUUUAUGAUCUUAUAUAAAGUGAUUCAUUAAGCAUACUUACCUCAUUUUUAUGCCAAUAUUUUGCAUACAUUCAAAUUCGGAUUUUAGGAAUUUUUAAGUAUAGUUAAAGCUGAUAUUUUCGAAUACUUAAAUUUUUCACAGUAUUUAAGGAGUAUCCUUCGAUAAUCCUAAUUUUGGCUUUUCUAUAUUAAUAAUCCCAUUAAAAUAAUAUGGAUUAUUGGUUCAAAUAAAUUUUGGUGUUAAUAUUUUUGAUUUCUGUCAACCCGCUAACGAGAUAUUCCACUUUCAAGUUGUGACAGGGCGAGAGUAGUGGAUCACAAUAAAAACGCCGCUCGCUGUGCAGCCACAUAAAUGAUUCUAUUAUCCUCAGUAUUUUAAAGUAGAGUAAUUCAAAAACUUUUCGUUCAAAUUUCGAUUACAAUAUGCCAACAUUUUCAAAAAAAUCAUAGGAUUUAUAAUUUCCAUUAAACAUUUAGGAUUUCAUUUGAAAAACCAAAGUUGAUAACAUCACAGCACACUCUUUAAAUGUCGUAAAAAUCUAAGUGUUUUAAAAUAUCGGCUUGGUUACGUAAGGCACACUUAAAAAUUUCAAAAAAUCAGGAUUUUAAUAUAUGCACAAUUUAAAGACACAAAUGGGCGAAGCAUGCUUAAUGAAUACCCUAGUUUAGUAUAAUUGUAUAAGUGUUCAAUUUUUUAAAAAUGUGUAAAUAAUAAUGUACAAAAUAUUUGCAAAAUGUUUAUAAAAUGUUUAUGGAAAUGCAAAUAGAAAAAUGUUUUAAUAAAAUAGCUAAAAUGUUAUAUGUAAAAAAAAUCGCUGUAUAAAAAAGGAUUCAAAGCCGCUUACAAAAGCUAGCCGUUAUAAGAGGAGCAGAUAUCCAAAUCCCUGUUCAAUAAUAUAAUAUUUUAUAAUAGAUAACGAGACUGCUGCGUGGAAAUAUUACGUAUGUAAUAACUUUCCGAAAUAUGUAUUUUAUAUUUAAAUGACCUUUACACCGUUGACAAAACCCUAUAGUAUAGGAUUCAAGGUCGCCCAAUUUCGAAAAUGGAAUAAAAAUACAUAAUAUAUUCUGUUAGAGUUACAUGAUAAUGUGCACCCCGCCAACACACCGUCACUACCGUAAUAAAAAUAUGAAGUGCAAUGUAGUGUUGUGAAAUAAGCAUGAUUUAUUUUUGUUUUAAAACGACGUCCAUUUUUUAUUAUUAUAACAAUAAACAAUGAUAAAUUCGUAUACGAAUGCGUCGUUUUAUAAUGUGCUAUGUUUCAUAAAAAUCAAAGCAUCUUAAUAACAUGUAAAGUAUAGUCACAGAUAUACGACGACUAUCAUAUAAGUAUACAGGCCUACAACUGCUCACAACGACAAUGAAAUAGAAGAAAUGUAUGACAAACUGAAUUAAGUAUUAGAUAUGAUAGAUGCAGAAGAGAAUAUAAUCUUAAUGAGAGAUUGGAAUACACAAGUUGGUGAGGUAUAUGACGGAAAUAUAGUAGGCAGCUAUAGCCUUGGAAAAAGAAAUGACAGAGGAGAAAAGUUAAUUGAAUUUUGCUCCGAACACAAACUAGUAAUAGCAAACAUCAUUUCCAAAAUCACAAAAGAAGAAAAUAUACAUGUAGAAACCCGAGGGACGCGGCUAGAUAUCAGAUAGACUACAUAAUAGUUAAACAAAGAUAUAAAAAUGACGCCCUAGAAUAAUGGAGACGGAUGCAGCCACUGUUAUAGAUAAUUUUAUGUAUACCUGUAAGCAACGAUAAACCAUUGUUAACGAAAAAACGAUUCUGAGAGCAGUUCAGUUGAUAGUGAUGGUUUUUCAACAAUAUAUAUAUAUAUAUAUGUCAUAUUAUGGUAAAAUAAAUAAAUGGUAUUAAAUAUUUUCUUUAAUAAUAUUUGUCUAAUAUUAUACCGAUUUUCCCAUAUUUUUUUCCGAUUUUUUCCAUUUAUUGAAAAAACUCAUGGAAAAUCGAAAAAACUACCUCCCUAAAGUACCUUAUCAGUCAGAUUUCCUUUCAGAAAAAUUACUCAUUUUAAGUCGAAGUGAAAUUGUUGGUAGGAACGUUGUACACAGAAAAAAAAGCUAUAGUAUUUUUUUACUAAUACUUAAAUUUUGUACAUUUUCUUUUUUUUCGACAUUCUAUCCCGGUUUUUAUUAAAUACUAUAAAAACCGAAUUUUUAAUUUUGAAGCAUUUUUGUUCAAGUCCAAAAAUUUCACCACAGAGUACUUACCGAAUAAAUAUUACAUAAAAAAUUCACAAUUAAAAUGUCUUUUACAUUUACAAAAACGGAUUAAAUUGUUUGAAAAUUCCACCACGUCUAAAAAGGCAAAUUUAAGUUAUUUUUUUUUUUUAAUUUUAAGUCUCUACGAAUAUUUAAACUGAGUUACAAUAAACAACAAAAUAGAAAAAUAAUUAAAGCAUUAUUUGCACUGAAAUAGAAGAAGACUUGCAAAUAUUAUUUGAUAAAAUGGAAGAUAUUUUAGGAAAUUACGGAAUGAAAUUAAUCAAAAAUAAGACAAAAGUUAUGUCAUGUAGAAAAGUAGAUCAAAAGCGGCUAUGUAAAAAUAUUAACAGGUAACCUAUCAAACAAGUGUAAAACUACUGCUAUCUUGUUAGUAAAAUAACCGAAUACGGUAUAAGCCAAUUAGAUAUAAUAUAUAGGAUUGCACAAGGAAAAAGUGCAUUCCAAAAAAAAACCACUUACUAACGUCGAAUAGCGUGGGACUAAACACAAGAAAAAACUUUCUGAAAAUGUAUGUAUAAAAUGUACCAUUAUACAUAUGCGGGACCUACAUAUUUAACUCAAUCGAGAAGAAAAAAUUAGAAUCUCUUGAAAUAUGGUUCUACCGGAAGAUGCUCAAGAUUCCACGAAGCAACAGAGUAAAAAAUGAAGAGGUAUUGAGUAGAAUUAAAGAAAAAAAAACAAUUUUGGAAAAUUAUUACUUGUAUAAGGGAUAAUUGUAUAGGACAUAUAUUGUGCUAUGUUAGUUUGUUGAAACUAAUUAUUGAAGAAUAUGCGGAUGGUAAAAUCGGAAGAGUAAGGCCAGGAAUGGAAUAUAUAUCACAAAUUAUGAAGGAUAUCGGUAUGGAAAAUUACCGAGCUUUAAAGGAGUUGAGUUUUAACAGAGAAGCUUGGAGAGCUGUGGCCAACCAAUCGAAAAAUUAAAAACCGAAAAAAAAUAAAACAAAACUUUACAGAAAUACUCUUAAAUUAGAUACAUAGCAGAGUCGUGUGAAUAAAUCCACGGUCUCACACUAAGUGGGCAAAUUGUAUUGUUCAACCCGUCAAUUAUUUAUUUAUUUAUUUAUUAACUCCAUAAAAUAUUUUGAUAAUAUACGUAAAGAAAUUUGAAAUCAAUCACGAAUCGUUUUCAUAUCACCGUCCAAUGAAUGGAGUAGACAAACGUAUUACAGAUUCAUUAAUCAAUACAAUUCCUCCCCUCUUAAUAUUAUAUGUAUAUGGUUUGCUGAACAUAAUAAAGUAAUUUUUUUUUAUAAUUGAUUUGUGAUUAAGUUUUGAAAAAAAUCGUAAAUAUUAUGGCCUUACAUAUCCUGUAUAAACGAACUUCGCUUAGAAUCGUUUUUCGUUACCAAUAGCUUAUCGUUAGAUACAGAUAUAAAUUGAAUAACUUUAUGUGCCCUACCUUCACAAAUUCCCAACUACCACAGUAAUGCUCCCACUAGCAUUGUCAGCUCUUUUUUUUCUUUUGUGCAAAUAAAUUAUUUUUCCAAUCAAAAACUUUAUAGGGACUUUUUGUAUACAAUGUUUGAUCUAGUUGAUGCGCUGAGUGGGUGAUUUUUUAUUUGUACUUUUUUUAAUAAAUAAGAUUAACUGGCAAAUUUUUGUAAAAUUAUAGUUGAUUUCUAAGUUACCUUGAUAAGAGUAUGACUACUAAUAAUGUAUUCUAAAUCAUUUUUGUUGUCGAUGGUUUAUUGUUACGCACAGAUAUGCAUAAAUCAAAUUACUUUUAAUAUAUUUCCUUUCGACUUCCCUCCUUAAACAGCGACACGUCUAUCAAUAGUAUCGGCCAUUUUAUUUGCGUUGACAUGUAUGUUGUAUAGAAUUACGUAAUGUAAAAAAAAAAAAUACACGCUUUAUUACAAUACGCCUGGAAAAUCAAGGAGCGUUUAAAAUAUUUUGGGCAUAUUAUCAACGAGAAAUGUUGAUCAUUGAUCAACGAUCAAUGAGAAAUCUACAAAUAUGUACACACAAUCGGCAGAUUGAAAAACAUUUUUUUUUUUUUUAUUUAUGUAUACAACACUAUUGGUUCUUUAGUGAAAGCACAUACGGGCUUCUGUAAUAUAAAACAUUUGAUGUUUUGGGAACUCAUUAUAACAGUAAACUUCUGGUUACUCCAGCGUAAAAAAAAAAAAAACAAACAAACAAUUAGAUAUAUAAUUGGCUGUGCACAUGUGUCACUCAGUUUCAUCCUUCGCUUAAAAUGUAUGGUUAAAAACACAAAAAAAUAUAUAUAUAUGUGUAUAUAUUUUUAAGUCUGCCGAAUACGACUUUUUCAUGUUGCAUUCAAUUUUAAUUAGUCGAAAUAUUUUCUCGUUCAAUAUUAUUAUAUUAACAUAUUAAACAAUAUUAUUAUUCGCAGCAUAAUGAUAUACAAGAAAAUCUAUAGACCGAAAAAUUUUCCUAAUAGGUAACUUAAUCAUUUUUUAAAAGUCGUGAAAGAUAAACGUAUAUAUAUAUAUAUACCUAUAGGUAUAAGUAUAUGUAUAGGUAUUAUAUUAUUAUAUAGCGUUUUAAGUUCACUGCAAAAACGCCCGGGACCUCCGGAAAUUUGACGGUCGAUUCCAUUAAAUAUGUAAACACAUUUUAAUACUCGGGCUUACGACGAAUAAGUAAAACCGACAGAUACGACGGUCAUGGCAAUAGCGGUGUGGGCUGGGUGGAAUUCGGCAUCGCCUUACAUGAUAAAUAAAAACUCGAGCACUAGUCGCUUUUUCGACGCGAUAUCAAUGUCGCAGCGAACGUCCGCGAUAAUCUGACGGCCUAAGAUCUUCAACAGUCGAGACAACUUAUCUGCACAUGGUAUUAUUACAUUGAAAAGGUGUAAUGGUAAGAAUUCCGUUCUUGUUUAAGCCGUCCGAGAAAAUUUAACGAAUCAAUUGAAUGACUAUAUACAUCCCGACAGUGGUAAAUUUUCAGUAUUUUGCUGGAAAGGAGGGAGUUCUGAUAUGUAUUUUAAAUAGAUUGCUGUUUUGUACCAUAGAUACAUUGAAAUAAGAUUUCUGAGAUGAAUCAUUCACAGGCACAAAAAACACACACACAUCAUAAUAAAACCAAUAGGACUUGCACUUCGCUUUGAAUUUAAAAAAAAGGUGAUCCGUGAAAGGACCGUAGUAAUUUUUGUUGCAUGAAUGCGAAUAAUAGUUACAUUAGAAACCGGUUACUUGUAUAGUCCUUUUAUUAUUAGAAAUUAGCAUUAAAUCGCUCAAUAUAGCAUAAUUUUCUGAUUACGUACAUAUUAUUUGUUCUUGAUUUGGUUUUAGGUCCAUUUUAGUUUAGUCCAACUAGAACAGUACUACAGAAGUGCGUAAGUUAAGUAGAUGACUUUGAUACGUGCAUAUGACACAAUGUAUACAAUUACAAUAAUGUAGACAAAUUUGAAUGCGCAUCAUGUCCCCGUACAUUUCCGACUAUUUUUAAAUUAAGCACAAUCACAUUAAAUCAAACAUACAUAUUAUUAUAUAAGUGAGAGUUAAAAAAUUCGUCUCCGCGAACGACAUUAUAAUAUACACACGUCAAAGUUUAGUCGCAAGUAAACUUUCUUACUGACUGUUGAUGACUGAUGUCAUGCGUGUUUCGUUUAAAAUGAAAAUCGUAACUAACUUUUGAUUGCAGGCAGAUGACAAUUCGUGCGAUAACACAAAAUACAUUUUUUUUUUUUUUUUAUAUAUAUGUAAAUUAUAUUUAACAAAAGUUUUUCUCGAAUUUAUUCCGGUAAGCGGUGAUCAUCAAUGCAUAUACGUAUUAAAAAUCAAUCGUAAGUUUAUUAAUCUAAUUGUAUGAUUUUCAUAGAUAUACCUUUAUUAGUAUUCAAAUUAUAAAAAAACUUGAAAUACGAAACAGCUGCGGUUUUUUGACGGUGUACUUAUACAAAUUUUGAAAUAGUGUUAAGCCAAAACAGUUUAUGUACAUCUUUAUUUUAUAAAUUCCGUGAAAUAUUACUUAAAAUGUCUUGAUUUUUAAAUUUUUCAUCAAAAUCUUAUAUAUAUAUUGAAUAAUAUGUUAGUUUUAAAUUCAAACAAAUAAAAUAACUAUAAAUAACUGAGAAGCCCAGAAUUUUUGCAAAUUGUAUCGCGUCUUUAUAUUGCUAUCAUAAAUCGACAAAAUUUGCUAUCAGAAACUAUCCCGGAAGUUGAUAUAUUAUAAUAGAACUACUACGCCAACAAAUAAAACUGAAAAAUCGGAUAUCGAAUUGAGUGUGUAUGUAAAAUAUUCAACCAAUUACCAGCAACUGUUAACAUACCGAUCCCUUCUUAUUCGGGGUAAAAUUAUCAGUCCCCUUUAGUUUAGUUCUCUUAUGUCCAUGAGGUGGAGGGCUUUAGUUAUUUUUGCUGAAAUAUUUCGAAGCAAUUUAAAAAAAAAACAAAAAAACGGGAAAAAAUUGUAUUAAAAAUAAAUUCUUUAAUAACUGUAAAAAUGUGGAAUCUGUUUUAAUUUAGUUUUAGUAAACAAACGCAUGCGUAGAACACUAUUUUUGAGGGGGGGUUUGCAGUUCAUUUUUAAACCUCAUAAAUAUAAUAUUUUCAUGAACAAUAAUGUAUGUGAGUGAAAAACAUUUUGGAAGUACUGUCUCCGUGAUGGGUUUCUGAAAGUUUGGUCAGAUUUAGUCAGUUCUCGGGAACGCCCCUCAAUUUCGGUAAAUAUAGUCCCUCUUCAAAGUUUUUCCUACUUUAACCACUGAUUAUAAUAAAAGUUAUUGUACAAAAUGUCUUUUACCGAUACGGAUUAAUGUAUGCCUUCGAACGGAUUAAAAUAAAAUUGCGUGUUCAUGGUUUUUGGAUGAGGAAACAACAAAUAAUAAAUAUAUAUAUAUAUACUAUACGUACAUAAUAUAUACAUAUUCUAUGUAUUUUACAAUGGCGUGCCCGGGAAUUUUCAAUAUUUUCAAUAGCACGGAAUGUAUCGAAUAAGAACCAUGAAUAAAUCAUAAAAUCGUCCUCUCUCGCCAACUAGACUAAAAAAGGCCAAUUUCUAAUAAAUACAUCAAGCUUUUCCUCGUAACUUGGCUGAAAUAUAUGCAUUUCAAUAUUAGAUUACUAAUAUUAUUUGAAGUUUCAAGCCAAUGGGGUUAUGUAACCCCUAACCUCCCUUUCCCUGCGCAUACUACUGGCAAUUUAACGCGUAGACUUUCGUUCUCUAAAAGAGGAUAAGCCCAUAAAUUCCACAGUGAUAAUAAAUCGACCGAUAUUAAAGAAACAAAGAAGAGAUAAAUGACAAGAGAGAAAAAAAAUCUUAUAAAACACAUUCUUUUUACGAAUAAAUAAUUGUAUAGAGCGAAGAAAAUGAAUAUAUUUUUUCAUUCAAUUUUUGUAAAGCUGAAUAAUAGAAAUCGCAUUUCUAUAGAGGUACGCGAGUCUCAACUCCCCCCCCCCCCCCCCCCCCCCNCCCCCCCCCAAAAAAAAAAAAACUUCUAUGUGGUAUAAUAAUAAUAUGGACGAUUCUGAAAACAUAAUAAAUGCGUACCAUUACAUAAUACGGAUCUGGUAAACGAAAUUAAUUUUCCAAUAUAAGAAACGUGGAAGUUGCUAAUAUGGUUGGAUUAUAUGUACUAAUUUGUCAAGUACGCGUGAAACACUCUGAACAGAAAUAUUGUAUUGUAGUUGUAUUGUAAUUGUAGUAUUGUUUUCCACUACUAUUCCGAGUUGAAGUAAUUUAAUAAUAAAGUGUCUAUGCGUUUGAUCACUUAACGCGUAAUCGAAUCGUUAAAAAAAAAAAAAAAACACUUGCAAUGCAAUGUUUUAGAAAUUUGUAUUUUUGUGUUCUAAACGUUAAAGAGGAAAAUGCGUCGAUUGUAAAUUGUCAAUUAUUCCCAAUUUAUUGAAUUUAUUUGUGCGGAAUAAUUUGUUUGUUCGCAAAUUAAACUGGAAUAAUUAUUCUUCUCAUUUCAUACAAAAACUAUUAUAAGACAAAAUAUAGUUCUCCGUUCACUAAUUAAUAAAUAGUUACUCAUUCGUUCUUUUUUUUUUUAUAUUUUGCUAUUUCGAUUUGUAUUUGACGAACUUUGCAUGCGGGUGGUUUUUUCAAAUGUGUUCUUUCUAAUAUUCAGUUUAUUUUCUACAAUAUAUUUUUAUAUUUUCGACGUUAGGUAUAUCAAAAUUAGGAGAAAUGCCAGACGAAACAUUUUAAACGAUAUUUAAAGGGGCCUUUAAAAUGGACGACGAUGGAAUGAAUUUUUGGUCGGACGUCAUCGGUAGUUGUUCCGGUUUUGGACUUUUGACUCGGCAGUAGCGCUGUCCGGUUACACGAGACGUAGUGAAGUUUAAUAAGAACCGACGGUGGAAGUUUAGAGAGUUUCGUGGUCAAGAUUCAUCAUGUCGUCAUCGUACCGCAGUCAAAGUGAAUCGGGCCGAAGAAAAUACUAAUUUUCUGACAAUGCGAUGGCGCCCAUUCCGAGAGCGCGGUUAUUCAAUGUUAAUAAUUUAUUAGCGUGUCGAGAUGCGAUAGAAACUGAAUCAAAUAAACAUCAUAUUAUCAUUACUUGUUCUCUAGUCGAUGGCGAUACAACUCGACAGUGAAUGUUAAUUUAUUAUACUCGUUUGCCCAAAUUUCGCUUAAGUUUUCGAUGUUGUAUUUCAUUAUUAUUAUUAUUAUUAUUAUUAUUGAACCCUCUCCUUCAACCACACAAUAAUUAUGAUAAAGAACAAAUAAUUUAUCGAAUUCUAUACGUACACUAGCUAUAUCAAUAUUUUUGGAAUAAAUAUAGCAAACGAAUUUAAAAGUUCCGAAAACAUGAAAAGAGAUCAUAAGAAAAAUUAUACAAUAAUAUGAACAUGUUUACAAAUAUAUAAAAGAACGUAAGGAAAAUUUAAAAUAUGGACAAGUUGCAUACACAAAAAAAAAUAAUUAUUAAAAACAAAAACCUCAUAAUAAAACAAAUACAAUAUAUUCCCAGCUUCACUCAAGUCUAAAACGUUUUCAUUUGCAAAUAUACGUCUUUGAAAUAAUGAUAAGAUGGAUUGCAUAAUACUUUUUGGCGGUCUUUCUUUAAGAUUUUUUUUUUUGGUACUUAUCUAUGGGAAAUAUUUGAGUUCUUAAGUGUCCACGUAUGAAGUGGAGAUAAAUGGUUUGAGUUAUACACAGAAAUUUUGAUUAUUCGCUGGUAAAUAUAUUAUAGUUACUUAUUUGUGAAAAUAAGAAGUCCAAUAAAUAAUUAUAAUAAACAAUUUUUAAUUUAGGUUUUUGAAGAUAACCAUUGUUACAAAUUUAUAGUAAUUUUAUUAACGAGUUUUCCAAUUUUUUUUUUUUUUUGGAUAUCUCCACUAAUAAGCUCGUUGUAUAUUUAAAACAAUAAAAACAAUUUAAAACUUUCUAAUAAUAAAAUAAAGAAAAACGAAAAUAUACGAACAAAGACGAAUUUUUAGACUUUUAUGUUGGUGACAAAAAGAUUUUUUUUAAAUGACAAUAAAUAAUAAUAAACUAGACUUUUUUUCAAUAGUAUUAACCAGGUACCCAGGCUAAUUGAUGAUUAUUAGAGCGUGAGAAUCGAUUUAUUUUACGAUUAAUUAAAAACGAUUAAUAAUCUCAGGUGAUAGUGAAAUGAAAAUAGCGGUUUUAAUCCAUAAGUUAGUGCAUGAUCUUGUACGGGAGCUAUAACCAUAAUAUGAACGCUCAAACUGGAUCCUGCUCUUAUUUAUGAUUAAACAAUGCUGAAAUCUUAAGCCGAUAAUGCAUAAUCACGAUUUUGUUAAUGAUCUUUUGCUGGAUCCUAACCAAAUCUUGCACAAUCCAAAGCUGAUUCAACACUGUCUUGCACAGAAGCGGGUGCAUGGAACCACCGUCGUCCACCGUUUUAUCGACAAAUAUUUUUCCCCGACCUCCUCUUUUCAAAAUAUUUUUUUUCAAUAUUUGUUAUAUGCACGGAUCCUGAGCUAUACCAAUUACAUGGUCGUCCGACCACGACCAUGCACCAAAUAUAACCGACCACUUUUAAUAUAUUCAUUUCAAGACUCGUCGCAACUUCGGGAGACAUCGGACACUCCCGCCACAUAGAUAAAAUAUUACACAUAUUUGUUACCAUACACAAUGUAUUUUUUUUUUCACCAGCACCGCUAUGAUAAAAUAUCACACGAUUAAACUUACCUCUCGCACACACACACACACACACACACACACAUAAAUCACAGAAUCCUGAAUUUAUAUACAGAGUACGGGAAAUCUACUAAUUACAUCACCUUUACCACCCAGCUAAUCACCAAUGUCACCAUCACCCUUUCAAUUGUUCGAAAAUUAUUCAACGAUGUCUUCAAAUUAUUUACCACACGUACAAGAAAAGAAAGAGUACGAUGUAUGCGGAAUGAACGGACCACAAUAUAUCAAAUCGACAGCGUCACCGUCGGACGAAGAAGAUUCGGCAGUUUCAGAAAUGGGGUGGGGUUUAAAACGGAAUUUUUUUUCAUAAUUAUUGUAUUUUAUUUUUUUUUUCUGCUCGAUAACCGUUAUAAUAUUUGUAUUUUCGCAAAAUAUGUUAUAUAUACUUUAAAUAUCAUGUGUUUAAAAUUUGUUCAAUUUGUCGCUGAAUCUACCUACACACACACACAUCAUUGAUAACGAUAAUUUCCAUACACCCAUAUCACCAACCAGUGCAUUUUAAAUGCAAAUAAUUUAAUAUACAUGGGUAUCGAUAACAAUAGUUUAUAUCACCGUUUUUAAUACUACUUACCGAUACAUCGUACGAUACAUUAGUAACAUAUUGUUAGAGUACCUAUAUAUGUAUAACAAAAUAUUAUCUAUACAUCAAAAUAUCAUGUUAUAUCGGUCGUCAAUGACUCAACUAAAAAAUUUUUACAAUCGUAUACCUAUACGAAAUAUAAUAACAGCAUUCGUACGAGUCCGAACACAUGUGGAUACAAAUGUCGAUCACGAUCCAUAUCUUUCACCAGAACGUAAAUUCGUGAAUAUAGGCAUCGACCCGAUAGACAUGCUCGCCAUCAAAGUACAAAUAAUAACUCCGUCGAAGUACGUAAUAUAACGUCAGAUAUUCUUACACGUAUAUUUUCACUCAUGGACAAAAUCCUGUCAAUCAUACUCGACACACCGAAAUACAAGUCACACGUAUUUCUAGAAACCCCAAUAUUCAAGUUAUCACGUUGUGUGUACAAAAAGAAAAAUCUUCAAGAUGAAAAAUUCGUAGCGAGCAUGUCAAAACAAGAUGCAAAUUAUGUCACUCAAAUCAAAAUGUUUGCAGCUACUCAAUUAGCAGAGUCCUGGAUUAAUAAGCAAAGCACGGGUAAUCUACUAAUUACAUCACCUCUACCACUCAGUUAGUCAGUUUGGAAAUUAUAAAUAAAAAAUAUGAAAGUCCGGUAGUGAUUCCAUACAAAGCGGAACUGGCAGACAUUAAAUUGGACAAUUUUACAUAAAUGAUAUUUAAAGUAUAUAUAAAAUAUUUUGCGAAAAUACAAAUAUUAUAACGGUUAUCGAGCAGAAAAAAAUAAAAUACAAUAAAUAUGAAAACAAUUUCCGUUUUAAACCCCACCCCAUUUUCCCCGAAUCUUCUUCGUCCGACGAUGACGACAGCGAUUUGAUAUAUUGUGGUCCGUUCAUUCCGCAUACAUCGUACUCUUUCUUUUCUUUUAGGUGUGGUAAAUAUUUGGAAGACAUCGUUUAAUAAUUUUCUAACGGUUGAGUGGGUAGUAGUGACAUUGGUGAAUAGCUGGGUUGAGGUGAUGUAAUUAGUACCUGUGCUUUGUAUAUAAAUCCAGGAUUUUGUGAUUUAUGUGUGUGUGCGCUUGCGUGUGAGUGUGUGUGUGUUUGUGUGUAUGCGAGAGGUAAGCUUAGUCGUGUGAUAUUUUAUCAUAGCGGUGCUAGUGGAAAAAAAAAAUAUAUUGUGUAUGGUAACAAAUAUGUGUAAUAUGUUAUCGAUGUGGCGGGAGUGUCCGAUGUCUCCCGAAAUUGCGACGAGUCUUGAAAUGAAUAUAUUAAAAGUGGUCGUUUAUAUUUGUGCAUGGUCGUGGUCGGACGACCAUGUAAUAGGUAUAGCUCAGGAUCCGUGCAUAUAGCAAAUAUUAAAAAAAAAUAUAUAUUUUUUGAAAAGAGAAGGUCGGGGAAAAAUAUUUGUCGAUGAAACGGUGGACGACGGUGGUUCCAUGUAUCCGUUUCUGUGCAAGACAGUGUUGAAUCAGCUUUGGAUUGUGCAAGAUUUGAUUAGGAUCCAGCAAAAGAUCAUUUUCACAAACUAAUGGAUUAGAACCGCACUUUUCAUUCCACUAUCAUCUAAGAUCUUCGAUCGUAAAAUAACUCGAUUCUCACGCUCUAAUAAUCAUCAAUUAGCCUGUAUACCUGAUCAAUACUAUCGAAAAAAAGUCUAGUUUAUUAUUUUGCAUUGUCAUUUAAAAAAAAUAUUUUUGUGUUCCAAAAUAUCGUUCCAUCGCGUGAAACUUAAUAUUUUUAAUUUCGGUGGUAUAUUAUAGCAAUGAUUAAAUAUUUUUGUUUGCCGUAUUAUUGCUCGUAUUCAUAUGAUAUUAUUAUUAAAUCGUUCUCGAGAGUCUUUGUCACAGGGAAAACGGCUCCGUCAUUCAUAGUUUUCAUUUAAUUUGAUCUUUCUUUUUAAUAAUAUAUUAUACUUAGAUUUAAACUUAUACAUAGUGAUUAUUAUCAUGAUUAUUAGUCGCUGUAGGGUAGAUUGUUUAUCAUCGUUGUCGCUAUUCUCGUUCGCUCUAUUACUUCAAAGCCGAAUAUAAUUUUAAUAAGAAAGUUAACAUUAUACCACAUGAACCAUCCGCCCACGUGUACGAUAUAUAUAUAUAUAUUAUUAUACACUGCAAACAAAUAAACUGUGUACGUAAUUGCGCGCACAUGCUGCUAAAAACAACUACAGAGUGAUACAUUAUCGCGAAUCAGAGAUUUUCUAUAUAAUAAAUUUCCGUUUUUAUUUUUUUUUUUCUCAAUCAUUAUACGAAAUUACGAUAUCAUUAAGGCCCUAUUUCAACCAUACAUUUGAUUUAUACCCAUCUCCCAUUUGACGAGAAAACUUGAGAAAAUCGAAAAAUGACCCCGUCAAAGUACCUCACCGGUCGGAAUUUUUUCUAGAAAAAUUACUAUCAUUAUAAAUUGGAACGAAAUCGCUAAUACAAAAGUUGUUCACAGAAAAAAUAAGGCCGUAAUAUAUUUAAACUAGUAAUUACAUUUCUUACAUUUUCCCGUUUUUCCAACGUUUUUCUUUGGUUUUUCGCAUUUGAUGAGAAAACUAAAAAAUGGCCUUCCUAAGGUACUUCCUUACGUCGAUAAGCUUCUUCGCUCCAUUCAGAAUCUAAAAUUUACCUCCGUCUAUUUAAUCGCAUAUUAGAACGACGAAAGGACGAGACUUUAAUGUGCAUUUUUUUUUUUCGGAAGCUUGAAACGCGCACAAACAUCGAUUUUAAUAAUACUUGCAUCUUUUCAUCCUCCAACGCCCCCGUCCACCGAUGACGAUAAUCAUUGGCAUCAAUCAUUCCGAAAAGAAAUACGUCCCCGUUUUUAUUCUGUAUACUUAUCUAUACAUAUAUAUAGAUAUAAAUGUGUUAUGUUUGUAUAUAUCUGCGUUUCGUCGAGAAACGAUUGUACGUCGCGUAUAUAAUCGUUUGCAUUUCAGUUAAUUUGUAACGUGUUUAAAAUCUUAACUCCGCUCGCGCUGACAGACGCACGGACAUUUGUCAUCUAGCGUUAGUGCGCAGUAUCGCGGCAGUGGCCGAUGUCGACGCUGCAUAUAACAGUAUCCCGAACGCCAAAAUUUCUCGACAGGUUGAAUCGUGUCGGACGAUUAGCCCCCUCUCCCCCCGCGGAGACGUUGAAAAAUGAGACUGGAAACCCCCGUCAUUAUAUAUAUAUAAAAUGAUUUCGGUAUAUUUCUUUAGGAAGGUGCUAAAUAGUGUUUCUCCGUGAACAUAGUUUUAUAAUUUCAUUAGUCCACCGUGCGAUUUUACAUUAUGUGCUGGUUUAACCUUAACUGUAAACAAAAAAAAAACGGAAUUCAAAGUCAAUUACGCAUGUUUUAAUUUAACGACAAUUAUUAUUUACAAUUUCAAUUGUCCAAUAAAUUUAACUAACAUAACGUUAAUAUUUGAAUCUAACAGAAAGCAACGUUAACCUAACCUCACUUUUCUUAUCAUACACCUAAGCGUGUGUGACUUAUAAUAGAGUUCGUAUCUUAAAUUAUACUUUAAAGAAAUAAUAAUUUUCUUUACAUAUCCCUCCCCCGCGAGAGAAGACUCGCAGUAUUUUCCGAAAAUCGCGAAAAAUCUUAGCUGGCACAAUUUUUGCGAAGUGGUAAAUAAUUGACUAUAAUCCUAAUUGACACUUAUCUAUUUUGUUAAUUGAUUGUGCUACUUCUCCAAAACUGUAUACGAUUCAAUUUGUACAUGUAUUCAAUACAUCCAAAAUUAUACUGUUUAACCGAUUCCCAUUUUCUACGUACACGAGGUUGCCUGUGUUGAAUUCAUAAUUUCUUCUCUAUUUAUCAGAUUGUUCUUUACUAUUAUUUUGUGAUCUUAUACCAAUUUAUAAUAUAAGCUUUCUAUCCUGUAAUAGAUCACUGUGCGCCUUUUUUUGUUUCAUUUCACUUGGUAAAAUUAUAAUGACUCAGCUCCCUAAUAAAUUUAUAUGAUAUCUAAUUUUGUUUACCAAUAUCUGAUUUAGUCUCUCAUUCAGAUCAUUUAGGAACGGUGCGUUCACCUGUGUAAAAUGCAUCGGUAAAUGCCUUUUUUUUAUUAACUGUUUUAAGUGCUUUUUUGACGAUUUUAAGUUCAGAUAAAUCUAUUAUAGCCUUAUACUUAUAAUGUUGUAAUAACGUUUACGGGCACUGCAGUGAAUAGAUCAUAUUCUAAUAUAUUUUGUCACUCACAGAAAACCGAGUGUUAAAUUAUAUACGGGGUAUAAUAAGAAGAUCCGACACCUGAAAUAAGUUUUUAGAGGUGAGUCGAUACAUAAACUAAUACACGAUUUCGGGAAUAUCGGUUUUCUUUUCUAAACCGAUAUUUGACCUGAUAUUUUCGGAGAAAAAUAUCUAUAUUAUGUUUAGAAUAUGCAAAUAAUUUUAAAAUAUCGGGUUUUCAACCAAUAUGUCUGUCAAUUUCAAUAUUAAGAGAAGUGUUCUAUUUAAACGUGCCAAUUGAUCUAGUAAAGUGAUAGGAAUUAUGAAAGUAGAUUUGAAUUCUUUGUUAAGACUACUUGAUAUCAACUAGUCUAAUUUUUAUUUUAAAUUUUGAGUGGAGUGAGAAAUGUAUUGGUUUUACAAUGAUGUUUAUUUUUUUUAGAUUCUGAGUUCGGAGAAGAAUGUAUUGGUUUUAUAAAUAUGUUUAUUUUUUUUAGAUUCUGAGUUCGGAGAAGAAUGUAUUGGUUUUAUAAAUAUGUUAAUUUUUAUACUAUUUUUAUUUUUGUGAACAUUAUUUUUUACCAAAAAGCUUACUUCGAUUAUCAAGUAUAGCACUUUUUGUGAAAGUAAAAUUUCUCUGAGUAGUAAUUUAAAGAGGUCAUUUUUUUAAAGUCUCAUUAGUAUAAACCUGGUUCUUUAAGAUGAAAAAGAUUAAAAGAUUAAAAAUAAGGUUGUCAUUGGUAACCGUUUUUAUAUAUUUUUUGUUAUUAUUAAGUUUUAAUUAUUUUAAUCUUGUUAAAUAAACAUUGUUGUCAUGAAAAUGUACAUUGUUGUAAUCAUUUUACCAUAAUAUGGCAUAUAUAUAUUGUUAACAAAGUAACACUAUCAACUGAACUCCGCUCAGAAUCGUAUUUUCGUUAGCAAUGGUUUAUCGUUGAUUACAAAUAUACAUUGAAUUACCAUAUAUACCCUAUCUUUCCAAAUUCUCAUCUGCAACAGUAGCUGCACCCAUGUAAGAAGUAUGUCUAUCUUUUUUAAUUUAAAUUUCGCCUAUAAUUAAAAAUAUUUCAUUUUUUAAUUACUUCUUUUUAUUGUUUUUUUUUUAGCGGGGGGGUAUACAAGGAAUUAAAAAAUAUACAAAAAAUGUAUUUUAUUUUUUAAAUCUUUUAAAAUAACUGAAAACGUGAUUACAAUAAUAUAGUAAUAUUGAAUCAGUUAUCAGAGAACACUAAAUGAAAGGGACAAAACAUUUUUUACAUAGGUUAUUGAGUACGUAAAAAUGUAAUCUAGCGGAGUUAUAAACUCAUUUACGGUUCAAGAAUUUUUUAAUUAAAAAUUACUGAAUUCGAUUUUUUUCUUUUGAAUCCAAGCAUAGUAAAUUGUGUUUAUUAGAUUUACUAAAAUGUGUUUUUUCUCUCUGAAAACACUUUCUCAGUUAAUUAAUAAAAAAUGUCGAACUUUUUUACGUUAUACCUUAAAAGAAAUUUUGACUAUAUUGCAUACGACAGAAAAAGUUUAUGAGUGUCUGAAUUGUAUGUUGACAACGUUAAAUUCACAAUCAACUAUCGGAUUAUUUGCUCACAUUUAAAGCAACGAAUUAUGUUUAAAUUUCAUAGAUCUGAUAAAAUCCGAUAGCCUGGAUAUAUCAUAGAAUUACUCCUAAGUAUAUAAUGUGGAUUUUACCCACUCAGUACACAGUACCAUAGUUCACUGUUCAUGACUAAUAAAAAAACUAUAUCGAAAAAUGAAUUUAAAAAACAAAUCUAAAAUCCUGAUUUAGAAUUUGAUCGCACCGUAGCGGUUAAUUUCUCGCGUUGUUUGUCAAAUAUCCGUAGCUGCGAUAAUCAAACCGAGUUUAAUUUGGAGUAAUCAUUUUUCGACCCGUCUAACUCGAUUUAUCACCGCCAACGCUCAUAAAUUGUUUAGAAAACAAAUUAUUUUGAUCGAAAUCGCCUGUGCGUAUAUAUAUGUACGGCGUUCGCACAAUGAUUGUGGACUCGGAAUCGAAUUUUUGGUAGGCACCUACCUUGAAUGCACGCGGUCUUUUUGUUGCCAAGAUAAAAAAAAAAACACUAUCACUCAAGACGAAUAUUCUCGGGGGGAAUGCGUAAAAUAACUUUAAAUCAAAUGGACACAAUUCAUUUUAUUGUGCCAUAGCCCCGUGGUUCCGUCACGCGUUACCGCUAGGUCAGGUUUUACCGGGUUUCUUUUUUUCUUUUAAUUUUUCACCGGAGCGAAAAUUAAGCUAUUUGGUUUUAUUACAACGAUGGUGAUGUAAUUGUUUUUAUUAUUAUUAUCCAUCACAUGCACAAUGACUAGAUAUUUUGUUCAAAGUUUAUCGAUUCGAACACUUAAUUCUAUCAUUUUUGUAGUUAAGCUUUUUACGGUAAUACCAAUAAUUAUUAUAACAUGUUAAAUUUUUAAAUUUUCAAUGAUGUGCAAGAACGUAACUCUCAAUUGGAAUUUAAUUAUAUUAGAAAAAAAAAUAAGAAUCCCAAUUAUAUAUUUCAGUCUUACUUAUUAUAACUUUAGUUUUUAUUUGGUGUUAUGUAAAUAAAUGUAUUUAAAUUCUCUAAAUGGCUAGCAACAUUUAUUCCAAAUUCGUUUUAUAAGUUGUUAUUAAAAAUAAGACUUUUUAAGUGCAAUUAGUCGGACUACAAAUUUAUCGAAAAUCUAUAACUAUAGUGAUAAUUUGUUUUUGUUGAGGUUUAAAAAAAACAUUUUUUGACACUGACAAAAUUAUGAUUUAUUUUGUAGCCUGUUGUUAUAUAUGAAUGAAAUGCUCAAUUAAAGUUUAUUUUAUCGAGAACGAAUUUCGCUCAGAAUUAUUAUUCGUUUGAAUGAUUUAUCGUCGUAUAUAAAGAUAUAAACCAAAUGAUCCUAUGUUAUCUAUAGAUGCCUAUAUUUUAUCUUCUUAACUUCUCACCUGCAAUAGUGGCAUACUCAUAAUACGAAAUAUGAUGGGUUUUUUUUUUCAGAUAAUCAGAUAAUUAAUUUGUACAAUCGUUAUAAAUAAUAAUUUAUCGGUGAUUUUUUUUUUUUUUUUUUUUAAACCAGCCGUGAACCCAUGACCUACUUCACGGGCAAACUAUACAAAAAUAUAUAUAUAAAAAAAUAAACAUCCGCAAAAACAAUAGCCGGUUGUCCCACGCAAACUAUAUAGAUUUGUUUCAAAGUUUCCUAUAUAAUAUUAUAUACGUAUAAUAUAACCUCUCGUCUUAACCCUAACGGGUUUUUGCUCGGAACUUCCAUCAGUCACCGCCGUUACACCGCUGUAAGGCCACGGCACUUCAAUAUUAUAGUAAGUAAUCAGAUAUUAUGGCUUUUGUAACUUUACCGCCAUAGCAAACGGCACACGAUGUCAUUGUCUUGAUUGUUUCUCGCGCGCAUAUAACUUUAAUCCACACGCACUAACUCCAAACCAUGCAUACAGAUUGCCAUUUCCAAAACAGUACCUUGUGACUCAAAAAAAAAAAAAAUGCCAAAAAAUUAAUAAUUAUAAUAUACACAUCAAAUAUUAUAGAAAAUAUUUAGUGUAAAGACCACGGAAAAUACACGAAAUCCAAAGACAAUAUAAACGAUGAAACAUUGUACUACAUAAACAUCGGAUAUUACGUGUAUCCGAUAUUGCAAUAAAUUGCAAUAAUUGCAGUCAAAAUAGCUAUAUUGUUUACCAGUAUUAUCAUUUUGUAUAUUAACUGAUAAUCUUAUGAAAAAUUGUUUUUGGACCAUAGAUAAAUAUUUGAUUAAAUUAUUAUCAAAAUUUAGUUUUAUAGAUCCCGUCGACCACAGCAUCCUUAUAGAUGUUUUAUAUAAGUCCUGCUUUGAUGAUCUAUUGUUAUCCUGGAUAAGAUCCUAACUGUCGGGUAGAGUUCAAUGAGUUAAGGUAUUUGGGCAAUAGCCAGCUGUCACCAAUCUGGUAUCCCUCAAGAGGGCCACUUGUCUCCUUUACUGUUUACGGUUUUCAUUAAUGGUGCUUAAGGAAGUUUUACCCAACUUCUUUCUUAUUUUUGCCGACGAUCUGAAAUUGUUAAGUAAAAUAUUCUCAAUCAGUGAUUGCACUCUUCAAAACGAUUUAAAUAACUUUUUUUGUUGUUGCCUGAUAUUGAAUAUUGACAAAUACAAAUCUAUAUAAUUUAGUAGAAGACUGUUUAAAAAUGAGUAUUAGUAUUGAAUUACCGGAUCUUCCUUAUUAUCGGUUUUUUCUAUUAAGAUUUAGGUAUUAUCCUGACGCCUAUCCUGAACUUUUCCUCAUACAUUGAGUCCACGUGCUCUAAGAGUUACAAAGUUUUAGGCAACAGAAAACGUAUUUAGAGUGAGUUUAAACUUGUCACUUCUAUAAAAACUAUUAACUGCUUCCUUGUUCGCUCUAUUUAGAGUUCUCUUCAGUGCUUCUGGAUCCGUACACUGCUUCUGAGUCUUGUGACAUUGAUAGAGUGCAGCGUCGUUUUCUUGCCUCUGUGACUUAUGUUUUUAAAAUCAAGCAUCCCCAACAUAAUUAGACUAGCGUUCUUAGCUAACUUUCCUUUGAUUCACUAGCGGAUUGAAAAGUGUUUUCGAAUAUUCUAUUCUUGAGCAAGUUACUUGAUGACUCCAUUCACUUCUCUUCUCUCCUUUCUCGGGUAGAUUUCACAGUUAAUCCUCUUUUCUUGCGUUUUUAUGCUUUGCCUUUUUUGUCCUUACUUAUUCUACGAACUUUGUUCAUAACCAUCACUUACAUCAUAUGAUGCGGUUGGAUAUUGAAAACCUCUCCUUUUCAAAUGUAUAAAUCUGUGCUCCUAGUAUUAUGAUUAGUGAUAGAGUAUCCAAUCUAACGUUUAAGCUAUUUUCUGAGUACAGUUAUACAUAUUUCUUUUUAAAAUGACCCAUUGAAGCGUAAAUAAGUAAAUAUAAAUAAAUAUAAUCGUUUUUGCAUUCCAGAAAAAAAAAACAUUUUUUAUAGAUAUGUCGAUUUACAUUGAACACAUUUUCUGCAAUUAAUGCUGCGGGAAAUUCAAUGGAUUUUUUCAUUGUUUUUUUUUUUUUCGUUCGAGUUUAUAAAGACGUCUUUGAAGGAGAACAAUAAAUAAAUUUCACGUCGUCAAAAUUAUACAAAUAGAGACGUGCGAUCAUGCGAAAAACCGCAGAGUCCGCAUACAUUUUCAUUAAUACAUAAUAAUAAUAUAAUUAUAAUCAAAUUAAUAUUAAAACAUUAAAAAUUUAAAAUACAAUUAUAUUAUCUGUAUACAAAUUUUCCUCUUUCGUAAUUAUACUAAUCGAAUACAAUGAUAUCCGUGUACAUUUUUAUAUAUUAUAAAUUAUCAACUAUCGACGUAAAUAAUAUUCGUUAAAAUGAAUAAAUAAGCCAGCAAAUGUCUGCCCGUUGCGUUUCUCAAUAUACAAAAAACCUUGUCCUCGCCAGUAACAAAUUGUUGUGUAACCGCCCAAAAAUAAUUCACAAACAACGAAUUUCACCCCAUCUAUCACUUCUUUAAACGUCCUCUGUGUUAGUGGUUCUCGACUGAUGUGUCACGUAUUUCCGUGAUUUAUAUUGGCAAAAAAUUAUUUUUGAAACUUGAUUUGAAUUUUUGUAUUAUUUAUAUAUAAAUUGCAUAUUAUUAGUAAACAUAUAUUCUAUGUAUGACAUUGAUAUGUGACAUUACUAUUUAGCGUUAUGCCGUUGUUAUUAGCGUUAAAUAAGAAUACAAAUAUCAUCAGAAAAUUGAAUAAUUAUAAAAAAAAAAAUUUAAAAAAACCGACAUACAUUCCACAAUGGGUGAGCCGCUGUUGUAGGUAAGCAGUUGGAAGAAAGAGGGGGAAUUUAAUAGGUAUCUGUAGGUACCUAAAGAUUAAUAAUAGCUAACGGAAAAUGAUUUUGUGCGGAGAUUGACUAUUAUGUAUGUAUGGGAAUAUUUACAAUUUUAAAAUAAUACGUUUCGUAAAUUUGUCUGUCUUCCCUUACGUUUUUUCCCGGGUUUUCGCAUUUAUUAUAAAAAAAAAAACCCGGUAAAAUCAAACACAUCGCAACUUUUGAAAAACUUGGCCAUGGAAACGAUGUUAUUUAUUGUUGAUAUUUUUGCAGUUUUACAUCUACGCAGCCAAAUAGUAUUGAUAAAUGAUUUUUUUUUUCACAUAUAAAUAUUAAAAUCUAUUAUUAUAACUAUUCGAAAUAUUCAAAUAUCCGCUGACCCAUUAUUAAUCGAAGUAUUUAAACGUUUUCCAUCAUCAUUGCGUGGACUGCAAAACGGACAUUCCUGUGAUGCUAUUUCUAGAAAACGUUUAUCCAUACAAUAAUUUUGGGAUUAUUUCUCUACAUUUCUGGCGCCUAAACUCACUAUUAUAAUAAUUCUAUUAAAAUUAAAAAUGUAAAAUUGUUUUGUGUUUUACUGGAAUUUAUAAUACUAAACUCGCUGCCCUAUUUCAUUGUAUGAAUUUGUUACAUUGGCCGAAUAAAAUAUCAUCAAUGGAUUUCUUUAACAAUGUGUUUCAAAAUAAACGUUGAAUUUCGUCGUAAAAAUUGCAUAAUACUCGUAACUCAUUGUCAAACAAUAUUUGUAUUAUUACAUCAGUUGCUCGGCGUGUUUUGUAUUUGUUAUGAACCACGCGUGGCUUUUGACUGUUUUGACCAACAAUUUUCAUUCUCAAAUUGAAAAAAAAAAAAUAAUAAUAAAUAGGUACCUACCGUAAUAAAUUAUAGCAGUAUAUAUAUAUACGUGAAAAUAAAAUAAAAACAAAGCCGGUGACAAAUUACUUUUUGUAACACGUGGCGUUAUAGCGCGCUUACGUAUAGUUUUAAAACGUGAAAUAAUAAUAUGUAAUAAAUUAUACGGAACUAUAUCCUGAUACAAUUCUAUAAUCAAACGGUGGUGGUCCGUUGUUCAUACUGUUGGUCGACAAAACGUAUGCGUUUAAAAUGAAAAUAAUAUGUAUGUACCUACUAUACUCAGAAAUGAGCAAGUUCAAAGUUGCAAAACUAAGGGUUUUAAAUUUUAGGUUAAAACAAGUCACUUUGUUUGAAACGUCAACAAUUAAAUUAAAAUAGCUAAUAUUUUCUAAAGAUUAAAGUAUGUGUAGUCCCUAAUCAUUUUGAAAAUAUAAAUUAAAAUAAACAAUCCCUAUAACAUUUGGAUAAAGAAAUAUUUUUCAUUGGUCACUUUAUUCGUAAAUAAUGAUGAUAAAAUUAUAUUUAUAAUUAUUAAUUAGUAUCCGUUAUAAUACAGUAUUUACAAAGAUAAUAUUUAAAAUAAAAAAUAAAACAUUUUGUUUUUCGUUGAUUAACGUUUUCGUGAUCCUGGGUAAAACAGUUCAAAAUGAGUAUCUGAGAAUUGAGAUACUUAUUGGAUUAUACAAGAUUAUACUUAUUAGGAUACGUUGAUUUUCAAUUUAUCUAUGCAUUAUAAUUCGCACCAUGAAUAAGCUAUUUUUAUAUAGGUGAAAAUAAAUAAAGAAAUAUAAGGAAAAUUGAGUUAUAAUUUAAUUUGUUUACUGAAAGAAACGAUGAAUAUAAAUCAUUAUGAUAAAAAAAGCGAUUCUGAGUGGAGAUCGAUAAUAACUGGUAUGGCCUUUAUUUAUUAUUCAUGUAUUUUCUAUAAUUGUAACUUAAUGAAAGAAACUCGAAACUUAAUUUUUUUCUUCAGAAAAACUAUUGAGACUCAAUACAAAAAAAAAAAAAAAAAAAAAAAAUCCACUUAUAAAUUAUGAUGUAAACUAAGCGGAGCAUUUUUAGGAUUCGAAAUUAGAGAUUUCCGUGGAAAAACACAUCAUAGAAACACGAUAAUAUUAUAUUCUUUGUUAUAAGAACCGAAUCUAAAAUAUGCUUUCAAUACCCGCGUAUUCCUAAAUCAUUUCCUAAUUAUAAUUAAUAUAUCGUUAAUUAAAAUUAUAAUAACAAUGCCAAUACGGAUAUUCAAAUUUAAAACUGAAAUAUUAUCAAUCUGCCCAUCCCCUUUUUUCCUCCAAAACAAAUCUUAUCAACCGAUCACAACGAUCUUGAGAACGAAUUAAUUUUCAUUUCAGAACGUUUUUUUUUUUUUUAUCUUGAACGAAACAAUAAUAAUAUUAUUUAUGUAUAAUAAUUAAAAAUAAUAUUUAAUUUAGUCUGAACGGACGGUGCAAUGCAAAUUUUUUGCAAUUGAUUAUAAUAUUAUAUCUGUAUAUAUAAAUUAACGUCUAUCUGACUGUAAGUCCUUUAUAGACUCAAAAACUACUGGAUCGAUUUUAACGGGGGUUUUUGCAAAAUGCUCCGCGUGGUCUGGAUAAGGUUUAUAUAGCUAUUGAAAUUUCUAGAACUCAACUCCUAAAGGAUAGUUGACACAGAGAUUAUGGUAUUUUGUGGUAUAAUUUUCUGUUGAUUGGGUUACCUUGAUAACAAAGUAAAUAUCAUUAUUAUUUCUGUGGUAUUUAUUUUAUCUACUGAAUAUUGUUUGUUAAUUUCAUUGUAAUUUUAAUUGUUGAUCAACGCUCAAUAAAUUUAAAUAAAUUUAAUAGAUUUUGAAAUCUAAUUUCAACGCCAUUUCUGUAUACUUAUGCAUCCCAAUCAAUCGAUCGUUCUAUGUGACAAUAAAAUGAGUGCACCACCAAAGAAUGAGAGGGAUAUGGAUUAUUUAAUAUUCACCUAUCACAUACAUUACAAAAUAUUAAAAAAUGUCGCGUAAUUCGACAGCUAGUAUCAAAUAAUAAUAUACAUUGUAAUAUAUAUAUUAUACGAGGUGUCCUAUAGUUUUAUAUAAACGUUACAUUACUCUUAUAUUAUAUUUUUUUCCAUUCGGGUUUUGGGUCAGUGGGACACAUAUAUUGAGAAAAACAUUUUUUUUUUUUUCAUCCCUUAAUCACUGAAAAAAUAUUAUUUUUAAUGUUUUCAAUUUUAAAAAUGUUCAAAAACGCAAUUUUAUAAACAUUUUAAUGUAUCACAGAAUAAUAUCCGAUCAAUAGUUUCUGAUUAAUAGCCAUUUUAAUUUCUAGACAAAAUUUUUUUUUUUCACGCCAAUUUUAUUUUCUGAAAAUUCUGCCGAUGAGUGUGUUACUAUUUUCUGAGGGAAGUCGCAACCAAAGCUAUAUAGAUUAAUAUUUAAUUUAUGACUGUAUACUACAAUGAAACAUUGCUAACGAAAAAUGAUUAUAAGCAAAGUAUUAUUUAUUACAGUGUUUAGAGUACAAUUGUUGAUUGGAGCAAACAUUUUGAUAGAAAAUGUAUUUAAAAAAACUACAUUUAUAAAGUUAAAAAUUGCAAGAUUAUAAUCAUGAUCAAUAUAAUAAACAUGUUUGGGUUCGGGAAUUUUUUUCGUUUUCAUACACGUCGGCAACUACUAGUUUAAAGAUUAAAAAAAAAAAAAAAUUAACGAAAACGAAAACUCGUCGAAAAGAAUAAUAUCUCCACAACAACCGGCACGGAGGAUUGAUCGAGAUAAAUAAUUCUGGGGGGCUGUGUAUAGUGGGACCUAUAUAUAUAUAUAUUAUACCUAAUAUGAUAUUAUUUCUUUAUCUGUUCGCGUCUCUUUUGGCGUAUUAUCGUAGCCCACGGGCGGUAAGUAUUGUUUUACAUCGUUCUCAAAAACCGGGAAAAAUAUAAUUUACCGGAAUUUAAUCAUUCUCCCGCAGAAUCGGUCUCCCGAGGCUAUUUAAACUCUCUAUCUCUCUAUCUUUCGCCGUCUUUCACUAUGUGUGUAUGUGAUCGGAAACCGUUAUAUGCUUUCCUAUUACUUUUUUUCCCCCAUUCUUUCGUACUUGUUCUUAUUAUAUUUCUUUUGCCAACUGGCCCGGGCCGUAUAUAUAUAAUACAUAUACCGCCCUAAAAAUGAAAUACGUAUAUAACUUUACCUCUACUCGUCAUAGAGUAUAGUCGGUCACCUAUUCUAUUAUUUUAUACUUUGAACCGUCGCGGUUAAAAUGUUAUUAUAUUAUAUAUAUAUAUCGAUACCGAGGUAGUUUUUGAAAGUAAAUCCGGUUAAGCCCCCAGGCUGAGCCGAUACACGCGAUUAUGCGAUAUACCUAAGAUGAUAACCUUGGGUUUUUUUUAUAUCCCGUCACGUCGUCGUCGAAUUCUUAUUGUUUCGGUAUACGAGAUACAUAUAAGUAAAGAAUACGAUACACGGAAUAUAUUAUUAUACGAGUAAAAAAAAAAAAAAAAAUAAUAAUAACAAUAAAAAGGAUAUAUACGACAAAUCGAAAAACGUUUUCAUAUUAUUCAACAGUAACAAUAUCCUUAAUUCGUCCUAUCGUGGAACUUUUAACCAAUUUUUAAGGUUCAGAGCGAGCGCAGCGAGUCAUCUAUUUUGGUUUUAUUAUGAUGUGGGUUUGUUUUUUUUUUUCUGUCUGUGAACAACUUUUGUACCAUAUUUGCUUGCUUCGAUAUAUCAAAUAUGAAGAUUUUGGCUAUUUAGUGCAUUAGAGAGAUCAUUUUUUUUAAUUUUCAAAGGGGUUUUCGCAAUAAUAAGGAAAAAUCGGCAAAAAUAUUAUUGGAAAAACCAUAAAUAUUUACAGCUCAGCGCGACGUUACCGAUUUUAUUGUUUUUAAUUUUUUUAAACUAUGUAUUCUACCAGACAUAUUUUUUUAAUCAAAAUAUUCAAAUUGGCCUUUUUUAUUGAAUUUUAAAUCUAGAUGUUUUUCAUUUUCAGUUUAUCGUUGCUUACAGAUGUAAAAUAAAUAACUUUGUCUAUCCUACAUUCCCAACUUUCUAUAUACAACAGUGGUGCAACCGUCUCCGAUAUCAGUUCUUUUUUCUCUUUUUUUUUAUGGUUUUAAAAUAGUCAACACGCGUACAAAGUGCGUUUAGAAAUCCAAUACAUAAAUAUUUUAGUAAUUCGGUUUACUUAUGUACGCGUCAAAUAAAUCAAAAAUAGUAAGUUAUUGUUGUUUUGUUAUAUGAUGGAAAUGCAGUAUGUGACUUUAUGGAAUCUCCAUAUUUGUUUUAUUUUUAUUUUAUUUUGAGUAAUGUCGUUUUUUUUAGCCUUUAUUUUGGUUUUCGUCGAUAAAUUCACGACCGAAUUUCUCAUGUCAUCUAUUAUAUAUUUUGUUAUAUGAAUAAGUUACGCCAGAAAUACAUAUAUAUUUAUAUGUGUGUGUGUGUGUAUUUUUUUUAUUUCGCAUGUACCUAUAGUAGACAAAUUGAUCGUCUCAGCGCAUAUAUAGAAAAUACGGUCAUGUCGAUACUCACCACAACAAAAUAUUGCGUAUUAAAAAAAAAGGAUGACGCUAAGCGGUUAAUUUUAGGGGUGUGCUAUAGUGGGUUUUUUCGGAUUUUAAGCAAAGCAAAGAAUGUAUGGAUUUUUGUAUGAUCUGUUUUUUUUUUUUUGUUUGUGUCUGUAAACACUCGUCUUUGUUGAAACAAGAACUUUACACGAAAUUCCGUUUAGUAUUUUUCGUCUAAUUGGUGCAUUGGGGAGGUCACUUUUUAAUUUUUCUGGCAGUUUAAUCUCAAUAAAUGAGGAAAACUGAAAAUUUUGUAUAAAAUUUUUGUUGAUUUUUGGAUUAUAAGGGGAAACAUAUGACUUGUACUCUGCUUAAAAUUGGUUAUUGUCUGUAAUAAUUACGUGCAGAUGAAAUCUGUUAAUUGAAAUUACUUUACAUCCUCCCUUCUAACUUUUUUUUAAAAGUCAGUAGUAUUUUUCCAAUAUCACAACUUGAUAAUUUAUUUAGGUAAAUGAAAAUUACUAACAAAAAAAAAAAACUAAACGUUUCUAAACAGAUAACUUUAAUUUCAUUUCAUACGAUGAAAAAAAAAAAAUAUACACUUUAACAUAUGGAAAUUGUAUUCUUUAUAAAUUGUGAAAAUUAGGUAGAGUAAAAGAUUUUAAGAAAUUUGUUCUUCAUAUUUUAUAUGAAUUUUGUGACUUUUUUUAUUAGCUAUUCCAAUAUGAAAAUAUUACGUAUUAUUUACCCCGCUUUCUUAAACUUCUACUAUAAAUACGGAAAAAGCGUCACGGUUUUUACAAGCGAAUCACGGUCAUUGUCUUGUAACAAAACUGUCUUAUUACAACUGUUUCGUUAAGUAAUUGUAUUUCUUGGUAAUUCGAAUAUUAUUUUUUUCAGUUUUGUGACGUAUUACUUGUACACGUCAAACCGUAUUAACUGCAAUAUUAUUAUAAAAUAACGCGAUAAUAUUUGUUUUGCUUUUUUUUUCAGAUUUUGCGGUCACGACCGGACUCGUCAUCAUACCUCGAACCGCCGAAAAACGUCGUAAAAUGGUAACUUAUAUUGAUAUAAUUUAGAUAAAAUUGCAAUAUAUCCUUAUAUAGGUAUUACAUUAUAAGGUAUUACGUUUGUCGGAGAGAAUAUUAUAAUCGAUAGUUUCAGUGAUCUCGUUUUGUAAGUUGUAUACAAGAAAUAGGGUAAUUAGAGUAAGGGAGCAAUUUAAAUCGUAUUAUCCGCUUGACCUCACAGACAAAAAAUAC